rnacentral:lncRNA from 1 species
UUAUGCUUAAUUUGGUGUUAAUGUGGUUAAGAUAGGUUGUUAUUGAUUUAUUUGUGCUUUUGUAGGUGUUUGAUGAAAGAAGAAUUUUAAUGGAAGAAUGAGAGCAAUUUCAAGGUGCAAACUUUCACUGCACAUGUUUCGAUAUUUUGGCCAUAACUUUCUCUACAGAGCUCCAAAUGAAGUGAUUCUUGGACCAUUAGAAAGAUGAGAGAAAAAUCUAAAACUUUCAUGUUUAUCACUUGCUAGUUCAGCUUGUAGGAUGGUCAAAAAUCUUAUCGAAGUUGAUGCACUAUAAAGGUCUUAAAGCAAUUACGAUUUAUGUUAAUUAAUUGUGCAAGGCUACGACUUAUAUAGUUUGAUGAGGAAAUCCCAAUUGAAAUUGACUUCUUUCUCCACCCAACUUGGCCUAACUUCAAAGCCCAUAAAAACAACAUUUUGGAAGACUUAAAGAAGAGAAUGAAAAAACACCAGAUUAACAGCUAAGAGUCAAGCCACAAAGUCAUUGAAGCUAAAAAGAAUUUACAAGAUUUAAGGAGAUUUGGAGAUCAAGAAUACAAUUCUUGAGUUUUUCUAUAUUUUCUUUUAUUCUCUUAUUUUCUUGGUUUUGUUUUUAAUGUUUAAAUUUUAUUCAAUGAUCAUGUAUGACUUGAUGGAGAACUAAGUUUUUAAUCUAAGAUUAUGAUUGAACUCAAUAUAUAGUCUGAAUUAUUUAUCUCUCUUUUACUUAUGUUUGAUGGAUUUAAGUUAUUUAUUUUAUUUUGUUCUUAAUGCUUCUAGUUGACUAGCCACCAAUUAGAUUGAAUUGGAAAUCUAGAUUAAACAUUGACAAAUGAGAUUUAGGUAAACCUUGAAUAAAAUAGCGUAUGAUCGAAUACACUUAGUUGAUUAGGUGGUUUAAUUUGCAUAUACGAUAGACAUAUGCCUAUAAGCUAUUCGUAGCCAAAAUUAGAGUAUAAACUUGAUGAAUCUUUCUUUAACAUAAUUUGCAUAGACAUAUAGUAAAUUAAUUGAGAAAUGUAUUUUUAUGAAAAACUCGACAGAGACUCGUAAAUAAUUUAGGACUCUAGGUUAGCAACUUAAUCCAUUAAACUAAGUUAAGAGAGAGAGAGACAAUAUUCAGAUGAAGUAUUGAGAGACAUCAUAAUCUUAGGUCUGUUAAUCACUAGAAGUAAAAUUUGCUUAUAUAUUAGUUUUAGUUAUUAGUUUAUUAAUUUAAAUUUUUCUUUUUAAUUUUAAUUGUUUAGAUAAAAUUAUGGUGUGAUAAUUUUAGUGGUUAACAGUAAAUAUUAAUUCAAUUCUCUGUGGGAUCGACACUCUACUCAUCUCUAUAUUAUCUUUGCGAUACAUGCACUUGUGUGAGUAGAAAAUUGAACAACAGCAACCAAGACAAACAAUGGGCCAACAGCACAGACUGCCUAAGAAGCCUAGACAGCCUAGGCAAUCCAAGCAGUCCAACAACCAGUAGGCCAAUAGGCCCAAUUGGGUGUCCAGCCCAUGUUCGAAAGGAUUUUAUUCUUAUUUGAACCCUUAUAAAUGUUGAGUCAAAUGUAAAUAGAUUCACUCAUAUUUUAUUUGAAUUUGAUUAGGCCUUUUCAAAUUUAAAUUUCACAUUUCAUGGAUCCUAAUCCUAUCCAAUAAGGGGGGGCUAUCAACUUAUAAAUAGGCUUUCUUUUCAUUUGUACUCACAUUAGAGAAAUAAUAAAGCAUUUCAUUUCUCUAAGCUUUCUCCCUUCUUCUUACUUUCUUGCAUUUUUACUUUUAUAGGGGGUUUUAGGCUUACUUAAGCUCUCAUUUUCAAAGUUUAAAACUACACGAGAUUCAACUAAAGUUUGGCACAUGACACUAUCACUAGGCAAGCGUUUUGCAUGCCUCUCUAGUCAUUAGUCAAUACUACAAUAAGAGUAAUUUUUUUAAAAAUGCCCACCUCUCUAGUCACUAGUUAGCACUACAAUAAGAGUAUUUUUUUUUUUUUUGAAAAGCAAUAGGAGUAACUGAUUUGACAAAAAUAAAGAAUUAGAUUGAGUGUCGCGAUAAGAUAUUGUCCGCUUUGAUCUCAUUGGGUUAUAAGCUAGAGAUAGUGUAAAUAUUUAAAUGUCUAAUCUCACUCUAGUCGAGGUGGGAUUUAUAACUUCCUUCUAAAAUUAAGACUUCUUCCCUUAAUGUGAAAUUAAUAUUUUUUUACUGAGACCUUGACACUAAGCCUGUUUGAGUCAUUUUGUUAUCAAUGGCUAGCUACUUAAAAUUGGUCCGUGCAGGGACCAGCGCAUGUUAGGUACCAAAAAGAGAAGCCGCCCAUCAUGAUCUCUCUUUUUUGUGUAGUGUUGUGCCCCAAACAAAAUAAAUUCCCUUAUUUUUUCUUUGCCGGCCAUAUGCGUCUCUUAGGUGCUAAGGAAGGAAUUUCAGCCAUUCGAUAGUCAAUAGUAAGCCCAAAAUACCAAAAACUCACGUAUCUAAUUAAGCAGUAUUUUUCUCAAGGAAUACCGCCUUCCAUAAAGCAAUAUUCUCUUCCAUUUCACCACCAAUAAAGCAAGAAUACUUAUCAUGUGUGGUAUAAGCUAGCCAAGCUUUCUGCUUCAUUGUAAUUGGACCCAAUUGAACCAACUUUUUUUCUUAUCAUCAGGACCCAAAACCUACUUAAUUGCUAGUAUAAUUUUAUUAUUACAAACAUUAAGCUUAUAGAAUGCACGUAUAUAACAGAUUUCUAGCUAUCGUAAAUAAACCUGCAUGCUCUUUUUCGAAAUGAUUAUCUUUGCUUGGGGACAAAAUGAUGUAAUGAUAUGUUCUAAUUCUCUACUCCAAACUUGAAAAUAAUAAUAAUAAUAAAGAAGGAUGUUUCAAUACUUAUCCUAUAUCUAGUAGCACAUGGAAGCUCGGCCUUGGCCCCCUUACAAAACCCUUGCCUCAGUUGUUUACAACCCAUAUGCUGCAUGCGAAAAUAUCCUCCUGUCGAAAAGCAUGAGCUUUAUGUCACCCUAGCUUUUAAGGCCUUCUUUAUUGAAGCUUCGGUCACCUCCUUAACACAAAUGCACUUUCUUUCAGAAGGUGUCUAAUUAGUUAAGGUAGUACAAAGUCACAUCCAUCUUGCACAAGUUCUAAACACAGAAUUCAUCGAACCUGUACCUCUAUAUGGUUUGACAAGAAAAUAUAGAAAUCAAAGAAAGCUAAGGGUUUAAUCAAGGACUUGCAUUUAGUCUCAAAAUAACUGACGCCCACUGAACCUCAAAUCCACCAGCUGCAUCGUCUGCUCGAUGACUCGAAAAUAAUUGAGCUUGCUUUACAACCCAUCACCAGCUACAGCAACAUGAGUUUUUUAUCCUAGUUCAAUUUUGUUCUACUUCAUAUAUAUAUAUAUAUAUAUAUAUAUAUAUAUAUAUAUAUAUAUAUAUAUAUAUAUACACACACCUAGCUACGUACUCUUAAGAAAAAAUCCAUAUCGUAUGCAUUGGAACUGUCAUUAGGGUAGCCACAACGCUAAAUUUUGCUUCUAAAUAAUAACAUUCACUACCACUGUAUUUGACGAACAACUGUAACACAAUUAUUCAUGGAUAUGUUGGUUGAUUAUGCAUUUCCUUACUCCUUGUAACUUCAUUUAACACGCGUGCCACUUACGGCUUCAAUCAUAGCCAGAAAAGUAUAACCUAAAACAUAUAAUAGAGAUAAAAGCAUGCAAAGCAGAAGUUUCCCUACUCUUCCAGCGGUGCGCAUGCACCCUUGAAAAGCCGGAAGCAUCAAUGUCACUUUCUUUGUUUACAUGAAUUGGACGUGAUAAUUAAUUUUCUCUUUAACCUAGCCAAUUGACCAAUGAAGUCCAAAGCAAAAGAGAAUAACGAGUUCCUGUAAAUUCAAACUCAGUGAUAGUAGUGGAAAAGAAAAUUCAAAACCUUCAGUGGAAAGUAAAUGAGGCCUAACAAAAAACAAAAGCACCUAAAUUAUAAAUGCACACAUUCUUAACCUGCCAUGGCUUUUUCCUAAAGUAACCAUUUCAUGCAAAAACAAUUGAAAAAAAAAGUAGAAUCUCUUGAGUCCCACCAAAAUAUCCUCCUCUCCUUUCUCCCCCACUAUAUAACCCGUUGUUGCCACGCUGCUGUAUGUUCAGUCAGACGUGAGUUUUUAGCUAAAUCCUCUAAGAUCUCCGUCUUGGUUGCUUCCUUCCAAAAAUCCUCUCUAAACAAACUUUAAUUCUUGAAUAGAAUAUCUAAGGAUGGAUCCAGUUAAGGCAGAGAAGUUUCAAGCAAUGAACAAGUAUAGGAAAAGUGAUCAGUUUCUUUACAACCUCAUUCUUCAUUUGCUGGCUGGGUUAGCUUGUAGUUUAUUUUUCUCCUAUGCUUUUUCGUUUCCACCUCUAUGUUCAUCCAUGAAGCAUUUCUUCUUAAUCUCUCUCCCAUGUAUUUGGUCUUCUUUCUCUAAUCCAAAGUGCUUGUUCGUUGUGGUCAAUGUCAUUGUCAUCUUCCUUGUUGGAGAAUCAAGGUUUACGGGCACAAACUCAUCUCCAGCUGGUGACAUCUACAAUGAGUAUAUCGAAAGAAGUCGAAGCCUUAGGGGAGUCCCAGUCUCGACACCUCAAGAGAAGACGAGGCAGGAGAAAAGGGUAGAAGAGGUGGAAAAAGAAGCUGAAUCGAAACAAGUAGUCAACAGGGGUGAUGAUAAGGAAGUGAAAGAAGAAGAUGAAGAAUUAGUUGAAGUGAAAGAAGUGAUGAAGUCCGAUGAAAAAGAAGAGAAAGAAGAAGAAAAAGAAGUCGAGGUGAAAGAGCAAGAUAGAGUAGUCCAAGAAACAUAUGGAGUUGCUGCAGAAGAAGCUUAUGCAGAAAAAGAAAAGGAUACCGUUGAAGAAGAGGCUGGAUUGCCAGCUGAGGAACUAAAUAAAAGAGUUGAACAGUUUAUCGCUAGAGUUAACAAACAAAGAUGGCUGGAAGCUCAAUUACUGGUGUGUUGCAGGGCAUGAUUAGGAUUUAAGGGUAAAAUAAUUGCAAAUUUAUUGGUUUAAUUUUCUGAUAUAUUUAUAGUAGGGACAAGAUAUAAUUGUGCAGCAAAGAUGAAGAAAAGCUGGGUAGACAAAUGACAUCUUCAUAAGUUCGUAAAAUAUAUUAGUACAAGUAGUAGUAGAAGUAACAAGUACUUGCAGUUAUUACAUAUUUGAACAUGAAUCCUCUUUUCCAUUUCUUUCUUUAUAUUAGUAUUCUUCCACAUUCUUUGGCCUAUAAUGAACCUACACUGCAUUCAAAAAUUCAGUCAUUGAUCAAUUCAGUGACAAAAUAAAAUAAAUAAAUUAAGGGAAGAGAAGGUACAAUUUGUUGAGGACUUGAAAAUGGGAUGGAUGAUGGGUCGGCAAGAAAACUAGACAAGAUAAAAGGUAGCCAGACGAGAAAAGUCAUUUCGAUCAUUGAAUUGACAAAGUCCAGCUAAAUUACAACAAGAAUGGCACUAUUCCAGCUUGGAUGAAAUAGCACCUUAGACGCUACAAGCACCCUCACUAACUCAACCACAACAAAAGGAGCCGCCAAAACCACUGCCAAAAUACUAAGGCUUGCUCAGAGUGCAGGCAUCAUGCCUGCAAACUCAAUGUCAAUGAUAACCAAUUCUAGAUAAUGUUAAUAAAAAAAAAAGAGGAGAAUGCUAUGCAAUGAAAUUCUCACAGAAAAAGAAUCUGGAGAACCACAGUGCAUGCCAAACGUUGAGGGGGGAAAAAAUGAACUAAUUCUAUUCCAUCUCUAAGCCACAAAACUGUAGGACUCAAUGCCCUCAGAGUACAAGAGCAACUUUCUCAUGGGAAACAUGUGAAGAAGCAUGGGCAACUAAGGGUUCAUAAUGAUCAGCUCCAGCACCACACCAACCUACACAUCAAGGGAAAUCUAAAUAUGUAAACUUGCAUCCUGAUAAAAAAUUCAUUUCAGUAAGCACCAACAAAAAUUCAAUUACCUGUUCCUUUCAUGAACAGAAAAAAGGGAGGUUCACAAAUUUCACUCCUUGGACGAUGUGGAAGGAAGAAAACACAGCUGUCUUCGUCAACCAUAGCAUCUGAUCCAUGUGCUUGCACCUGUAACAAAUGAGUUAACAUAAUAAAGCUCAAUCAAAAAUAAAAGUUGAAUACUGAAGUUAAUAAAGAACAAGAACAUUCAUUAGUGCCGAUUCCAUUGCAAACACAUUAAGCUGCAUCACUUUACCCCCCUUUUUCUCCCUUACCCUUUUCAGUCUAAAUCAUCAAUCAAAUACACAAACUUCUUUCUGAUACACACAUAUGGUAACUGAUCAUAACACAUGAUAAAGUUUUUCUACUUAAUUCCUUGGUGAUGGUACUUAUGGUCACCCAAAAUAGUUUCGUCUGUGCUAGUUUGAUCAAUGACUACAGUAUACCAGUAAAAAGGCCAGAGGAAAUGCAUCUAAGAUGGACAAUUAGUGCUUAGAAAUGCUAGAGCACGCAUUCCUAUAUAAUAUGGUAUGUGAAACAGAUAGUAUUUGUAAAUGACCAAUCCAUUAACCUAGAAUGAGGCUUUAAUCAGACAAUCUGAGUUUAUAAAUGCUUAUAGGUAUCCCCAGUUUGGUGCCAUAUAUUAACAACUAUUUUCAUCCUUGCCAAUAACAAAGUUGUGCAAUCCUGAAUUCUCCAUUGCAUAAACAUCUUAGUAGCAGAAUUCAUGGAAUACUGCUGUAUUGAUGGAUUACAACAUGAACAUGAGAUUACUAAUCUAAAGGACUAUUGCUUAAAAUACACAACUAAUGUUAUGAAACAAUAGGCUGUGAAAAUACCAAACAAAUAUGCAAUGCUUUGAAGACAUGAACAAUUGACAUAUCACUUAAGAUUUGAAUCCAUUCCUCUGAAUUUACAAGAAGCAAUCAGAUCAGCAAAAUUGAAAUAUAUAUCAAUCCGAUAAUUAUGAUAAAAGCCAAAGCUUCUCUCCUCACCACAUAUAUCUCUCGCUUGAACUCUGUUGCAAUACAUUCGAUGGCAAUGUCAUCUCCGAAUGCAGCAGCAUGACCUUCUCUAUUCUCAUCUACAGAGAAUAAACCCUCCUCAGUAUAUUGCAAAGUGAUGAUAUCAUAUGCAUCAUCAGGUGAACCAGAAAUCGACAUGUAUUUGGCCCAGCUUGAGCCAUCACUCACAGGAAUACAUCUCUCUUUGUAAAUAGAUUCCGCCGCCAUUUCUCUUCAAUCAGAAAAAGAGUAGAUAAUCAAGAAACAGAUAAAACACAGCACUAGGGCAACAAUCUAAAUCACCAUAUAAACAUUCCCCAUUAAGUUUAAUGCUUUGUAUAUGUCGAUAUAUGUGUUAAAUUUUUUUAAAUAUAAGAUGCAGCUAGUCGUGAGGAAUUUGUUUUUUUUAGAUUUUGAAUUAAAUUCUUUUUCUGUCUUCCGUGCAAAUAUAAAAUGUAAAUACUAAAUGUCAACUAAAAUUUGCGAGACUACAAUCCUAGAUAAAAUUUUCCCCAAUAAAAAGGAAAAAUAGAUAGAAAAUUCCGUUCUCGCCUUUCUUGAGUCUUCGACAGAGAAAUAGCAAUUUAUAAGUUUAAAAAUUUUGAUUCCCCAUUCUGUCUUUCCCUACAUUUUCUCAGGAACCCAAUUGUUAACAUUUGAAAAGAACUAAAUCCUCAAACAGUCAAACCAUAAUCAGCCAAAUAGAUCAAAGAACAAAAAAAACAGAAAGCAUACCUUUGCAUUCCCAGCUGAACGAGCUCGUCAAUGGCGGAGUCCAAGGCAACGCGAUCCUCCUUCUUGGCCAACAACUUAACUUCUUGAACCACGUGAACCCCCCACCCGCUCCUCAGAUCCGGCGAGUACAUAUUCCUAAUCGCCUCAUUUAUCACUUGCCUCUCUUCUUCCUUAGCAGAUCCAAGAUCCUCCAAGAACCGCUUCACCGUCCGCCUCCUCAGCUCCCGCGCGUCCAUCUCACGCGCCAUCGCCCUCUGUGAGGCCGUGAACAGGCAGUUCCCAUCAGCCGACACAUCGCCUCCAUGAGACAGCCGGAACACCACCGAAGAGCCGUGCUCCUGCGGGUGCUUCCAUAGCACUCCCUUGGCGUGAAGCUUCUUUAGAUGCCGUCUCUGCUGGUCCUCUAGGCCAAUCACGUCUUCCCAUGAGGCACCCGUGGUGGCUAUUGUGGUUGUGGUCUGGUCAACUAGAUCAACGGCUUCAAGAGUCGCCGCGUUUGGUUCCCUCCAAGGGACCGUCGGCGAUGACUUUUGAAAUGUCUCCGCAACGGUCGUCGAAUCGAAGAGAAGUUUCCCCAUUUCAAGUUGCUCUUUUUCUUCUUUUAUUUGAAUAUUCGUUUUCUUUUUGUCUUUUCUCUUCUCUUCUUCUUCUUCUUCGAUGGAAGAGUUACAGAGAAGAGAGAGAAACGAAAAGUGGAGAGAGAGUUUAGGGUUAACGGAUAGAUGUACGACGCGGGAGAGAAAUGGUGGCACGUGGCGAAAUCAGGGAGAUUUAGAAACUCAAGGGGGGUGGCCUCUGACCGCGCGAGAGAGAUGCUAACGUAAGCUGGUGGACUAUCAGAAGCAAACCUGCGCCAGGUAUUUUUAUCAUAUUUUCUUCCCUUUUUUUUUUUUCUCCUUUUUUUUUUUAGAAAAAAGAAAUGAACAAAACUUUCUUUAUUCUACCCACUAGACGUUAGUGUUAAUUGGCAUAUGCGCUAAUUUGCCCCUCGGUAGGAGAGCGAGGAUGCCUCUCGGAUUGUCCGGAGAGGUCCAGUUCCCAAUACGAUUCAAACACAUCAUCAUUAGCUGGGCCCACAGGCGAGGCUCAUCCAAUGACUUAACUGAACUUGGGUUUAGGAUCCCACGUGUGAACGCUGUCUGAAAAGGAAGAUUCCUUGUGCGUGUGGCUUUGGGCUCCGUGGGAUGGGCUAGAAUGGUAAUUUUAGUACUUAGUUGUAUGAAGUUAUGACGUGGCACUAAUUGUAACGGCUAAUUAAACAUGACUGCAGGCUCUAACGGCUCUUUUUCUAGGUUUUAGCGCUCUACUUAAUCACGCUUAAAUGGUCGUGGUAAAGACUGAAAGAGCAAUUAAAAUAGUUGUGGAUAAGGAGAGAGAAAGUCAUGAUUGAGAAUUUCAGAUCUCCCAAUUGACUUUGGCCAACGAACCAAUAAGAGCAUGAAAAUUAGUUACCAUUUUUUUUGUUAAAAGGCAAAUGCGUUUUCAUAAAUGUGCUUUAGAGAGAGAAAAGCAGUGAGGAAGAGAAAGAGAAAAAAUAACUUCAGUAUUUUUUAUAAAGUAAUUUUUUAAAUUAUAAAAAGAUAUAUUUAUAUAAUUAAUUUUUUUAUUUUUAAUAAUUUAAAAUAACUAUUAUCAAAAAACUUUGAUAAUGGCUAUUCAGGAUUCUCUUAAAAUGAUUAUUUUGAAAAAUAAUUAUUUUAUUUAAUCAAAUAUAAUUUUAUUUUAAAAAAUAAAAAUAGAAGAAGAAUGUCUAUUCUAUUCCUUCCAACUAAACAUGUCUUGAAAGAAAAGUUUUUUCAACGCAAAAAAUGAAAAUGACGAAAAUCUAAGUACCAAAAUAAUGACAUUUUUGUUUUCUUUUAGAAGCUUCUAGAAAUAACAUGGUAUAGACCACCUUGAGAAAUACAAUACAACUAUUAGCUAGUGGGAUUGAGGGCUCCCCCGUGAGCACCUCACUCCAAUUGCAAUAUCUAGUUAAACCCGUCAAGGCCUCAUACCAAUUGCAAUAUAUACCUAAAAGUGUGAGAUUCAUAAUGAGAAUAUAUUUUUAAAUAUUUAAUUUUAUUUUAAUACACAAUUAAUAUGAAAUUCAUAAUUUUUUUCUGAGAUCAUAGUAUCUUUUUUAAUGUGAAAUUUAUAAUUCCUAUAACAUUUAUAUUACAAUGCUGAUAUUUAAUUAAAAUUAAAUUAUGUAACAUUCACAAUUUUAUAAUAUAAAAAUUCUCUUCUUAUACCACUUGCUAAAUAAUAGUUGACCAUAUAAAGUGUUUGAAUAUGUUGAUGUUGCUUCCAACCUAAAGAUGGAUGAAGUAAAAGGGAAAAGAUAUGAAUUUUCCUACAAAACCAUUUUAUGUUUGUUCAUAAAUAUUUCUGGUUAUAACUAUCUUCACAAAUGAUUUGGUUUUCUUAUUCAAGUAUCAAUUAAUAUAUGAGUAGAUAGAUGAGAUUUAAGGAUCAAUAGAUGUGAUUGGUUAAGAAAAUAUAUGAAAAUAAUAUCAUCCAGUAUUCUUAUAUAUUUAUCAUAAAAUUGUGAUAAUUGAUAAAAUAUGAUUAGAGAGCAUGUGAGAUUAAAAGAUUUUCUUCAUAUAAUAUAAGUUUAUUUAUAAAUUCAUGCAUCAGAAUUUCGGUUUACAUUAUGGAGCAUGAGAGAAUAUUUUCAUCACUAAAAAUUUGAGUGGGAUAAAUAUGUUGUAGGGAAUAUUGUGGAGGAUAAUGGAACAUGAUCUCUUCUUCUUUGCCUUGCUUGCCCGUUCCAUUUGCCUUGUCGGUGGGUCCCUCAGCGACGAUUUCUGCAUACUUUCCAAAUUGUUUGGCGAUGGCUUCAACAAGUUUUGGUGGAUCAAAAUUUCCCCUAACAGUCACAGUCGACUUCUUCAUAUCCGGUUCAACAUUUAAGAUUCCUGAUUAACACAGUAUAAUAACUAAUAUUACUCUCUUUUUCACAAUUAAACAAGAGCAAGAACUGAGUGGAAAACUAAAGAGAGAGAGAGAGAGUUUACCUUUCAUUCUUCCUAUACUUCUCUUAAUAUCAUUUGCACAGCCUUCACAGUGCAUGUACAUUUUAAGUACAACAAAUUUAAUCGGAGGCUGCAUGAUUAAGUAAGAUUAAAACUAAUUAAUCACAUGAAAAAGUAAAAAUAAAAGAAAUAUAUAUAUAUAUAUAUAUUAUAUCAAAAUAGAGCUAAAUGGUAAACCCACCUCUUGUUUGUUUUGCGACUGCUUUCCAUCAGUGGCUUUAGGUUUUGGUUUGGGAGAAAUGAGCUCAGCAUUUCUACUGUAUUUCUUCUUAACUCUUUCCAAAAUCUUCAAAGGAUCAGCAUUUUGUCCCUUCACAAUCACUCUGUCACCUUCCAUGUCCGUCUUAACUUGUUCAACGCCUGAUAAAAAAAACAAAAACAUGAAAACCUUAUCAAAAGGGCUAUCGGCUACGCCUACGCAUAUGGAUAUGCUUGACAAGACAAAACAAUCAUCAUCCCUACCUUGAAAACCUUUCAAACAAUUGAAAACCUUGGCGGCGCAUCCUUCGCAAUGCAUAUAAACUUUAAGCACAAUUUCUUUCCCUUUAUUUGAAUCCUUUGCUCCCUUCUCUUGUUUAUUUUCACAGCUUUUCUCGAGUUUCACUUCCACAAUCUGCCCUCCUCCCUGAUGCUGUUGCCCAUGUCCCAUGUUUUGCUUAUUUUUUCCCUUAAUUUAAAAACCAAGGACCAAAAGAAGAACAAAAAAAAGACCCUUUAAUACGGAAAAUGCUAAAAGGAAAAUUUAAGUAGUAGAGAAAAACAUUUUGAGGCGCAGCAUUGCCACUACUUGUUUAGCCAAAUGGCGGGGGAGCUUUAAAUACGAUAGUGGUGCCCUUUAAGUUUUUAGCUCUUUUACUCCCAUGUCAUUAGGAAUAAAUAAAUAAGAUAGGAUGGAAACAUAAAGCUCAUUAAUGGGUUGUAUCUCAACCGUUCAAUUAUGCGAAAAACGAAAGAAAUCAUGUUAUAAUCUCCCCAAUUAUGGCUUACUUUAUAUGAUUAUGCGUUAAUAAGUUACCCACAACUGAAUAGUCGUUUGUUUACGUUUAGGUUCCAAAUUUGGAUUGCAUGCAAUUCAAUUGUUAAUUGCUUCUCUUUUCAAAGCAAUGGGUUGGUGUGCCAGCUAAUGUGAGUUGUUCAAUCCAUUGUGAAUUGUGGGUAAUGAAAUUUUAUUCCAUUAAGAUUGUACACGGUGUCUGUCAAAUAAGUUAGUUUAUCCAAAAAGAAAAAGAAUAUUCCUCUCCUCUUCCCGGCUCAGCCCAAUGAUUAACUUUAGUGGUUAGCCCAAACCCAUGGGCCUUAAGCUCAGCCAGCCUGGGUUUCAAAUUGUUUCGACGAGAACAAGUUUUAUUUGACCAGAGUGACGGACACAUAGGCGUAAACUGAAAACGUGUAAGAAAAGCAGCAAUCCCACGUAGGAAAUGGCCACGUGUAACGCCUAGAACAGCAACACGUUCAAAAACAACUUCAGAGUAGUACCCCGCUCUCUCUGUAUUUGCAACGCAAAAUCUCCGGUCUCUCUUUCUAUCAAUGAUCAUUUCUAUUCUGAGGUUUUGAUUGAAUCGUUCGUCUUAGUAAGAUCUCCUCUCUUCAAUUAUUAUUUUUUAACAUUCUUAAUGAGAUCAUUGUAUAUGUCUUGAAUAUGUGGUGCGUGAUCAGUUUCUUGAGUUCUUCUAUGAUUUUGUUGUUGAUAUCAUUCUUGCCUUCAAUAUAAUCAGGAUAUCUGUUGAAUUCCCAAUUUUGGCGUCUUUUCUUUCAUCUUUGUCGACAAGCUUUUCUUUAGUUAUCGAUAGAACACAAAUUGCUCUCCUUCACUUUUAUGGUACGAUGGUUUUCAGUAUCUAAAAGUUGGUAGCAAGAGCUAAUGGUUGGGAGAAAUUUCACUUCCGAUUAAGCUUAUGGGAUUCACGUUUUGGUUAAAUUCGUUUCUUCUUUCGCCUGAUUAUAAAUUUGAUUUGCUUCUGUUAUGUCUCCUUCAAUGGUUACAGAUUCUUUUCAAAAAUAAAAAAUAAAAAAUGGUUACAGAUUACAAUACAACAGCACAUCCUGAAUAACUCUGAAACAGAGUUUUUUGUCAUUAAAAUUGAUCUCUCUCCUAAAUGCUGGAUUCUGUUUUUAUCUCUGCUGGUUAAUUAUUAGUAAUAUGCUACAGACAUUUUUGUUACUUGGGUAAUUCGAGUGGUAAAGUUUGCUUAGCCCAUACAAGAUCAGGCCUUAAUGCCCUCUACUUUAUUCUUGAGCCAUGAUCCCAGCCUGAAAGAUACUGCUCUUGGAUUUGGUUAGUAAGAAGAUGACAUCUUGCCAUGAGAUUAAUGUGGUUGUGUGUGAAUAUUGAAUUUGCCUUUCUCGUUUCAGUGGAGCUCAACUCAAGUCUGAAACUCUGAAUAUUCGUAUUAGCCUUUUCGUUUUUAGAUAAAUCAGCUGAAAAUAUCUAUUACAUCUCUUAAUGUUUUUUCUCACACAGUGAUGCUUGUUUCUCCAAUAACGGUUCCUUCUUUGUCAGGUUCCCGAGUGCCGGCAAAUUUACUUCACUUCAGAGCAGUCUGGGUUUUGCAGUGAAAACCACCAGAACAACCAAAGCAUUUUGAGUUCAAAAGUAAAAAUGUCCGGUGUAACUCUUGCUGUGGCUCCUAGAAGUGAGCCAGACAAAACCAUAGCACCAGGGGAAAAACUCGAACAUAAACCUCUUCGCCAGCAGCAGCAACAAUCAGUGGCGGGCGGUCUAAUGGGAUCAUUGCGUGUGAUUGAGCUCCAACUAGUAGCUUUCAUUAUGGUUUUUUCAAUUAGUGGCCUUGUCCCACUCCUUGAUUUGGUCUUCCCAGCUUUUGCCUCGACUUAUAUAAUCGCCCUUUCACUCUUUGCCUUCCCAUCCCACGGUCGCAUAUCCACUGGCUCGCAAGAGAUUUUCCAAGGCAGCAAACUCUUUAGGCUCUAUGUGAUUCUUGGAACUACCAUAGGGCUUUUCUUGCCACUGGCAUAUGUCCUGGGCGGCUUUGCGAGGGGUGAUAAGCAUGCUGUUCGAUCAGCUACGCCUCACUUGUUCUUGCUUUCAUUUCAAAUACUAACAGAAAAUGUGAUAAGCGGGCUGUCUUUAUUUUCACCGCCGGUGAGGGCACUUGUUCCUGUACUAUAUACGGUGAGGAGGAUUUUUAUUAUCAUUGACUGGAUGCAUGAUGUUUGGCUCAACAAAACUCUGCCUGCAAAUGCACAACUCAAGGUAAUUCUCAACCAAAUUAAUAUUUCUGGUUUCAGGUAAUUGGCAAUUGUCAAAUUUCAUGCCAGCGUGCUUUGAAAAUGUUUAACAUAAUCUAAGAUUGAUUGUGCAGGACAUUGCAUGGGAUUGGUUUGGGAAGGGCCUGGCAGCUGCAAAUCUAUUUUACUUCUCUAUCAAUCUCUUGUGCUUUUUGAUUCCUCGAUUCCUGCCUCGGGCAUUUGAGAGGUACUUUAGGGAAAGGGAUGAGGUCGAUGCUAAGAUGUCAGAGGACAAGCGUUCCACGGCAGCAAAAAAGUCCCAGGCAACAGAUAAGAAAGUCGAUUGAGACGGUUGAAUCUGUUCUCGUGUGUUCAAACAGCUAGUAUUGAAAAGCAAUUGUAUUCCUUUUUCUGCUGCAGCUAAAGAGUCGUCCACUUUCUAGACUUUUGACAAUGACAAUUAAUGUUUAGACUUGUCUCGCUUAUUUGGUUAUCUACCUUGGAUCAAUCGUGAAUCUUUCUUUGCUUAGUAUAAUUCUAUUUUUCUUUUCUUUUUGAAAAUAAAAUGAGUAUCUCGUUCUAUUAAAUCAAAAAUAAAUUACAAUACGAAUAGAAACAAUAACUGAUAAAGCACUCUUUCCGCAUCUCACUCUCAUCAUAUUCUAGUUCACAAACAUUGGGACUUUGGGUCUUGUUAAACAAGCGGAAGACUCUAUUAACUUGUAAUAUUUCAGUUUUCCUAUUAAGCAUUCCCAUUCCAAUGGAAAGAAAAUUUUGGUUUUCAUCUUUUCAUUUUUCUCCUCCUCUAGUUUUUUCAUCUUUGUUCCUGGAUGAGAAUUAAGUAGCAUUACACUUCCCAAGUCCUAGGUUUAUGUUGGAAGCUUCGAAUCUUUGGGAAAGGAUUCAAACAGAAAAAUACACACAAAAACAGAUGAUUAAUAAUAAUCUUUAGGAUGUUUGUUAGCAAUAAAAGAAAUAUGGAUCCAUGGCCUAAUAAUGGUCUUGCGGCGGCAAACACAAUGACAUUAAUUUGUUCCUCUUUUACUGGACAAUAUCACAUCUGGAUAUAACUUGUAGCCAGAAUUCUAGCAUCUCUGUUAAAUAGUUUCAUACUCUUGUUUUUCCAUGAGUGCUAGGAGUAAUUCAAGGGCAGAAUAUUGUCACUUUCUAAAGCAAGGUAAAUCAAAAUUUCAAACAAUGAUACUUUUUUUGUAUAUAGAUCUCAAAAAUUUCUACUUUUGAUAUAAUUAAAUAAUUUGCUCACUCUUCAUAUUCCCCCAUCUGGAAAAACCCUGUUCGGAAGCAAGAGAUUUGGUAGAGAUAUUCGGCAAUUGAUCAGUAGAGGAACACAUAUCUAAGAAGCACAUGUCAUUGGUAACAUUUUUUCCAACAACGUAGAAGCAUGAAAAACAUGACUGACUGACUGACUGACUGCCAUAUAUGUUGCACUCACAUUGUAUAGAAUCCAACCUACUGACAUGUCGACAAAGGCAUCAAGAUUACGAAGAAUUUGCGAAGCCAACAAAACGCAGCCGCAUUAUAUUCUACUCAGCAUUGGAAUGAGAAAUUGUUGGCUGCUUUUUAUUCGGGAGCAUAGCAUUGUAGUGGAAAGACAACCAGUCCAAUUGAAUUGACCAACGGAAAAAAUAAUCACAAAAAGUACGUUAAAAACCAAUCCAUAAAAUGUAUAGGGAGAGAGAGCCAGGUCAAAAGAUGAAAGAAAAACAAUUUUCCGCAACCCUGAUGCCUACAUGCCCUCAAGCUGGGCAGUCCUGUUACGCACCUCAAAUUACACCUUUUGGGUUCCAUUGCUUUUGGGCGGGUGGUUAGUCCUUAUCCAAGUUGCUCAGAAAAGGACUGUUUUGCCCUUUUCAAUUUAAUGCUAAGGAGUCGUAAUUUGCUUGUUGUGCACAUUGUUCCUCGUAGAAAGUGUAAGGUUGCUAUGCCCAAAGGCGGUGCGGACCAAACUCUCUGCGCCACUCGUCAAUGGCCGGUUACCUCUUUACUCUUUUUGUUAUAAAAGCUAAUGAAUUUUGUUUUUUUUUUUUUAUUAUUAUUGUGUUUUCACUAAUUAGAUUACAAGUAGAAUUAUUAUAAAAUUGUAAGAAAAAAGGUAAAAUGGAACAUGGAAUUCCAGUAUGGUACAUUUUUAAGUAUACCAUUCGUCUUUUAGCAUAAAUACAAGGAAAAGAUUAAGUUAGAUUUUAAUUGUUUUAAUGCUGUUUUUGAAGCAUUUGUCACAUAUCCAACAUGAUAGUUUACCUUAUCACAUUAAAACAAGUUUUCUAACAAUGUCAUUUCCUCCUCUACUUUUUGCUGUUUUGCUUUGCAAGUGAUCCGCACGCGCCAAAAAGCAGGGGCGUGAAACAGAGAUUGGCGUUAUUUAACCUGAAAAAUAAGGAACCGCUGACCUCUCUGCCCGACGACGUACCUUCUUUCUGCCUUGUCUGCCAAGUAAAUAUAAUAUAAUAUUCAAAUUACUUAAAUAAAGAAAAACCACAUUUCCAUUUUAUUUUCUUUUAAGAAAAAAAGAAAACACCCUCACCACUGUGUCCUCUCUUCCUCCCUUCUCAGCCUCUCUCUCUCUCUCUCUCUCUUACUCCCAAUNUUUAAUCCCUCGCCCACUUCUUUCCCCUUCUUUUACACCCUCAACCAAACCUCAAAGAAAAACGAAAGCAGCCAUGAAGCUCAAAAACAAAGGUAGAGUAUUCCCAUCCCCUUCUUCUUCUUCAUCUUCUUCUUCUUCUUCUUGUGAAGACUAUCUUUCCAUUUUGAAGCUUCUCCCAGCUGCCAUUUUGGCUCUUGCUUCAGUCCUUUCUCUCGAGGACCGUGAGGUUUUAGCUUACAUGAUAACCAGGUCCCUCAAAACCACCACCACUGCCACCAACUCUUCUUUAAUCUCCCAAGAUUAUUCUUCCAAGAAGAGAUCUUCCAAGAAGCCACCACCUACCGCCUCCAAGCUGACCCAAAAGAAUGGCGCUUUACCCCAUAAGCCGCCCGUUUUCGAUUGCGAUUGUUUCGACUGCUACACUAGUUACUGGUUUCGUUGGGACUCGUCUCCUAACCGCGAGCUUAUCCAUCAAGUUAUUGAAGCUUUCGAAGAUCAUUUAACCAACGGGGAAGCCCAGAAACCUUCCAAGAAGAACAUAAGGCCCAAAAAGAGAGACAGUACCAGCAAAGUGGCCAGUCGGGUCCCCGACAGCCCGGUUGGUGACCUCCCGGUUCAGCCCGACCAAGAAGUUCUGGUCUCGGAGAGUAGUUCUACCGACGAAGCAUCGGUUUUUAACGAUGACGUCACUUCAAGGGAGAAGGAUGUUAAAGAAGAGGUAGCUGACGCGGCAGAAGUGACUGAAGAGUUUGCGGUAGUGGAGGAUGCGGAGGUGGAAAUACGGACGGCGGCGACGAGUAGCCACAAGGGGUUGGCUAGGAAGGUGUUGCCGGACGUGUUAGGAUUAUUGAAUUCUCGUUUAUGGGGUCUUUGGAAUCCAAAUGUGUAAUAUUUCUUUCUUUCUUUCUAUUUUUGGAGAAAAAAUUUAUUAUUAAAAAUAUAUUUUUGGGGAUACAUCUGUGCCCGAAUAUAGGCAUGGUCCCUCCCUUGAAUAGCAUGACCCUUUUUCCGCUUUGCUUUUCUGCACUGGACUUAAAAAAUGUACCUGGCGGCGAGUAGUCAUUUUCCGGGAGAAAAAGGAGUUGCACAUAAUUUGCUUCUGUUUUGGGCCAUAAUUUUGUUAUCAAUUAUUUAUUUUGUAUUUGGCUUAGGAACGAAGUAUUGUGGUUAGGUAAGAUAGUUUGUAAAAAGUGGGCCAAUUAGAAUGGGAUAUUUUUUUUUGAAAGAAUAAGAAUGGGAUAUUUUGCUAGUCAAGGGUUGUAAUUAUUAUUAUAUGAUUAAACUGAGAUAGAUAAUACCAUCUUUUAUUUUAUUCGCUGCUGCUUUUUGUGAAUGUCAAUAUGCCAUUUUCUUUUGAUUCCUUUUGGUUGGCCUUGUGUUGUUGUUGUAGUUAGGUUUAGGUGCCCUCUGAUUCUGACGUCUAUAUAUAACAAUGUAGGUUCCCUAAGUUGCCCUGGUUUUUGUGUAGCAAAACUUUAUAGGUUAAGGAAAGGAUGGUUUCUGUCUUUCUCUUGUCAUUUGCGGAUAACCUGAGAGGCUUGCUUCCUGUUUGUUGACCAUAAUAAUGGAUUUUAGUUUAUUAAUAAAUUUAUAGAGAUUAGAGCAAGUGCUAUUUCUUGACAUUAUUUUUAUUACAUUUAAUGAAAAAGCAGUAGUGUUUUCUCAAUAAUAAUAGAAUUGAGGAGUUGAGCCCGAGUUUAGCUGUUGCCUGCAACUUACUUUUCCUCUAAUCGAUUAAGCAUGUGGCCCAGUCCCAGAGAUAAGAACUACCUCCUGAAGCUGAAAUUCCUGAGCGUAAUCUCCUUUUCUUGAUUAUGUGUAACUUACCCUUUUUCGCCCAAAGGAUCCCUAUCCUAAUAUCACAAGCAGCUCAGAAAAGAUGCUAGGGGAUAUGUGAAACACGAUAAACAACUAGUCAGGAUGAAAAAAGAGGGCAUACAUAUGGAUGGAAAAAUGUUGCCGAUGCACUCAGGUAACUAGCACAAGAGUUUUGACCUUGUUGUGAUGUUGGGCUAAUGAGUAAUGCCUAUCGAUGAUGUCCAUGCAACUGCGACACUACAUACCCAGCAGGCAGCCAUACAAUACAGGCAACAACAUUGGAGGGAUUGUCCCAUUCAAGGCAUUUGCUGAGUGAAAGAAAGCCUUAUCCAACGUACAUGGUCGUGUUUCGGUCCCUAUCUUAAUAUCCAACAAAAAGAAACAAAUGGCAAAAAAUAAAAAUUUCCUGGCCUCUGGAUUGUCUCCUUCCCUCUUGUUUGCUUUGAGGCUGACAAAAGCUCAGUCACCAAUCCCAUCACUGGUACAUACCAUCUUCAUUCUAAUUUUUGUGAUGGCAGAACCUUCACAUCACCUCUGGGGAGGUAUCGGUGGGAGCUUUACCUUACUUUUAUUGCAAGAUGCCAGAUACAUAUGCUUGGCUGGCAAUGAAAUCCCAUCUUCUUGUUAAACUCAAGUGAGGGAUAAACUAAUCAAGAUACAUUUUGUUGAUAAACGAUUUAAUCUCAUGAGAAGCCUGUAGUAACACAAUUCUCUUUGCUGUUGAUGAUAAGGGUAAGAUCCAUCUAAGAGCCAGAAAGGACAUCAGGCAUUUGGUAAAGGGAUGAUUUAUUGUUAUAAGAUAAAACCCCUUUCUCGUGGACUGAAAAAGCUCAUUGAUAGUGAACUCCACUGUCCAUAUUGGACUCCAUUUUUAAAUUUCCUGGAGACUCAAAGUUUACUGGUGGCACGUCAACGUUAACAGGUGACAAGCCAGCUUUAGUUUACUGAUUACAAAGAUACAAACUAAGGUUAAAUUGUUGAUAAAGUCAAGGUUAAACAGUGACACGCCUAAAUACUUUCUACUAGAAAAAUUUCAAGAAGAAAAGUUGGAUGAUUGAUCUACAGGAUAAAGCAGGCAUCCUGCUCUCUUUUUGGCUUGCUUUUUUACCAUUCACUCAGAAACGGCUCUUCCUUCAUCCUCACUGUUUAGUCAGUAGACAAGCAACAAGCUGCUCAGAAUCAAGUUGGAGUUGCUAUCGUGCCGCAGAGGGAAAAAGAGAGAAGGCAACGAAGAACCAGCAGGCAGUUGCUGUUGUGACAAGCCUAAAGCAAUGCCAUCUGACCUUUAGGCUUGAGGUGGGCUUGAGUUGGUAUUAGUCUAUGUGCAUUAGUCCACACUGUGAUGUUUCGUUUACUCCGUUUCAGCAAGUCCAUUCACUUGUAUCUUAGUCGCAGCAGCCAUGAUAUGGAUUCAAAGCUCUCCAGAUAGAUAGAAAAAUUCUGAGAAUCAAGUCACUUCACUGUGUUUUUACUUUAUCAUGUUUCUUUCUGCUUGAGUGGAAGUGGUAGAAACAAUGCUCUCCUUUGCGCCUCCAGAGAAAACAAUAUGGCACUGUCAAUUGGAAAUCAGAAUUAUCCAAUGGUGCCCCAGCACAAUGACUAAAAUUUUGAUCCUACACUCCCAUAGCACCUCCAUUUUUUUCACAUCCCAGCUCGAAUUUACAAAAAGUUAAGGUGAAACAAACAAAAACAGAUUAGACUCAGAAUAGACGCACCAGUUGGCAUGAUCAAAAUUGGUCACAAAAAAUGGGGCCACUCGGCCUUCAGACCCGAGAAGUCAUUCUAAAAUAAGAAGAUAACUACAAUAAGCAAAAGCUAGGAACACAUUUGAUCAUCAUGAAGGUAGUUGGUAAGAUUAUGAAACUCGAUAAUCAGUCAGAAUUAUCCAAGAAUCAUUGGUUCAAUCACUCUUGACUUUUGACAUGAGAUGCAAGUUGAUUCUAACAGCAAAUAUAUGAUGAACAUGUUAAAUUAAAUCCAUCUUACCAGAUGCAUUGCUUUUUAAUUAUGACUUAACAUUCUCCACUCAUUACCAUGAAUUCAAUUGAAUGGAUCCAUAUUUUGAUUUUAGCACUGGUCAUUCAGCAAUAAAAGUAUAGCCUUUGAUAAGGUCAUAUUUAACAAAGCAUUCAAUACGAGAUUUUUUAUUUGGAAUAAGGAAAGGCUUAAAUUCAUGUUUUACACGCUUCUUUGCCAGGGUUAACAGGUUAAAGGCUAUAUAACAUCUCAAUAUAUCAAUCGAUUGCUUUACCACAUUCAGAUAUUAAUCAAAGUUGCAAUAGUACUAUUUUCAUUUCUUUUUGGACAGACAGAUGCAUUGAUUCAUGAGGAACAAAAAAAAGGGCAAAGCAAGUUCUUGUCAGCAAAGCAAAAAAGUAGACAAAAUAUUAUAUUUUUGUUUUUCAGCUAGUGCGAUUGUGUUAGAUUAGCCACCAAAGAAGAGAAUGAUGCCUGAUUUGAACUAAAAAAAAAAAAAAAAAAACAGCUAUUGAGAAUAUCAACUGAAACUUGAAUAUUCAAUUAUAACUCCUCAACUUCAUUUGCUCCUUGCCAGGAUUGAAAUCAUGCGAAUCAAACUGCCAUUUCACAUCAAACAAGACCACAGAGAUUUUUUUUUCUUUCAAAACUCAAAACAGAUCACACCCGUUAGUUCCACAACCUUUACCGUAGCCUUAGUAGCACUGUCAUACCCUCCCCAUGCAAGCUUUUUUUUUUUAUUUUUUUUUUAAAACAAGACCUCAGACCUCCCCAUGCAAGCUUGAGCUUGACCUCAGACCUUCCAUGUCUUGUUGCCAUUAUCUGCAGUUGACUCCAGAUUAAACAUGACAAAAAAUAUCAUUAGUAGAUAAAAAAUAUUAUCAUGCAAUCCAAAGUGAAAAAUAAGUGGGGCCAUGUUAAUGAGAGGUGAUGAAACUGACCACAUAACCAAUCUGUGACUCACAAGAUGCUGAGCAAAUCACCAUAGCAAGGGUGGAGGGGAGUAUUAUGCUGAGGAACAGGCAAAAUAAAGAGAGCCAAAACACUUGGCGCAAGUGCUUGUUCUUGGUGCACAGGAACAGCCGCUGAGUCAGUGAAUACUUUCUGGAUGAACAAAGAUUUCCCAAAGGAAAUCGUCAGUUAGCAUUUGGUGGUAGUAAAUCAAAUUAUAGAACCAAAAUAUCAACGUUGCAACCAUAUUCCCUUAGAGCUUGUAGCAUUUAGCAAUUUAUUUUCUAACCUUUAGCUCUUCGUCUCGUUUAACAUGAAGAGUUUAAAAUUGAAAUUAGAUACAUUGAAUGCAUGAUGUUGGCAGCAUUAUGAUUCAAUGCUUAUUCAAAACAGGCAGCUCUAGUCUCACCUUAAAAAUAAUGUAAAAAGCGAGAGAAAUUUUAACAGUAGGAAUACGACCCAUAGCCACUUGAAUAUUUAAAAAAAUGAAUAAAACCUAAAUUGUUCUCCUUGUACGAUGACAAAGUUUGAUCACACGAAAUUCAAGACAUGUCUUAACAUUAGAUUCUUCUCAAUUUUUAACCCAUCCAUCUUGAUUUUGGGGCACUUUGUCUGUUCAUAGUUUUAAACAUAUUCCAGGACAAACUGAGCAUGAAAAACCAAAUAGAAAGUCGUUUUGCACUCCACUAAUAUAAAGCAUGGGUUGUCCCUUAAUUUUACCAAAUUGAAAGCCGGAACUGGCGGCCCCCUUAUUUUGUAUAUUUGCCCAAUCCGUGACCACACAAGUGUGUGGCAGCAAUUCACCAGUUUCUACAAUCCACAGGAGAAGCAAAGAACCAUAAUGACAUACCGCAUUUCGAUUAGUUGAGGAUCAAUCAUUGUGCAGAAUCAACAUCACUGACCACUGAUCCAACAGUGUGGAGUUAUCCUGAUUCACCACAUGCACCACUUGCUUGAUGUUAUGUGUUUGACUGAUUCUCCACUGUUUUGGUUGCAAGAAUUCUUUGUUUAACAACGAGAGAAAUUACAGACCAACCUUUGGUGUAGUUCAGAAAAAUUUGUGAGGUAAUUAGUUUCGUGACAAAUAUGACUAUAGCAAUAUAUCCACCAUGAAUUCACAUUGCAGUGGUGGUCACUGCGCUCAAACUCAGUGAUACUAUAUAAUAAGUCAACCAGGGAUGAAAAAACCUUUUAGUGUCAGUUUCCAUCAUGUUCGAGGAAGGAAAGUGUCCCAACAGUUCCUACUCUAGUUUCCUGUUGGCUACCAAUACAGGAUAGCACGGAAUUUCACCUGACCCUACAGUUGUUGUAUAUGAUCAUUCUUUUUAAUAAGGAUGCCUAGCAUACCAUUUCGUUUCUGUCAGACCUGGUUUUCAUUUUCAGAGCGUUUUAUUUUGUCAGUUUAUGUAAAUAUUCUUCUGCGCGACCAUAUCACAUGUAACGCAACACUCCCAGUAACGAAAAGGAAAAUAGAAAGAAGGAACCUUACGUAUUAGUUAUCCUACUAAAUCAGGGGCGGAUCACUUUCAAAAUUGUUUAGAACCGCUAAAACUGCAGUAACAUACCCGAAACUAAUUACUCUAUAGUCUACACAGGAAUGGAUAUGAAUACAACUAUGCAGGAAACACCAUCACCAGCUAGUAACCCAAGUCGUUUAUGAAGUAUUCAAAACUUGAACAAGCUCUAUUGUUCUUAUCAGCACCAUUCCAUGAGUUCAUCUAUUCAAUGGAACAUCUCGGUGAUGAAGUAGUUGCUAUACUAGUCAUAAAAAGACGAGCUACUGCAAACUCAGAUUUUCUCCAUUUCUUGAACAAUUAAUUAUAUAGAACAAUAUUAUUCGAAUCACAACAAGAAUAUCUCACAUUCAUUUCAAGAUUCUAAAUAUCAAUUAAUUCAUUUUCGUUAUCAUCCAGAGUUUAACAAUAGUUUUAGCACAAAUUUCAACGCUGUAUCACAUACUCCCUCUUGUACAGCAAAAAGAGGAAGUACUAGGAUGGCCACGUGAGGAAGGAAAUACCUUUCUGUAUGGCACUGCUGAACUUUUUUCCUUUCUCCAUGACUAUUCAUUUUCUUUUUUGAUAGAAAUCAUGUUAAGUAACUGCAAGAGAUAAUCAUAGUUGAACAACAGUCAGAAGGUAAUGAACUUAGAACGAGAAUUCACUAGCCAGCAUGGAAGACAAAAAUAUUGUUAGACAUUAGUUUCUUGUUCACAAUUAGGCAAUCCAGCUGAAGCAAGAAUUUUCAAAGCAUAAUAUGAAAAUCUGUCCAUAGACAAGCUUUACAAAUUUAGAGACCAUAGGUAAGCGAACCUCGGCUAGAACGCAAUUUACACAUAUAUAUGUUUUCAACGUUGUUAAUUAAAGGUUUAGCAAAAAUCCAGCAGUACUUAAGGGUAUCAGAAUUUGCUACUCAACAUCUAUGAAAAGAUAUUUGUACUCAUUCAUGAAAGAUGGCUUUAUCACCUAUGCCCCUCAGUGAUAAACCCUUUCCUUGCUUUUCAGCUCAGUCAUAUUCACAAAGUCGCUGGCAAGAUCCACUAAUUUUUUCAAGGGCAACGCUCCCAAACUUGAUGGUCUGCAGAAAAUACAUACUAUAAUGAAAUGAUAAUGACGGUGAAUGUGUACAUGACUGGCUAAGAAUGAAAACAACUUCAACAUUCCAUAGAAUGGAGUACUGGGAAGUACUGAGAUCACAGAAGCCGUGAACUUUUGUAAUGGUCAUUAUUUGGCUAUGCUCGAUAGUAGAUAAUAGACAAUCGUUACUAGAUAUCACCAUGAAGAAGUAAAAUCUGAUUAUGAGGGAUUAGUCACAUACACUGGAAAAUUAACAACAAAUUAAAUGCAAAUGGAUUUAUGAAACAUAACAAGUGAGGAAAUAUGUCGUGAAGAGUUAAAUUUUAGUCAUACCUAUGGUGCGUAAAAGCCAUGCAAGCUUUCUAUGUUCCAAAAUGGUAGAAUAUCAGGGACAUCAAGUGGAUCCAAUUGCUGGCUGCACACAGAAUUUCUUUAACUGCAACUUUAAAAGUAUUGUAACGUAUUGUGUUUGAAGAUAUUUAUUUAAGUAAAUUAUCAUCUAUUCUUGUCUAUCACACAAUAGUCCUUCAGUUAGAAAACCCCACACAGUGGGAGACCAACCAAGGAGCAUCAGGCAGACUUACUUUUUGUAUCCAUAAAGAGAAAGGAUCUUCUUCUAUUGUCAUAUUACCUUUGAACCCACUGAAAUCCGACAAAAUAGUCUCCGGAGCCCCCACUAGUAAAGCCAGGUUCUUUCACCAAAUACCAAGUAAACCAUUAAUUGUAAUAAGGCUAAUAAAUUCAUCAACAUCCUAAACAAAAAGGUGCAUGCGGAUUUACAUGUCGGAAAGGGUGGUAACAUAGAACAUGGCACACUUCAAAUUGAUGAUCUAUCACAGUUGAACAUGGUUAAUUGCAUCUUAACUUACAAGUUUAAUGGACAUGUAAGCGAUUCGUAUAUGCGACCAUAAUAUUUAAGUGUAUCAGUCUGUGCCAAAUCAUGCAAAAAAAUAAAAAAAGAGACAAUGAAAAGAAAGAAAGGAAAAGCCAUAAACCCUCUAGCCCGCCAUGCACAUGAACAUGAGUGGAUGGCUUAUGUAGAAUUCUGGGCUCCUGGAGUAGAGGACCCACUCGACAUUGGGCUACAUGAUGUGAUCUUGACAAUUAAUAGCCAACCCAAAUUUUGUAAUGAUCUCCGUGUUUCUCUCCAGCCAUCUUUAUCUCAGAUGAUAGGAGACUUCAAGGACCUAAUUUAUUUCCAUUCAUUAACAGUGUGUCAUCAAAUGGUUAAGUAGAUCUCCACUCCACCCACAAUCCACAACAAGUGAUCAAAGUUGAGGUAUUUUGAAGACAGCAGAGAUGAAGGUAUACACUUUUCAGUAUAAGCCUGGAGAAAAUGAUACUUCCUCAAUUCUAUGGGUUGAAUGUUUCUCUUUUUGAUGCAGUUACUAGGUUGGAUGCACCGUAAGUUCCGCCAAAAUAGCAGUGAACCACUCAAGGAUUUUGCCAUUGGUAAGUGUCAUCCAGCCAUAUAGCCUUUUCUACUGAGACAUUUAUAUGGCAGAUUCAACUGAAAGGAUAGCUAUAAUCUCUGAGUCAUCUCUGGUCAUGAAAAUUAUGCAAAUUGUAAUGGCAAUGCAUGACCUAGAUUAUAGAUGUGCACAAGAGGCUGCAAAUCUAUCAAAGACCUGACAAGUGGUGCAUGUUUAGACUUAAUGCACAUGAACCACAAAGACCUCUGAACAGCAUACUCUUCAUACUGCUCGCUAUGAUGACUGGAAUAUAAGCUUAAGAUGAACCAAAAGUGAACUAUAUAAUGGUAAAUCCAUAGAUAUUGAAUAAAUAUAAAGCUUUCUUUCUAAACUAAACGUUAUCGUGGUUAGGAAAAAGUAAUCAAUAUUGUUUCUGCCGAAAUGUUAUGUUAGAACCUACUCUUCCCUCUAAUCUUAUCAUCAUCCAAGUUCUUCUUUUAACAUUUUCUGUGUCAGGGCAUUCUUGUAAUUGUCUUACAGGGCAGUCAUCACUGGAUGAUCAACAAUUCUACUCAAAGCCAAACUACGGUACCAAGCCAUUUAGGCAACCACAAAGAGACCAUCUUCGAAAGUCUUUUGCUGGUGUAGAAGCAGCUCGGGUAGAAGAAGACUAUGAAGAAGAAUCAUCAUCAGCAAUAUCUGAGCUAUUCCACGGCUUUCUUGCCAUUGGCACCCUUGGUUCUGACCCUAACAUUCCUGAUCCAUCAACACCGACAUUUGCUAUCUCUGUAGAGAAUAUAACUGAAAAAGAAACUGAAGUAACAGAGAAUGAGUUGAAGCUCAUUAAUGAUGAGUUGGAGAAGGUUCUGGGAGCUGAAGUUAAAGAAGAAGGCUGCAAUGACUCAUCUGGAAGAAACAGUCAUGUCAGCACUGGAAGAAGCAGUCAUGGCAGCACAAUUACGCUUAGUGGAAAGCCAAUGGAAGGUCCAGAUACCAAUGGGAAUGGUACUAUAGUUUGUCCACUCCAAGGUUAUCUUUUUGGCUCAGCAAUUGAAUUAUCAGAAACAACUACAGUGGCAAAAAAGGAACACAGGACCUCACUGGGGGAGCUGUUUCAGAGGACUAAAAUAACAGAGGAAAAUUUUGGGAGUAAAUAUGACAAGGAGGAGAAGCGGCCAGAGAAGGAAGGAGAUAAAUCUGCGGUGCACAUUAUGAAAAAGAUGCUGAAGAAAAAAAUGCUUAAUGCUUCAAGGAGCUCGACUGCAGCUACUGGCGGAAAUAUUGAUUCUGCUUCAGCAGAAACAAAACUGCACAAGGUACGUCAAAUAACAUAACUAGACCAAUCUUUUUCUUUGCCAUGGCAUUCCAGGAUCAUUACAAAGUGAUACAUAUGUCAGUUACAAGAGAAAUUUUGUAAGAAUAGAAUCCAAUAAUUUGUAUGCUGUAGCCAUAUGAUCCUAAGUGCGAACAAUGACAAAUGCUGGCCAAGAUAAAAGGACCAAAUUGAAUGGUCUGCAUAUCAAGUACGUUUUAACGAUAGCUCCUAUUCUUCUUUCUUUCUUCCCUUGCUUUCUUCUUUACCACAUUCUACUUCUUUUCUGUUUUCUUUUCACCUUUUUUAUUUCAAACAUUUACAAACAAAUGAAGAAAACUGACCAUUAGUUUUGAGUUUUAGUGGAUGUGCUUAAGAUUCUGACGACGAAAAAGGUUAAGUUCCCUAAUUCCGUGCAAUGUGGUGUGUAGAUCUUACACAUGUUCCACAGAAAAGUUCAUCCUGAAAGCUCAACAGCCACAUAUAAGCAUGACAAACCCCAAAAGAAUGAGAACAAGAAAGGCAUCUUGUAUGAUGGAGGACAUGAGAAUGGAGGUCAUACGCUUGAAGACGAGGACAUAAUGUUAUUUCCUCAGAGAGCCCUUUCAAAAAACAUGCGACGCUACAAGAGCCAAUCUAACCCACCUCAAUUCACAAUAAGCUGCAAUGAUUCAAAUGGGAACAGGGAGUGCUGGAUCAAAACAGAUGCAGACUGUAAGUAUAGAUGCAUUUGCCAUCAUCAUAUCCAUGAAGAAACCCUGUCAUAUACUAUCUAUAAUUCAGAGAAGAAAUAUCAUACUUGUCUGCUUUUGUCAUUUAUUUCUUUAUUUCUUUCCAAGAAUAUUUUAUUUUAUUUUUUAAAUAGCUAGUUUCCAUAGUUGAGAUCCUAAAAUGGAUGCUUAUAGCCAUGCAACAAAAGCAAGUGGCACUUGAUUAGGUUUGAUGCCUUGUGAUCCUUCUUGCAUGAUGACUCUACAGUCAGCACAAGUGUCACUGUGUCAUCACAUUUUUGGCACAUGGAAUUUAAAACCAAAAGGCAGAUGCAGCAGUCAAUUCUGAGUGUUGCACGUAUUUAAUGGUGUCACUGUUUUGAGUUUUCAAGAUAAAUAGCCUAAUCUCGUAAAAUGGUUUGUGUUUGUAGACCUGGUGUUGGAGCUCUAAAAGGCAGAAGCAACUUUCAAGUGUGGUUUUCAAAUUAUCAUCCCCAGUUAGUAAGAGUGAAGUUUCCUGUGUUUGUGAGCUUCUCUAUUAUUAUUAUUAUUAAUUAUUAAACUGGUAUUUGUGAGUGGCUAUUUUACGAAAGAGUUUGAAAUAAAUGAAGGAGGUCCUCCUCCUGAAACUUUACAUGUGAGGGUGCUUAAUGUAAAACUCUUAAGGCAUUAUUGUUUCCUACAAAGCAUAUCUCAAUUAGUAUUGGAGUUCAGUUACUUCAAUGUCUCCUUAAUCAUAGAUCAAAUGGAACCCAUAAUUUCCGUGAGGCAAAACACAUCAUUGAACAACAGACAACCAGAAAGCUACAAACAAAUGAGAAUCAAUCUGCUUUUUACAUUUUUUACACUAACAUUUUGUAAAUGAAGUACCACAAAUGAGACCAAUCCGAAGAUAGUGGUGGGAAAUAAUGCAGUAAGGGCAGCCAGAAACACAUUUUCUUAAUUUUUCCCUUUGCAGGUUUCCUCACCACGUCUACAAAAUGGACAAUUAAAAAUUUGGCGCAUGAGAAAACUGUAAAAUUAGGAGAGUGUAAAAAUACCAAGUUGUGGCUUCCAAAAAAUAGGAAAAAAUCAUAGCCUCAUAAAAGGUACAUACCCUAUAGUUGGUUAGGUUAGGGCCAACUACAUUGCAGCUAUUUUAAAUGUUGGAAUGUUACAAAUAAACAAAAACACCAGGAAACAAACAGAGGGCAGGGCACACAAGUCUUCGCAAUAAUAAGUUAUCCAAUGGCGGUUGCCUAGCCCAGUUCAUUGAAGACGCCAACUAGAAACAGCCGAUCGUAUCUCCUGAAAUUCGGACUGUCUAAAGCAGUCGAGCAACGAAAUUUGCAUGUAAAAAGAGCCUCCAAAUUCCAUGUAAUAAUUCACUGAAUUUGACGAAACAUUUUGUACAUGAACUGAUGAAAGAGAAAAGUGGCUUUCCUGGAGAAACGAUUGAGAGGCCAUUGUUUCCGCUUCACGUCCUAUCUGUCUCGUUUCUUUGUCACUUAUUUGUAGCAAAACAGCCAGAAAGUUUUGAUGGAAUUUUGGCCCUUAACGACACCAACCAUAUCAUCUCUAUCAAUUUCUUAUCCACCACGUCUUUAAUUUGCUCGAGUGACAUUCGGUCUAAGUGUCAACCCAAGAUCCACCCAUCCAUUACUCAUCCACCAUUUCUUACUAUUUUGAGGUCCGAUCCGGGGCAUACAUCCCACUCAAUUGUGGGACGCAGCAAUAGAGGGGUAUGAGAGACUUACACUAGUCUCCAAUCCUAUUUGUUACAUACUUCUCAAGACUCCCUCAAAUCAAAUUAGAUCAAUUACCUACUCAAAUCAAACAUGAUUUAAGUAAAGCAAUUUGAUCUAAUUAGUCUAUUGGAUCAAUUGAUUCAAAAUGUUUAGUAAAAUUGAUUUUUUUGUCGGUUCUUGGUUUCAAAAUUUUUGAACCAAUUCACCAAAAAACCCAAACCUAUUUAUAUAUUAUAUUAUAUAUAUAUAUUAAUAUAUAUAUAUUUUUUAUAUAUUAAGAAGAAUUGAUAGUAAACUUGAUUAAUAAUAUACUUAAAAUAUAUUAAUUAAUUUAUUAUAUGUAUAUAUUUACGUAUACAAAUUAUAAUUAUAGCAAUUUAAUUUUAGUUAUAUAUGUUUAUUUAUUUAUAAAUAUGUAUUUAUAUGAAAUUACAAGUUAUAUAUUUAAAUGAUAUAAUUUAUAUGUUAAUAUUAAUAAAUGAUAAUAAAUAUCCUACAUAUUAAUAUGUUAUAAUUAUUACAUCUUAGUAAUGUUUUAUAUAAAAUGUUAUGAAUAUAUACAAUUUUAUAAAUAUUAUAUAUAUAUAAUUUAUUUUACNUUAACUAUAAUUAGUUUUUUUUUUUUUUUUUUUUUUUUUUUUUUUUUUUUUUUUUUUUUUUUUUUUUUUUUUUUUUUUCUUUUUUUUUUUUUUGUUAUUAUUUAUACAAACUUUGAUAUAAAACAUUAUAACAUAUAAGUUGUAUCAUUAAUUUCAUAUUUAUAUAUAUAUAUAUAUAUAUAUAUAUAUAUAUAAUAAAGUAAUACAUAUAAAUAUAUACUAUAUAAAAUUAACAUAUUACUUAUACUUAUUAUAAAUAAGUAAUUAAUAUUUUACAAAAAAAUAAAUUUAGUUAAUAAUUAAUAAACAAUAUAUUAUAAACAAAAACAAAAUAAUAUUGGUUUUGUUUACAAUUUAAUAAUAUUAAAUAUAUUAAAUUACACAUUAAUGUCUAAUACACUAUGAAUAUCUAAAAAUAUUAUUAUUAAUAAUUAUUCAUUAUAUAGUAAAGUUUAAUAUAAAUAUAUUCAAUUUUAUUAUUAAUUAUUAAUUUAUUAAUAAAAUAUAAAAUGAUUAAACUUUUUUUUAUAUAAGGACUCAAUGGUCUUGUGUUAGUUUUUUUUGUGGAUGUUAAUUUUAUUAUUUUUGACUUUUUGUUAAUUUGAAUCUUGAAUUUUAAUUUGAUGGUUUACGUAAAAAAGAUAUAAUUAAGUGAGUGAAAGAAGAAAUGUAUGUUUUUUUAUAUUAUUAUUGUAAUUUGUAAAUAAAGUGAUAAAAUUUUAAUCCAUUGGUCUAAAACCGAGCCAAUCAAACCAAUUUCUAUGUUCGCAGUCUUCUUUUAUAAUUGGUCGAUUUUAAUCAAUUUUCUUAAAUUAUUUGAUCUAUUUGGUUUUUAAGUAUAGCAGACCAAACUACUCAAUCCACCAAUUUGCUCAUCCUUACAAGCCUCCCCAUUUUCUUUGUUAUUAUUUGGGGUUUCCAUUUCUUCCAAAGGCAACAAGGUAAUAAUCAAAGGAAUAAUUAAAUUAUUAUAUUUAGAUAAUUGUUUAUUAGUUUUUAAUCAAAUAUAAUGAUUAUCGAUCAUCUUUAAUGUCAAUUUUUUUUAUACUACAAAAAUGGAAAUUUUUUUAAAAAAUAAAUAAUCUAUCUAUCUAUCAUGGUAUCAACAAGACAAAUCAUGGGCUGAUAUGUAAUUGCAUUUUAAAUUUAAAAUAUUCUAAUUAUCUUCAUACUAAUAAAGUUACAUUGAAGCAUAAACUUAUUCUUUCUUAAAUUUAUUUGAAAUAUCUCAUUUGCAAAGUGUCGGAUAUAUAGUAAUAUCUCAUAAGGUUUCUAUUCCACAUUGCCUAGGUAUAAAAGAGAUUAGUGCUUUAUAAGCACACUCAUUAUGGCCUUGUUGAAAGCAAGAAAAGAAAAUGGUCUCACGUACACAUAAAAUUGGCCAAGCCUUGAGAAAAUGAAGAUUUUUCCCUUUCUGCGUGCAAGUGUACAUGUGGGUUAGACCCAAGUGAUAUUUUUAUACCUUGGUUAUAUGCUUUUUAUUUCCUUGACUAUUGACCAAGUCUUUUUACCAAAUUAGAAUUUGAUUUGGUCUUUGAUUCUGCCAACGUUAUAAAAUAAAGUGCUAUAUGACUUAUUUGGUCUUUGAUUGUUUUUCAAAAUAUUUUUAUAAUAUUACAUAAUAUUUUCUGGAUCACAAAAUAUUUUAUUUCCUAAUUUUCUCUCAGUUGUUCCUCCUUAUAAAUACCAGCCUCUAUGUUCAUUCUCAACACACCUUAAUUCUCUUUACUUCGUUUCUUUUGCUUUCUGCUUAGUCUCGCUGGGUUCUUUCUUUAUUUAUUUUCCUACUGUUACUGUAUCCCUAAUAGUUUGUACAAACAAUUUAGGAAGAGUUUGUUGAAUCUUAGGAGAUAACUGCUUUAAUCCUUUUACACUAAGUUUCAUACUUCGAAGGGAUGGAAAUAAUCCUUAAGGACAAUGUAUCACAUCUCAGACUUGUUUGGGUUGCUUAAUUUUUGCCAACAAUCUUAAGGAUAAUGGAUUCUCAUAUCGAUAAUGUUGCUGUUGUUGUCUUUGCUUCCACCAUUACUACUAAUGGUUCUACUCCGACAACUACUGCCCCCAUUGUAAAUGCUGCCAAUACAUCCACCACUCUCACUGUCUUAUCCAUUCUUGUCAUGCCUUUGGUGUCAUAUACAAUCAAACGGUCAAGAUGCUAAGAAGUUGUACAGAUAGAUUACAACAAAAACCAUAGAAAAAGUUAGAAAAUGUCUUUUCUUUCAAACAUGAUAUAAGGUAAGAAAAAAACUUAAAAGAGUAUACAGUUGUUUUUUUUUUUUGAAAAUGGAAUUUAUUGAUUAAUCAAACGUGGAGUACAAACUCCCAUCAUAUCACUCAGGAGUAGAGAGGAAACCUUUUCUGGUGGAGAAUCGUACAAAAUACUAUCAGAGUUUAACUCAAACCCUAGAUUAGCCAUAAAUCAACAAUUUUGUUCCCUUCCCUAUAUAUAUGACUUAUACUAACCUCCCAAUGCCUACUUAACAAGCCUUUAAUUGCUCUAAUUAAGUCUAGAUUAGAGCAAGGGUGAGCAGAAGAAAAACUGAUCACAUGAACCACUGCUUUAUUAUCAAUUUGUAAUUUAACUUUGCAGAAGCCUCGCUCCCAAGCCAGCUGGAGACCUUUGUAAACCCCCCAUAACUCUGCACUGUUGGCUCCAUUAGUUUUUAAUGACAAUAAAACAUUUCCAUUCAUUUGUGUCUAAUAUCUCUACUUAAGUGUGCAGGACAAAAAUUGUAUGCAAAUAAUAAAUCAAUCUGUCAAAAGUGUAUAUAAAAAAUCACAUGAAUGAGGAAAAAUGAUUGAUCAACAAAAAAAAAGGUCCUUAGUUGAAUAAUGAAGAGUAUUGGUUGACUAAAAUUUAAAUUGGAGAAAUGGCAGGCUGAAGAAUAUUGAGAAACAGAACCGACUUAGUCUACCAAGAAAUAAGUUAGUCGACUAAGUGCUCUCUGCCAGAAACUGAGAACAGAAGACAGAACCAACUUAAUCGACUAAGAAGGAAGUUAGUCGACUAAGAGUUCUCUGUCUGCAAUUUGAACCUGAGUACUAGAAGAUAGAUUAACUGCUAGAACCAUCUCUCAACUGUUUUCAACGGCCAUAAACUGUCAAACUGCCAUCAGAGUUGUUUCUUCAAGUAUAAAAGGGUCUUCUAACGGUUAAAAAAGAUAUAGAGAGAAGAUUGAAGGCUUUCAAGUAUGAAAAAGAGCUGAAAAACUAGAAAACACUCACUGUACUCUCACUGCACUUAACGCCUAUCUUUGUAAUUGUGAUCUGCCCUUAACCUUGUACCACUUGGAUCAACCUUGUGAUCAUAGGCACACUCUUUUUACUUUUCUUCUUAUAUUCUUAGAGUGAGCAAGUCACUCUAAGUGAUUAUUUCAAGCUAGGAUCGCUUGAUUAUGUUAAGGUUCUAACUUAACCUUGAAAAGUUAGGUGUUUGGAUUUCCGUUGAUCCCGGUAAAAACUAUUAUGAAAGGUUUUGGCUGAGCCUGGUAAAAGCCAUUGCAAAGCUUGGUGAAAGCUUGUGAAUUUCAUCAUCCAUAGUGGAUUAGUUUGGAAAAUCCUUGAUUGAAUAAUUAAGGUAGUAGAUGUAGGUCUUGGACCGAACCACUCUAAAUUCAUGUGCAUUAUCUACUCUGUUUUUAUUUUCAUUGCUUUUCAAAUUAGUUCCUCAUCUUGCUAAGAGCCAAAAAGUGUUAUUCACCCCCUUUUUAGCACAUUUAUUUGGGACUAACAAGUGGUAUAAGAGCCUAACCCCUGUUAUUAAAGUCUAACACCCUUAGGAAUAUCCAAAUGGCUCUCCAAAAAUUCAUAGUUGCUGAGAGACAAUCAACAAACAAACCACCUCUGUUUGAUGGCUCUAACUAUCCUUAUUGGAGCACUAGGAUGUCAAUAUACAUUAGAGCAAUUGAUUAUGAAAUGUGGGAUGUCAUAACUGAUAGACCAUUUAUUCUCUCAACUCGAAAUGUAGUGACAAAUGAGAUGAUCCCUAAGCCAAGGUCUGAAUGGACCGAGGCUGAAACUAAAAGAGUCCAGACCAAUUUUAAGGUAAUCAAUACAUUGCAUUGUGCUCUAACUCCUACCGAAUUCAAUAAAGUUUCAAGCUGUACUACACCAAAACAGGUGUGGGAUUAGCUUAGGAUUAUCUAUGAGGGGACUUCUCAAGUCAAGGAGUCCAAGAUAGCUCUCUUGACCCACAAUUAUGAAAUGUUUAAGAUGGAGCCUGGUGAAGAUAUUACCAGCAUGUUAGAUAGAUUCACAAACAUUACAAACAAAUUAAGUCAAUUAGGCAAACCAAUUUCAGAGCAUGAAAUUGUAAAAAGACUUCUUAGAAGCCUACCUAAAAAUUAAAAGCCUAAAGUGACUACAAUUCGAGAAGCCAAAGACCUAAAUGUUAUUAUUCUAGAUGAGAUUUGUUAUUCUCUCCUUACUCAUGAGUUAGAACUCAAGGAAGAGGAAGAAAAAGAUAAGAAGGAAGCAAAAGAAAAAAAAAAAGAAAAAGAGCAUUGCACUAAAAGCCAACAUUCUUGAAGAAGAGUUGGAAGAGCUCUAUUGUGAUGAUGAUGAAGAGUUGGUACUGGUUGCAAGGAAAUUUAGAAAGCUUAUGGGCAAAAGAAACAAGAGAUUGUCUAGAAGAGGCUUUAGAAAAGAUCAAGGUUAUUCAUGGAAAAUCAGAAACAAAAAUGACUCUAACAAGAAAGAAGAACUAACCUGUUUCGAAUGCAAGAAGCCUAGACAUUUCAAGUCCGAAUGCCCCUUGCUGAAAAAAAAAACUCUAAAGAGAAACAAGAAAUCAAAGAAGGCAAUGGUGGCAGCCACUUGGUCAGGCAGUGACACUUCAAGUUCUGAAGUUGAGGAAGAAAAAGCUAAAGAAAGAGUAAACUUGUGUUUGAUGGCACAAGAUGAUGAAUCUGAGGUAUCCUCAUCCCUCUGCAAUAUUUCUAUUGAUGAGCUUCAGGAUGAAUAUGAAUGUUUAUAUGAUGAAUUUGAGAAACUUGUUUUGAAAUACAAAGCCUUAAAGAAAAAGUCUGCAUCUCUUGAAUCAAAUUUGGAUAAGAUCAAACUUAACUUUGAUUCUGUUUUUGAACAAAGAAAUUUUCUACAAAUUGAAUUGGAGCACUCAAAAAUAAAUUUUGAAAACCUAAAAUUGGAAUUGGAAAGUGAAACUGAAAUAUUGCAAAAGCUAAGUGAAGAAAAUACUGCACUCAAAAGUUUGAAAAAUGAAACUCUAAAAAGAAAUGUUUACUACAAGAAAAAUUCUGCUAAUGCAUCAUCUAGGUGUUAUAUUUGUGAUAAAAUUGGCCAUAUAUCCUAUAAUUGCAAUAGAAAAGGAAAUGUGCAAAAAAUAAAAAAAAUAUGGGUUCCAAAAGGAUCCUAUAUUGCAACUAACAAUCAAGGACCUAUCAAGGUAUGGGUACCUAUAAACAAAAAUCGAAAAUCUGUCUUGUAGGUUGAGCUGCACUUAAAGGAGACAUGUUCAAGAGCUCAACUCAAGAAGAAGCAGCCUUGGUAUAUGGAUAGUGGCUGCUUAAGGCACAUGACAGGAGAUGAAAUGUUAUUUGCUAAGUUGGACAAAAGAAAGGGAGGAACCGUAUCCUUUGGUGAUGAUUCAAAAGGUAGAAUCCAUGGUAUAGAAACGGUUGGUAAGAACUCCCAAACUCAAAUUAGUCAUGUGUUAUUGGUCAAAGGCUUGAAACAUAAUUUAUUGAGCAUUAGUCAAUUGUGUGAUAAAGGAUUUAAAGUAUGCUUUGAUUCAAAUAAGUGUGAAGUGAUAGAUAUAAGCACUAAUAAAGUCUCAUUUAUAGGAAGAAGAUUAAAGAAUAUGUAUGUUGUAUUUCUUGAAGAUCUUGAAAUGAAUUGUUAAAUGUGUUUAGUGGCAAAUGCUGAAAAUGAUAGUUGGCUAUGGCAUAGGAGACUAGGACAUGUGAGCAUGCAUACUAUAUCAAAAUUAAUUAAGAAAAAUCUAGUUGUUGGAUUGCCGGAUAUAAAAUUUGAAAACGAUAAAAUAUGUGAUGCUUGCCAACUAGGAAAACAAGUUAGAACAUCCUUUAAGACUAAGAAGAUUGUGUCAACAACUAGACCUCUUGAAUUGCUGCACAUUGAUCUAUUUGGUCCAAUAAGUAUAACUAGUCUAGGAGGAAAAUCUUAUGGCUUUGUAAUAGUUGAUGACUACUCUAGGUACACUUGGGUUUAUUUUCUUACUCAUAAAAAUGAUGCUCUAUCAGCAGUUAUAAGUCAUUGUAAGAAAGUUGAGAAUGAAAAAGGACUAGCCAUAGUUAGUAUUAGGAGUGAUCAUGGAGGAGAGUUUGAAAGUGAUGAAUUUGAGAAAUUUUACAAUGAAAAGGGGUUGGAUCAUAAUUUUUCUGCACCUGGAACGCCCCAGCAAAAUGGAGUUGUAGAAAGAAAGGAAAAAUCGAACCUUAAAAGAAAUGGCUAGAACUCUGCUAUGUGAGAAUAACCUACCAAAAUUUUUUGGGCUGAGGCAGUGAACACAACAACGUAUAUACUUAAUAGAGUCUCAAUUAGAGCCAUGAUAUCAAAGACUCCAUAUGAACUUUACAAGGGUAAGAAACCAAAUAUUUCACACCUUAGGCGUUUUGGUUGUAAAUGUUGUGUUAAACAAUGGAAAACAGUCCUUAGGUAAGUUUGAUGCAAAAAGUGAUGAGGUAAUAUUUUUAGGAUAUGCAUUAAACUCAAAGGCUUAUAGAGUUUUCAACAAAAGAACUUUAACUGUUGAAGAAUCAAUCCAUGUAGUUUUUGAUGAGUCUAAUGCCUUACAAAAGGAAAUUCAUGCUAAUGAUGAUGAUGUAGAGAUUCUAGAAAAACAAAUGGAAGAAAUGAGCUUAGAGAACAAUAAGAAUAAUGAAGAAAGCUCACCUAGAAGAGAAAAUGAAACUCCACCUUUAGAAAAUUUGCAAAGAACAGAAAUUCAGCAUAGUGAUCUUCCAAGGAGUUGCAGAUAUGUAAAAGACCAUCCACAAGAACAAAUCAUAGGUGACAUUUCUCAAGGAGUUAAGACUAGGAGAGCAACAAGAGAGACUUGUGAGUUUUUAGUUUUCAUAUCUCAAAUUGAGCCUAAAACAUUUGAGGAAGCAGAAAAAAAAGAAAGUUGGAUAUUGGCCAUGCAAGAGGAACUUGAUCAAUUCAAAAGAAACCAUCUGUGGUCAUUAGUCUCUAGGCCUUUAAACCACCUUAUUGUUGGAAGAAAAUCGGUGUUUAGAAAUAAGGUAGAUGAGUAAGGAAAUGUAGUUAGAAAUAAAUCUAGGUUAGUAGCCCAAGGAUACAACCAAGAGGAAGGAAUUGACUAUGAUGAAACCUUUGCACCGGUUGCUAGGAUUGAAGCCAUAAGGUUGUUGCUUGCUUUUGCAUGCUUUAUGAAUUUUAAAUUGUACCAAAUGGAUGUAAAUAGUGCAUUUUUAAAUGGAUUCAUUCAAGAGGAAGUGUAUGUUGAACAACCACCAGGAUUUGGAGACUUUGAAAAACUAGAUCAUGUUUUCAAACUUCAUAAAGCUUUGUAUGGAUUGAAACAAGCUCCUAGAGCUUGGUAUGAGAGGUUUUCAAAAUUUCUGGUUGAAAAAGGAUAUGUUAGAGGUAGCAUUGAUACUACAUUGUUUAUUAAAAGAUACUUAAAGGAUUUAAUUGUUGUUCAAAUUUAUGUGAAUGACAUUGUAUUUGGUGCAACCAAUGAGGCUUUAUGCAAGAACUUUGCUGAAGAGAUGUAGGGUGAAUUUGAGGUGAACAUGAUGGGAGAGUUGAAGUAUUUUAUUGGGCUUCAAAUCAAACAAAGUGAGAAAGGAAUCUUCAUCAACCAAGAAAGAUACACUCAAGACAUGCUCAAAGGGUUUGACAUGCUGAAGCUGAAAUCAAUUUGCACACUAAUGAGUCCAUCCACCAGACUUGAUUUAGAUGAAAAAGGAAAGGAUGUUGAUCAAAAGCUCUAUAGAGGCAUGAUCGGAUCAUUACUCUAUUUAACAGUUAGCAGACCUGACAUUUAAUUCAGUGUAUGUCUAUGUGCUCGUUUUCAAUCUAAUCCUAAGGAAUCACACUUGACUACUGUUAAAAGAAUCUUUAGAUAUCUCAUAGACACUCAAACAUUAGGCAUAUGGUAUUCUAGAGAAUCAACCUUUAAUUUAAUUGGAUAUUCAGAUGCUAAUUUUGCUGGCAGCAAAAUAGAUAGAAAAAGCACUAGUGGAACCUGCCAAUUUCUAGGUAGUAUGCUUGUGUCAUGGUCUAGCAAAAAGGAAAAUUCAGUUGCUUUGUCCAUAGCAGAAGCAAAAUAUGUAUCUCUAGGUAGCUGUUGUGCUCAAAUCUUAUGGGUUAAAUAACAACUAAAAGACUAUAGAAUAUCAAUGCAUAAUAUACCAAUAUAUUGUGACAAUACAAGUGCAAUUAAUAUUUCAAAAAAUGCUAUGCAGCAUUCUAGGACUAAUCACAUUGAGAUUAAGCACCACUUUGUUAGAGACCAUGUAGUGAAGGGUGAUAUUAAAAUUGAGUUUGUGAAUACUUUGCAUCAAUUAGCUAACAUCUUUACCAAACCUCUAAAUGAAGAUAGAUUUUGUGAGAUUAGAAGGAAUUUAGGGAUGAUUAAUAUGCAGGAGUUGUAGGUAAAUUUUUGACUCAUGCACAUAAAACAGAAGGCACUUAGUCAACUAAAGAGAAUCUUAGUCAACUAAGAGUGUUCUGUCAUCUUAAAUAAUAAGACUUAGUCAGUUAAAUGAAGAAGGAAUAAAAUAAUGAAAAGAAUGUGUUUACCGAGUAAUAAAGAAAGAAGAAAAACCGCCUAGGAAAAUAACCAAGUUUAGAGGGAAUUUUUCAAAUUUUGAACAGUAGAAAAACUGACAGCAUUUAAGGGGAAGUCAGAUAGUUUUUUGAGAGAUUAAACUGCCUAUUAACCCAUUUCCUCUACAUUUUCUCCGUUGAAAUCGACUCACACAAAAAUGAAACCCUCACCACUCAAAAUCUCAAAACCCUCAAUAAAAAAUUUCUCAAGUCAAAAAUGGUAAAAAACUCUAAGAGCAAAGAGAUUAUUGAGAAGAAGAAAGGUAAAUGGCCAUUGGAAGAAGGCAUGGAAGCAGAAAUACAGAAAAAGAAACAGAAAAUUGGGUCUACUUCAAUGAGUGAAAAAUUUGGGAAAUCACAGAAGGAAAAGAAGCAGAAAACAUAGAAGAAGAAAAAAAAAGGGAAUAUCAUCAAAGAAAGGUAAAUCUUUGUCCUCUAAAUUUAGAAGCAAAAUCCAUGAGGAUAGGUUCCAGAAAAUUGAAAAUGCACCAAUCACUUGUGGAAAGUUUAUAGACUGGAACAGUUUUAAUGAAGUGUCUGAAUUUGAAGCAGUUUUAUCAGAUUAUUUUAAGGAGAUGAAAAUGAAAUAUUUUAGUACUUUUAAGAAUCGAGCUUAUAGUGCCAGUUUGGUUAAAGAAUUUUAUUCUAGUAUAGCAGUUGAGAAGAAUGAAUUAGAGGAGUCAGAUGAUUAUCUUGAGGAUGGCCUAAAUGUAUUUUUAAAUGGGAAAGAAUUUACUGUGACUGUUAUUGAUUUGGGCAAUUUGCUUAAAAUUGAAUGUGAAGAGGGUGAGUUUGAAUUUCUUGAAAACUAUGAUCCCUCAUCCCUGUGGGAAGUGAUUACAGGAAAGAAAGAGAAAUAUUCUUCUAAGAGUAAUACUGGUUUGAUCACUAGUCCAUAAAUUAGCAUAUUGCAUUAUUUCAUUGCUGCUAAUGUUCAUGGAAGAGGGGGAAGUUUUUGCUAUAUCAGUCUUCAGGAUCUUUGGCUAAUGGAACAUGCCUUCAAUGGCAGUCCACUGAACCUAAGAAGAUUUAUGAUUGGGAGGAUGAAGGGAGCUUGUAGACUGGAAAAGAUUAAUCUGUCAUAUGGGAAUAUCAUUAUUGCACUGGUCCAAAAAAAAGGGAUUUAGAGUUCAAGAUAUGCAUUGGAUCAAGUAAAGAGCAGGGAUCAACCGAUCUACCUUGGGAGUUUACCUAAGAUGGGAUACAAACUUGAAGGAGAAAAAUAUGUUAAAACUUUCAAAGUAACUCCUAAAAAAGAGACUUCACUCCCGGCUCAACUAGAGGCAGCACCAUCUCAAUUCUCAAAUGAAGUGAUCUUCAACCUGCUUAUGAGAAUUGAUGGAAAGCUCACAGACCAAGGAGCAAGAAUGAAGAAAAUUAAGGAGAAAGUGGCUGAACUGAAAAAUGUACUAAAAAAAAAAAGGAAAAAUGCCAUCCGAACCUGCUACUACAGAUACCUCUGCAACUUUAACCCCAACACCAGCAGGGGAAGCUGCUGAAGGCCCUGCCUUCCCAGCUGAGAGUUCUAGAUGCUCUGCUCAUCAGGACAAAGAUGCUGAACCAAUGAUUGACCCUACAGUUGAGCUUGAAAAGGAAAAUGGGUCAGAUAAGGGAACUGAAGUUCUUAGAUCUCUUGAUGGCAUCUCUCCACCCAUUCAAGAUCCACAACUAGACCCUCAACCAUCUCCUCCACAUUCUGAAGAGGUUUCAAUCAUGGGUCUUUUUCAUAAAAUGGUUCAUGAGGAAUAAGUUGAAAAGGAAGUAACUCAAGCAAAAACACAACAAGCCACAUCUGCACCAGCACAAACAGUAGAGAAGUAGAUUGGGAAAGGAAAAGAGAAAACUACUGCAGCCCACAGACUAAACCAAAACCACCUAGUAAAGGCAUCAAGAGGAUGGCAACCAAGAAAAAAUUCCUUAAAAGAAGAAAAUCCUCCAGAAUUGCUAAGAAGUCUAAACCAGCAACUAUCUCUUCUCCUCAAGAACCUCUGAAAAUUUCUGACAAAUCCUCACCUGAACCUCCACCACAAAAAUCACCACAAGAACCUUCUCCUGAACCCCUAAAUGUCAAAUAUUUCACUAAUGAUGAAUCCUCUCUCUCAUCCUCUUCAAAAGAUGAUUAAACAUCCUUAAGUUUUGAUGAUGACAAAAAUGGGGAGAAGUGGAAAGCUAAGAGGAAAGGGAAAAUAAAUUUUAAAAAAAUGUUAGGGUAGAGGUACCAAGAAUCUAGGUGAAAUUUAGGAUGUUGAAUCUAACUAGGUUGUCUAUGGUAGUUUGUUGAAAAUUAGAUACUGAUCAUUGUGCUAAGACACUGUUUAUUUCUUUUGUUCUGUAAUAUGUUGAAAACUUAUUCUGAUAAUGCACUGAAAACUUAUUCUUAUGAUAUUUUGGUUGGAUUGUGAAUGAAUGCAAUGUUGAUAAGUUGAUGAUUGAAUAUCUAAAGUUGUUAUUAAGUUUCUAUUGUUGUUUAAAGAUUUGAUGCUGAUAUUAAGUUGUUAUGCUGACAAUUAAUAUGAUAUUGUGAGUAAGAUUUGGAUGAAAAUAAAUAUGAAUGCAAAUAUUUUUGACUGGAUGAUUUAUGGUAUUUAGCUUUUGAAUGAAUUAAGUCUGGAAACAAUAUGAUAGACAUCAAAGUGAAAUAGUAAUGAUGUUCUGUCAUCUUGUCACUUACUGUUUAUUAUUUCAUAAGCCUAUAUAAAUAUAUUCUGUCAAAAAUUUGAACCCUUACAUGGCAUUUCUGUAUGACAAGAAUAAAAAAAUGCUGAGAUGAAUAAUAAAACUAUGCACACACUAAGGGGGACCACACACUUAGGGGGAGGAAAACCACCAUUUUGUGCAGAACUGAAAAGAAUAAAAGGACGUUGUGCUGUUAAUCAAGGAAUGUUUUGUCAUCAUCAAAAAGGGAGAGAUUGUUGGCUCUAUUAGUUUUUUAUGAUAAUAAAACAUUCCCAUUCAUUUGUGUUUAAUAUCUCUACUUAAGUGUGCAGGACAAAAAUUGUAUGCAAAUAAUAAAUCAAUCCAUCAAAAGUGUCUAUAAAAAAUCACAUGAAUGAGGAAAAAUGAUUGAUCAACAAAAAGGAAGGUCCUUAGUUGAAUAAUGAAGAGUAUUGGUUGACUAAAAUUCAAAUUGGACAAAUGGCGGGUUGAAGAAUAUUGAGAAACAGAACUGACUUAGUCGACCAAGAAAUAAGUUAGUCGACUAAGUGCUCUCUGCCAAAAACUGAUAUUAGAAGACAGAACCAACUUAAUCGACUAAGAAGGAAGUUAGUCGACUAAGAGCUCUUUGUCUGCAAUUUUGAACCUGAGCACUAGAAGAUAGAUUAACGGCUAGAACCAUCUCUCAACUGUUUUCAACAGCCAUAAACUGUCAAACUGCCAUCAAAGUUGUUUCUCCAAGUAUAAAAGGGUCUUCCAACGGUUAAAAAAGAUAUAGAGAGAAGAUUGAAGGUUUCCAAGUCUGAAAAAGAGUUGAAAAACCAGAAAACACUCACUGUACUCUUACUGCACUCAACACCUAUCUUUGUAAUUGUGAUCUGCCCUUAACCUUGUACCACUUAGAUCAACCUUGUGAUCAUAGGUACAUUCUUUUUACUUUUCUUCUUGUAUUCUUAGAGUGAGCAAGUCAUUCUAAGUGAUUAUUUCAAGCUAGGAUCACUUGAUUGUGUUAAAGUUCUAACUUAGCCUUGAAAAGUUAGGUGUUUGGAUUUUAGUUGAUCCCGGUAAAAACUAUUGUGAAAAGUUUUGGCUGAGCUUGGUAAAAGUCAUUGUAAAGCUUGGUGAAAGCUUGUGAAUUUCACUGUCCAUAGUGGAUUAGUUUUGGAAAAUCCUUGGUUGAAUAAUCAAGGUAUUGGAUGUAGGUCUUGGAUCGAACCACUCUAAAUUCCUACACAUUAUUUACUUUGUUUUUAUUUUCAUUGCUUUUCAAAUUAGUUCCUCAUCUUGCCAAAAGCCAAAGAGUGCUAUUCAGCCCCCCUCUAGUACAUUUAUUUGGGACCAACACGCACGAUAGGCUGAACUUUUAUCUAACUUGCAGGCAUAUCCCACUAUCCAAGUACCAUGUGUGUCUCUCAACACUCCUCCAGUAGAAGAAGUCCUUACUGCACUCUUGUACGCCCUAUUCGAAUUCACUGCUAUCCAUUCUUCUGGUGGUGGUGUCCAUCCCACUAGGAUCUCUUCAUGUCGCCUCAUACCCCCACUUAUCAAAGGAAGAGUUGUCCAUGUGCUAUGAGUAUGUACAGCCAUGCUUUUGAUUAUACUUAGCUCGCCUUCAAUGGAGAGUUCGCAACCUUCAAAUAUUAACAAGUUUCGCCAUUUCCAAAUAUACAAGCAAGCUAUACCAAAAACAAUAUUUCAGGGGACAUCAAAGGUAUAAAGAGUAUAUAGUUGUUUUAUUUUACUCUCUUGAUAUAUUCGUUUAUCUGCAUAUUUUUGUUUUUACUCUUUAUUUUCUUGGAUUAAAGAAUGGCUGAACCAUUUUAAUAUUUUAAAAUAUUAACUUUUUCAUCACAAGGAAAAAUAUAAUUGGCUUAAUUUGGAGUCAUUAUACAUGUUCAGAGCAAUUUUUGUAAAUCCUUGUUUUAUGAAAGAGUCUGAUCUCAUAGUAAAGGCUUUUUUGUUAUCUUUUAUUCUUUUAUAUUCUCUUGAUGGUGCAAGAUGUUUAUAAAUAAUGAAAAGUAAUGGGGUUCUCAGCAAAUCAUAAGUUUUAGCUUAUAACAAGUGUUUGUACACCUCCUGCUAUAGGUUAAAAAAAUAAACAAGUACUAUAAACUUCAAAGCAAAAAAACAAUGAUAGAUUGAUGGUGAUUCUUUGUAAACUAGUGUGCUGCCCGUGUGAUGCGCUCGCACUUGGGAUGACAAUUUUUUUUUUUAAUUGGAUUGCCAAUAGUUUGUAAAAUAGAUAUGUAAUAGUAAUUAUUUUAUCAUAUUUAAUUAUUGAUAUACAUUGACAUGCACAAAAUAUUGUUUUACAAAAUAUAUAAGUAGUGUUAGUUGUGUACAAAAAUCAAAACAAAAGUUUGCACUUAGGUCAUCGAUAUUUAAUACUGUUUGUGCAAAGUUGGUGCCUUCAUACAAAAUAGAGAAGGCAUUUUAGUUUGCAAUUGCUGAUUCAACAAAAGGUAGACCAAAAACGUGUAGCGAGCUUGGGAUCAUUCAUACUCGUUUGUCUAGCAUGGACUUGCAUGUAGUGAACAAUAUUUUAUAUUAGAAUUUCAUGUUGUUUCAAAUGCUAAGUUGUGAAGGGAAUCUAUAAAUGUAUUUGUAUAGAAAAGUAAGCAUGAGAUGGAAACAUAAAAACUAUAUGAGAUUUUUUUAAAAAAUAAAAUAAAAUGAUAUGGAUAAAAUAAGAACAAAAAUGUGUUCCAGUCAAUUAAGUGUACUAAAUGUUCAACAAAACGAAAAUUGUGACCAACAGUGAGUUCAUUAUAUAUAGAUGGACAAUGUGAGUGUCAAAGUGGCAAAAAAAAAAAAAAUGCAAUGAAUAUGAUACAUAGUGACUUUGUACCAAUAGAUUACUUGAUUGCAUCAAAACUAAUACUUAAAUUUUAAAAUGCCAUAGUGAUCAACUGAAUUAAUUUUAUUUACAAUAAUUGUAUGUGCAUAUAAUUUGAACAUCACAAUUUGUACACCAUGGAAAGUUAUUACUGCAAAUGCUGAUAGACUACAGUAUUCAAAAUAUCACAUAAUAGACAGCAAAAAUAUUGUUCUUAAUUGUUUGUCACAGUGUGGCAUUAAUUAAUCAACAUUCAACAUCCAUUGAGUGAUUUCACAAUUAAAUCAAUCCAUUCAUCAAAUUAAACCCAUUUCAUCCAUUAUUGAAAAUGACAUUUCUAUUAAGUAUUCUAAAUCAAAUAAAGCAAACAUAUAUGCACUCCAUUGAUAUUUGUACUCUUUAGGUCAUAUUAUAUGCCAUAGCAACCAAUAUUAGAUCAUUUUCAAUCACUCUUACAAAUUAAUUAAUAACAGUACUUUCAAAUAAAUCACAUCGUAUAGCCUAAGAAAACAUAUACAUAUUCGCAUAAAAACGAUAAAAAAUGAGCAGAAAUGGUGAUGAGAAGAAAACAAUUUAUAAAAGAAUGCAAUAUGCGUGUCUUACAACUCAAUGCAAUUUAUGAAUAUUGUUGGAAGAUAAUCGGCAACACAAACUUAUACAGAACAGCACAUAAAUAUUUGCAUAAAAAAAGUAGAAAGUCCAAACAUUCAAUCACAAAGUACAUAGUAACGAAUUUACAUAUUAACUAAUUAGCACAACACCAAUAUCUUUGUUUUGUUUGCUAUAAUUAAUAAAAAACAAAAAGAAAUUCAUUUGGAUAAUGCAAAAAAGAAGUUCAUUUAACAAAAAAAAUAAAAAAAGCAAAACAGAAAUAGAGUAAAUUUAUAAUGUCCCACUUUAAAUGUUUUUUUGUCUAACAUCUCAAUACUAUAAUUGAUAGAAAGAAUGAAAAUGAUGUUAUAAACAAAGCAGGGCAAUAUAUAUUUUUUUUGACACAGCCUACUUUUGUAUUUCUAAAGUUUAAUAAAGAAAUAAUCUUUUGCAUAAAAAUAGUAGAUAAUUUAUAUAUUCUAUCAAUAGGUACAUAAGAAACAACUUACAUGUUUGCUAAUGACCAAACAGUGAUAUUCUUCUCUUUCGCAACUUGUAAAAACCAGCAGAAAAAAAAAAAAAUUAUUCAGUUAAUAAAAGAUUGUAUCACCAAAACAAAAAGAUAGUAAUGAUUUUGAGUUCGAUAAUGUAGAUAUACAUAAAAUAUUAUUUAUUUGGGUAAAAAUUAGACAUGAAAAGAGCUGAAAAACAAUAAACUUGAAAUGUCAUAUUUACUCGUAUCUAAAAUAGUCAGAGAAUCAGAGUUUAUCUCUUCUUUUCUACUUUCCCAGCUUUCUCUGUUGACAAAUCAUCACUUGUUCUUGUACUGUCCUAUAAAUCAUCCGUUUUUAGCAACCUAAUAAUGACCAUUUUAAUAUAGAAAGAAAGAUACCAUAAAAUAUAUAAGAUCCUAGAAUGAAAUUCCAAAUAAACAAACAACCAAACAUGUUGUCGGUAUCCAUAUUGAAAAAUAAAAAUAUAAAAUACACUUCUGCUUGCAACCGAGGCCAGACGUCAAAAACCGACCAGAAGCCACAAAAAAUCUUCAAUUGACCACAAACCCGAUCACUGAAAAGAAAAGCAACAAUAAAAAACCAAAGAGAAACGCAACCCUCUGUAGGGAAUUGAGAAAUGUUCAAACAGAACUAUCUAGAAGACUUGCACAAAUGACAGGAGAGAGCCAAUAAAAUUCAACAAUACCAAGAAACACCUGCCCACAUUUCCACCUCCUUUGAAAGCCGUCCAAAAAACAGUCUAUCACCUGACCUAAAGAUCAACCCAUAAAAAAAAAAAAAAAAAAAGGACAAACUCAAAUAACAACUCAUGAAAUAGCACGUGUAAAAUAGAAAGAAGAGAGCUGACGUGGCUCAAUGGGAGAAGCCCUUUCAAGCUUCCUUUAAAUAUAUUUAUAGAUUUUGUUUAACCAGAUUUUACAGUGAAAUUAUUGAAGUCGAACAAUGAUGAAGAAAAUAAACGAUCUUUCACAUUAAGUUGGUAUUAAGUAGAAAGCUAGGAGAAAAAGUUGAAACAUCCUGAUUAUGUUUUGAAUUUGAACUAAUAUAGUAUUGGUAUUUAUAACGUAGGGAUUCUUUAUUGUCCUGCUGCAAGGGAAUUCGAUACUUUUAGUGUUGCUUAUUAUUAACCAUGUUUAUUGAAAGAACUAAGUAAGUAAUAUACGUAAAAUCCUUUAGAAAAAAAAAAACACAAGAAAGCAAAUAGAUCAUUUUUUGACUCUUGAUUUGAAAUUUGUUUGACUCUUGAUUUGAAAUUUGUGUUUAACACAAAGACACUAGUUCAGUAUUAGAUUUUAGAAGCAUGUUGGUGUGAAACUUAAGUUGCUUUUUAGAUAAAGGCUUUCAUUAAGGCUCAGUUUCAAGAUAGAAUUUAAAGCAUAUUGUAGAUAUUUUUGAAGAUAACAUGCAUUGAUGUUAAUAAAACAUAAUAUUUUUUAACUUUUAAAUUUGAUAUGAAAGAUUUGAGAGAAGCUAAUAUUGUUUUGGGUGUUAAAAUCAUAAGAUGUGAUAGCGGCCUAAUACUAACACAAAAAUAUUAUGUUGAGAGGCUACUUAAAAAGUUCAGACAUUUAAUGUCACACCUAUGAGUACUUCUUAUGAUGCUAAUACCUAAUCAAAGAAAAAUAGAGGUGAUAGUAUGGCUCAACUUAAGUAUGCUCUAAUUAUUGGGAGUCUCAUAUAUUUGAUGAAUUAUGCUCGACUUGAUAUAACUUAUACUAUGUGUAGACUGAGCAGAUAUACACAAAGCCCUAAUCGAGAUCAUUGAACUACCUUGAGUAGAGUAAUGAAAUUGAGGGGUACCAUAAACUAUAGUAUUCUAUAGAAUGGAUUUCUCGUUGUAUUAGAAGGAUAUAGUGAUGUUAACUGGAUUUUAGAUUUAGAUAAGACAAAAUCUAUGAGUGGAUAUGUAUUCACCUUCGACGGGGGUAUUGUAACUUGGAAAUUAGCCAAACGAAUAAUAAUUGCUAAAUCUACAAUGGAAUUAAAAUUUGUAGCUUUGGAGUUGGUUGACAAUGAUGUUGAGUGGUUAAGAAACCUCUUGGCAGAUAUUUCGUUGGGAAUGAAACCAACACCUUCGUUUAAGACAUGAUGUGGUAAAACAGUUGAGAUGGAAUUACGUCCAUUAAUUAUGUGACGUCAGAAAUGAAUUUGGCCAAUCCUUUGACUAAACCAUUGGGAAGAAAAUUAAUUAAUGAUGCAUCGAGGGGAAUGAGACUUAAGCUAAUUGAGAAAAAUCAAUAGUAAUGGCAACCCAACCUAUGUGAGUGGCGAUCCCAUGAAUUAGGUUCAUAUGGGUAAUAACAAGUUAUUUGUUGAUAAAAUAAUGCACUAUUAAAAAUUAUUGUCUCUCAUAUGAUGUGUAAAUAGUACAAAACUGCAAUAAAAGAGAGGUUUAGUUAAACUCUUAAUGAAUUCCAUAUCUCUUAUGGGUAGUAUAUUAAAUUACAGUAUAUACUUGAUGGAAUCACCUAUAUAAGUUUGGUGAGGCUGUUCUUAUAAGAAUUGUGGCAAAUUCUCUAGAGCACUUAUGAAUAACUAGGCACAUACAUGGCUUAUUCGAGCAAAACCAUGUUGAACAGCAGAAAUUGUGAGGUUGUGAUGUGAUUGAUGAAAAUCAUAUUUCACAUAAAGAAUUUUUGGUUCAUAUAAGUUAUAAACUUCACCAAAAUUCUAUGAUUUAUAUUUCAUUCUUUUUAGGCUAGGUUCAUUGCUCAAAAAGCACCAAUCUCGAUGCAUUUCACUUAAAUGAGCUUAAACCAUCAAAAACUUCCUAUUAUGAAACCUGAUUAAUUAUAUGGGGGAUUAUUGGAUAUAUAGUGAUAUCUCAUAAGGUUGCUAUCCCAUAUUGCGUAGGAAUACAAAAUGUUAAUGUUUUAUAUAAGUAAACUCAUUAUGGGCUUGUUGAAAGUAAGAAAAGAAAGUGGUUUCGUGCGAACACAAGAUCGGGCAAGCCUUGAGAAAAUGCAAAUUCCCUUUUACGUGUGAGUAUACACAUGGGCUAAGCCCAAGUGAUAUUUUUGUACCUUGGUUAUAUGUUUUUUAUUUCCUUAACCAUUGAUCAAGUCUUUUUACCAAAAUACAAUUUGAUUUGGUCUUUGAUUAUGCCAAAAUUAUAAAAUAAACUUUUAUAGGACUUGAUUUGGUCUUUGAUUUAGCUAACGCUAUAAAAUAAACUAUUACAGGAUAUGAUUUGGUCUUAUAUUAUUUUUUAGAAUAUUUUUAUAAUGUUAUAGAAUAUUUUCCUUAUCACAAAAUUUUUAUUUCUUGAUUUUCUCUCAGUCGUUCCUCCCUAUAAAUAGGUCUACCUAAAUCUCCUUCAUCAAGGUUUAACCUAGGUUUCCAAUUCAAUCUAAUUGGUGAUUAGGCAUUUAGAAGCAUUAAGAAAUGAUUAGAAUAAACAACUUCAAUCCAUCAAACAUAAGCAAAAGAAAGAUAAAUAAAUCAAAUUAGAUAUUGUGUUCAAUCAUAAUCUUAGAUUAAUAAUUUAGUUCCCCAUCAAGUUACACAUCAUUAUCGAAUUAAUUUAAAACAUUCAAAUCAAACUAAGAAAAAUAAGAGAAUGACAAAAGGAUGAUAGAACCCAAGAAUUUAUAAUCUUGAUCUUCUAAAUCUUCUUGACUCAUUUAAAUUCUUCUCAGCUUCAAUAACUUUGCGGCUUGAUUUUCAGCUGUCAAUCUGGUGUUUCUCUCUCCCCUAUAAAAGACUCUUGAAAGGUUGUUUUUAUAGGGUUUUGACGUUAGGCCAAGUUGGGUGAAGAAAGAAGCCAAUUCCAAUAAGGAUUUCUUUAUCAAACUACAUGAGCCAUGGCCUUGACCCAUUAAUUAGUAGAAAUCGUAAUUGCUCUAAGACUACUGCAGUACUUCAAAUUUGACAUGAUUUUUGAUCAUCUUUCAAACCAAAGUGGUGAAAUGGUAUACUUAAAGUUGUAAAAUUUUCUUUUACCUUUCCAAUGGUUUAAGAAUUAUCUUAUUUGGAGUUCUGUAGAGAGAGUUAUGGUCAAAAUACCGAAACAUAUGCAGUGAAGGUUUGCACCCUGAAAUUGCUUUCCUUUUGCCAUUAAAAUUAUUCCUUCAUUAAACACCUACAAAUAGGGGUGAGCAAAUUGGACUCGAACUGAAUAACCGAACCGUACCGAAGUGAGUUCGAUUUUUUCAGUUCUGUUAGUUCAGUUUUUCGAUUAAUUCGGAUAAAGUAAUUCAGUUAGUGUAAUGACUUAGGUUCUGUUUCGGUUAGAAAAAUGUCUAACCGAACUAACCAAACUAACCGAGGGCAUUUUUGUAAUUUUACCUAAAAAAUUCCUAAACCUAAAUCCCCAAUUCUUCUUUCUAAUUUUGCUAUCCUGUUCGGCUAUUCCUGUCUCCCAUGACUCCUAAUCUCCCAUCUCCAGUUCUCCACUUUCCACUCUCCAUUCUCGUCUCUCGCCCUUUCUACCAUCUGCCGACUGUAGUCCGUCGACGUUCGGUCGUCACUCCAGCCGGAUCUGGUUUCUACCGACUACCUUUUUUGGUUUCGGCUUUCUGCCUUCAUCUUGAGCAAGUUCAAGUUUGUCUCUAGUUGACUGGUUUGUGGUUGGGUUCUUGUUGCUGCCGACUGCCCUUCCCUAAUCAAAGUGACUGGUAAGUUUUAUUUAUUCUGCUACCACCAUCAAUAAAGUUUGUUUAUGUAUCCUUCAUCUUGAGAAUUGCUAGCGUCUCUACCUCUCUGAAUAGGCAAGCGUGUUUCCUUUAUAGGGAAUUUCUUUGUCUACCAAAACAUGGCUUGGACUGAACGGAAGAACCCCCUCUUGUUUCAUUUUUGGAAAAUGAAAUUAGUCAAAUUUAUAUAAAAAAUUUUAUUUUGAUCACCUUUGUUCUAAAUUAAAAUUACAUUAUAGUGGACAAUAUAUGCUCAUCCCAAAGCUGUAAACAUCGCUUUUCUUGUUUAGGUUCCCUGAACAUUGAAAUCUAUAUGGAAAACAGAAAUGGUUUCUGUCAGUAGGAGUUUUGUAAAAAUUAGAUGAAUGAAACAAGCAUAAAAGUCAUUUAAUGUUACUUUUAUCAAUUCUUUCAAUAUCGUUUUUGCUUAUCCAAUGAUGCUGAGAAGUUAAAUUGUUAGGGAUUAUUUGGAUGAGCCUAGUCCCAGAGCCUUUAGAGAUGGAAGAUCAGAUGACACAUCCAAAGCCUAACACUCGGGAUUUGAAAGUUAACAUGAUACAAUCUAUGAGGCUAAGAUAACAUUUAGCCAACAGGAAAUGUUACUAGGUUUAGACAACAAUUAUGUGAGAAUUCUCAUCAUGAUUUAGGCAGUAGAUCAGUUACAAUUAAAGAUUUAAGAAAUUAAACAAAUUCAGAUAAAUUUCAUCAAGUUUUAGAUAAUUACUCAGGAUCAAGAUAUCUGGAUGUGCUAGCAGGGCAAGUUGAUAUGUGAGACUCAUUUGUUAAGAAAAUUUUAAACAACCCAAAAUCAGCUAUCUUCGCUUGCAUGCUUUCAGUCAAUAAGAUGAAAAAAAAGAAAAAAUGUAUCAAAUUUAAGAAUAGACUAAUUUUAUAUAUUGCCACUUUAAACUUAAGAACAUAUCAAAUUAUUCGUACAUUAAUUAACAAUGAAAAAAGAAACGCAAUUUCUUAAUAGGAGUUUCUUUUAUUGGAUAAAAUAAGAAUAAUUGUUGACUUAAAAGAAAAAAAAACCUAAUGAAGUAAUUGAUUUCAUUGUUUUGAAUCGAAACUUUAAUAUACUGGCUUGUUGCAAUUUCAUAUUCAGCACUUACGAGAACAAGAUGAUCACCAUCUCUAAUAAGCUCUCUAUAUAUACAAACUUGCUAAUUAAUUAUCAUGACAAAUUUGCUAAUUAAUUAAUUCUUUUUGAGUGACAGGUUGAAGAUUUCAAUGGCAAGUGAAAGUGAUAAUCCAGCUCCAACUCUUACUCCUAGUGAUGUUGUUACGCAGCCUACUCCUAUUGGCAUGUCGUCAUCGUUACCAACACCAACUACACAGCAAACUAUAAUCUCCACUAAUGAUAGUGAUGCUGUCAAUUCUAAGAAACGAAAAGCACUUCCACCGAGGUCUGAAGUUUGGAAACACUUCACCAGAUUCGUCAAUGAUCAAGGUGAACAAAAAGCUAGUUGUAAUUAUUGUGAUAGGGUACUUUUUGAUAAUACUAAAUAUAAUGGCACAACUUCAUUGAAGAAUCACAUGAAUUCUUGCAAAAAGUUUCCUAGUUCUGCUAAUGAUUCUACUCAAAUUGAGUUAGCUUUUCAAUUGGGGGAUGGGUCUAUAGGAAUUUGGAAAUUUAGUCAAGAAGCCAUUAGAAAGUCUCUAGCUAAGAUGAUCAUCAAAGGUGAAUUACCUUUCAGAUUUGUAGAAGGGGAAGGAUUUAAGGAAUUCGUGGCAACUUCAUGUCCUAGAUUUAUUGUCCCAUCACGAUGGACUGUUGCUAGAGAUUGCUUUAACCUUUUUGUUGAUGGAAAGAACCAUUUCAAGUAUAUAUUGAGAACAUCUUCUUUAGGAUUUCUUUGACCACAGACACAUGGACAUCAAUUCAAAGAGAGAAUUAUAUGUGUCUUACGGCUCACUUUAUAGACAAUGAUUGGAUAUUACACAAAAGAAUUUUAAACUUUUGUCCCAUUUAUAGUCACAAAGGUGAGGCCAUUGGGAAAAUGAUUGAUAAAUGUUUGCGUGAGUGGGGGAUUAGUAAGGUUUUCACUAUUACUGUUGAUAAUGCUAGUUCCAAUGAUGUUGCAAUAGCAUAUUUGAAGAAAAAAUUGAGCUUAGUAGGAAAUAGCUUUUUAUAAAGCAAAUUUCUAUAUAUGAGAUGCAUUGCACAUAUCAUUAAUCUCAUUGUCACUGGUGGAUUGAAGGAAAUGAAUGAUUCAAUUGCUUGUAUUAAAGGGGUAAUUAGAUAUGUGAGACAAUCACCUGCUAGGUUAGCAAAGUUCAAAGAAUGUGUUCAGUCUGCAAAAAUUCAAUCAAAAAAUUUGUUGUGUUUGGAUGUUAGUACUCGAUGGAACUCCACUUACUUGAUGUUAGAAACAACUCAAAAGUUUGAAGAAGCUUUUAAUUUAUUUGAGGAAGCUGAUUCUCAGUAUAGAAUUGAUUUAUUGAGGGGAGACGGGAUACCUAAACAUGAGGAUUGGGAAAAUGUUAGGAGGUUGAAUGUUUUCUUGAAACAUUUUUACACACUCACAGUAAAAGUUUCAGGUACUUCUUAUGCCACUAUUAAUACUUUUCUUGAUGAUAUUUGUGGUAUUUGUUGCAUUUUGAGAGAUAGACAAAGGCAUCCUAAUGUUGAGUUGCAAACAAUGGCAAAGAAAAUGAAAGAGAAAUUUGAUAAGUAUUGAGGAAAUAUAGAAAAAAUGAAUAAGCUGCUUUAUGUUGACUCUGUUCUUGAUCCAAGGAAGAAACUUGUAUUUGUGGAGUUUUGUUUGAGGAAAAUGUAUUCGAAUGAGCAGGCUUCAUCGAUUUGUGUGAGUUUGAAGAAAAUAAUGGAAGAGUUGCUUGUUGAAUAUCAAAAAAAUGUACAACCUCUUCUUGAGAAAGUUGGUGAUAGUAGCCAAUCCCAAGUGAGCCAAAUUUCUGAAUUUGAUGAUGAUGUUGACUCCAGUGCUAGUGUUGCUCUUUUGAAUGAAUUUAAGAGCUAUAAAACUGUAAUUGGUAGGGAAGAGGAUAAAUCAAAAUUGGAGAAGUAUUUGAGUUUAAAUGAGCCUGAUGCAAUCGAUAGUGAUGACUUUGAUGUUCUCAUUUGAUGGAAACUCAAUAGUCAUAGGUAUCCUACUCUUGCCCUACUAGCUCGUGAUGUAUUAGCGAUUCCUCCAUCCAUAAUCGCUUCGGAAUCAGCUUUUAGCACCAGUGGUCGUGUGCUUGAUGCAUAUAAGAGUUCUUUAAUGCCAAGAUGGUGCAAGCCCUUAUUUGUGCUCAAGAUUGGCUACAUGGACCUUUUUAUUAUCUUCAUGACACUGAGAAUGAUUUGGUAGAGCUUGAGAAAGUUGAUGAAGGUAAGUAUUUUAUUUAUAUUAUCAUUUCAUUUUUGUUGUUUCAAUUGUUAAUAUGUAAUUGCUUUAUUUCUUACUUUCUUGUUUAUGUAUUGUAGAGUUGUUAAAGAUUACAGUGGACAAUGUAUUUGAUAAUCUUUAAGGUAAUCAAGUAAUGUUUAUUGUUUAGUACUUGAUAAAUAUACUCUUAAAUAUUUAUCAAAUUAACAAUUUUAUAUUAUCUUAUUCUUGAAAAAGUUUAGUCCUUAUUGAUGAUAAUUUGUUUAGUUUUCAUUUUUCCUUUUGACAGAUUCCUUUUUAAAUACAAUUAAUGAUUAUGAAGACUAAAAAAAAUUACAGUGCAUUAAUAAUUAGUAUGUACUCUAGAUAAUAAUAAUUAAUCACUUCAACUCUAUCACUUAGAUUUCUUUUUUUUGUAUACUUUUGUUAAUUGGACAAGGUUGUAACAUUCAUUUAUUUAAAAUUUUUGUGACAUUUAGAAGAAAAGAUGGGGGUGCUGCUGGAGCAUAUAUUAGUUCUUACUUCUAAAAUGAGUGCUUCUGGUGGCUAGUGCUAAUGUUAGUAAUGCUUAUUUUUACUAGUAUGUAUUUUUGUUAGUAAUGUCUUGUGUCAUCUCAAUGGUUGAAGUUGAUAGACAAUUUCUUUUUGGAAUGUUAUUAUUAAUUUAAUCUAGGCUACUUCAUUUUAUGCAUAGUUUGGUGACCCCUUUACAUUACUUAUUCUGUUGCAGGCAUAUGUGGAAAAGUUUCAGAAUUACUAAAAGAAACAUGGGAACCUUUUCAUUUCUGUAUCCAGUUUCCUGUAGCUUUUAGGAAUGCUUACCUUUUCAUUUCUGUUGUGUUUUAUUCCUUGGAAGUUAAUAUAUAGGUAUUUUGUUAUUUUUGUAUUAGAAGUUAAUAUACGAUGCUAGCACUUGCUUGUCAUAUAUGGGUGUUUUGUGCCAGACUGCCAGUUGUGAAUUGUGAUGUUUCUAAAUCUAGUGUCUGACAGUGAUUGUUGCUCUCUAGGCAUCCUGUUUUUAGCUAUGGUUUUAUAUGCCUGAGUUAGAUGUUUAGAUUUUUAAAACUUAGCAUGUUAUUUUCUUGGCAUUUAGCAUUGAUAUGUUUGUCAGUGCAGAGCAUAGAAAUUUUGCAUUUAAAAUAUGUGCAUUGAAGAAUAUGAAGAACAUUGAGAAGAUCCAUAUCCAGAGGCUGAAAACAUGAAAGAGUAGUGGUGAAAUAUUGUUAUUAACUUUAUUCUAUUGGGUUUAAUAUGGAGGGAAACAUCAAGAUUUCUUAUCAAAAACCAACCUUAUUCCCACAACCACUCCAAAUUCCUUUUCCAAUGCUUUUUUUAUGUAUUUUUGGAAGUCAAAGUUGCUUCCUUUUGCAAAAUGGGUCUGAAAAUUCAGAAAGCAAAUAGGAAUUAGAAAAAAAAAUUAUUCAGUUCAAUUUUUGGUAACUGAACCGAACUAAUCGAGUUAGUUCAGUUUCGGUUAGUUCAGUUUCGGUUAGUUUUAUACAAGAGUUCGAUUAGUUUGGUUACUGGAUAUCUAGUAACUGAAUUAACCGAACUACCCGUUUGCACAGCCCUACCUACAAAAGCACAAAUAAAUCAAUAACAACCUAUCUUUAAUCACAUUAACACCAAAUUAAGAAUUAAAUUAACUAAGAUCAGAUUGACUCACCUAAAUUAAUUAACUUAAGUUAAUUUAGCUAAAACCUACUAAUUUCUAUACAUUAGAACAAGAACUAAGCUAAAUUAUUAUCAAAAUAAAGUCCAAAUAACUCUAUAUCAUAGAGUUAUCACACCCUCAAACUUAGUAUUUUGCUUGUCCUUGAGCAAAACAUAGAAAAUAAACUAACUUAUGAAAAUAAAUUUCAAAUAGUGAAAACAAAAUAAAUAUAGUUGCUACUAAUACUACUACUACUACUACUAGAGAUAAAGUGCACCAACUUAAUGAUUUCACCUAGUUUCCUCAAAAGUACGUCUAUCAAUCAUUAACCCAAGGAAAAAUAUAGGCAUAAUUCAAAUUCAUAUUUCAAUUCUAAUGCAAGCAUAUUCUUGAAUGAAUUUUUGUGUGUUUGUGAAAUCUUUUAGCAAGAAUAUCAUGACAUCCGGAUGGCCAACACAAAUUUCAAAUUAGUACUUGAAUUCCAUAGGUUUACUUUUCAUUUCUCUCUUCACUAAUAUAGACUAACACAGAGCUAGGGAUCAAUAGGACUUUAUAAAGCUUGUAAUGUAUGGCUAGGGUUUAAGUAGGAUAAAGGAUAAUAAUGUGACUCAAAUUACCCUAAGUACAUAAUUAUUCUAGGACCUAUAUAUAGAGCUCUAUUCUCCUUCUCCUAAUGCACUUUUUCUUCCACAUUUGAACUUUUUUUUUUCAACACAUUUUUUUUUCUUUUUACAAUUUCACACUCCCAAACUUUUUUUCUUUGUAUUAUAGGUAGUGGGGUGAUUUUUAAUAUUUUGAACUUUUUUUUCCAUCAAUAUCAUGUUUUCACCUUUUUCAACAUUUAGCUCAAUCUAUAUUUCCUAAGACAAUAUACAUACUUAGGAACGAGGGUUGUAAAAUUGGAAAUUUAAUUUAAGGCUAGGCUUAAUUAUUAUGUAGUUAAACAAAGAAAAGGGAAAUUAGGCUCAACGGGGUAUACUAAGGAGAAAAUUUAAUAAGGUUGGCUUUUUAGGCUUAAACAAUCCAAAGAUCGCUUAAAUCAUCUCCCUAACUAAGUAUUGCCUAGGAUUUUACCUUAAGAAAGAAUCAAGCAAAUUCUAGAAUUCUUUGACAUAAUCUAAAAUUCACAUAAUAUUAAUUUUCUCUAGUUCUCAUCUUCGUCUCCAUCAUCCUCUACCUCAUUGUCUUCUGCUUCAUUGGCACCCUUAAGAGGAUUAGUUGCUAGUGGAAGAGUAGACAUAUCCAUUCCCAUAAAGACACCAUAAGUUCGAAACAUGUGGUGCAUAUGUUGAUUACAUUGGGUCUAAUAAGUCAUGUGUUGCUCAAACUGGUUCCCAUGUUGCUCAACUAAGUGCUGAAGAUUCUCAAUUCUUUGAGUCAUUGAUGGUGUAUUGGUCGAAGGGGUAGAGGAUGGUGUGUAGAAGAAGAAUUACCCCCAGUAGAAGUUUGAGAUUGUUUAAGGAUGAGAUUGAGAUCAAUUAGAAGUUUAGGGUGCAACAACUCCUCACUUGCAUCCUAAUUUACACCAACUUGUUUGCACAAAGCUGUAAUUAGAGAAGGGAACCACAAGCUUUCAUGCUUUGAUUGUGUAGUGUGAGUCAUGGCUUUGUAAAUUAUGCGACCAAUAUCAAUUGUGCGUCCAGUCAUGAUGGAAUGAAUAAGGAUGGCUCAAUCUUUUGUGACAUCAUUGAGAUGUGUGGUAGGAAGUAAUUUGGAAGCCACAAAAUAUAACCAUAUUUUAGAAAUUGGUUUCAUUGCAUUCUUCUUGAAUGAAACUGGUGCAUUAUUGAAGAAUCGUCAUUGAGCACCUUCCUCACAGAGUAUAUGAAUGAUGUCAUCCCAAUCCUUAUGCUCAGCCAAAUAUUGACCAUAUCUAUCAUUUCCAAUAUUAAGAGUUUCAUAAAAUUCAUUGAUGGCAUGGCUUGAGAAUGGAACUAAUUUACCUCACACAAAAACAAAAUCAUUAGUAGUUUCAACAACGUUAGCCUAAAAUUCUCUUACCAGAUGGAUAUUCGCAACUACUGGUGAUGCAAAAAUUUUUUUCCAGUGGCGUCCAUCAAUAAUUGGUUGAAGGUCAAGGUAUGUAAUCAACCCUUGAUCCAGUCCUCGUUCGGGUAUUACAAUUUAUUGGUCCCAAAUAAAUGUGCUGAGGGGGGUGAAUAGCAUUUUUUGGCUCUUUGCAAGAUAAGGAACUAAUUUGAAAAGUAAUGAAAAUAAAAACAGAGUAGAAAAUACGCAGAAAUUUAAAGUGGUUCGGUCCAAGACCUACAUCCACUACCUUGAUUAUCCAACCAAGGAUUUUUCAAACUAAUCCACUAUGAACCGGUGAAAUUCACCAGCUUUCACCAAGCUUUACAAUGGCUUUUACCAAGCUUAGCCAAAACUUUUCACAAUGGUUUUUACCGAGAUCAACCAAAACCCAAAGUGGUUUUUCAAAUGCUCAACCACAACCUUUCACAAUGGUUUUUCACAAGCUCAACCAAAACCCAAAGUGAUUUUUCAAAGGCUCAACCAUAACCUACAACAAUGGUUUUUUACGGGAUCAACCAAAAUCCAACAACUAACUUUUCAAGGCUAAGUUAGAACUUAUACCCAAUCAAGCAAUCCUAGCUUGAAUCGAUCCCUUAGAGUGACUCGUUCACUCUAAGAAUACAAAAAGAGAAGUAAAAUGAGUGUACCUAUGAUCACAAGGUUGAUCUAAGUGGUACAAAUGAAGUGCAGAUCAUAAUUAUAAAGAUGGGAGUUGAGUGUAGUAAAUGAGCAGUGAGUAUUUGUAGGUUUUUUAGCUCUUUUUGUGUUCUUGGAAGGCUUCAAUAAACUUGUUUCUAGCUAUUGGAAGUCCCUUUUAUACUUGGAAAAUCAGCUCUGAUGUGAGUUAGAUAGUUUUUGACCGUUGGGAAUAGUUUAGUAGCUAAUCUGAUCGUUAAUCUGUCUUUUAGUGCAGACUUCAAAAUUACAGGCAGAAUGUUCUUAGUCGACUAACCGAUAUCUUAGUUGACUAAGUUGUCUCUGUCUUUUGAUCCCAGUUUUUGGCAGUUCUGGCAGUGUGCACUUAGUUGACUAACUCAUUCUUUGGUCGACUAAGUUGGUUCUGUUUCUCAAUACUCUUCAGCCUGUCAACUUUUGAUUUAAAUCUUAGCUGACUAACUCUUCAUUAAUCGACUAAGGGGCUUUUGUCUUGUUGAUCAAUUGUGACUUCCUUAUUUCUAUGCUCUUUGAUAUGUGCAUUUGAAUGAUUGAUUAAAUAUUUGUAUACAAUUUUUGUCUUGCACACUCAAUUAGAAAUAUUAGAUAUGUCAAGCCCAACUCUAUAAAAUAUUUUCCAUGUCAUUCAUAUGCUUGAUAAUAUGCUUGCAUACUUGGAAAGCCCCGAAAAAUCGUUAAAAGUCGGUAGUAAACCUGGUGGUAUAACUAAGCUGAAUUAAGCCUUGAACUAGUCCAAAUAGAGAUUUUAAGAUGAAAUUGAGAAUUUUAAAACCCCAGAAUGACUUAAUUUGGUGAUUCGGAGUUCGAGGAUUGAUUUAGAGUAAAAUUGAAAUUUUCAUGACAUAGGGGCAAAAUUAGAAUUUUACACCACCCAACACUUGUCAAGCCCUUGAAUUUUACCUAUUAUACUUUGGAUAAUUGAGAUAUUUUAUGUGGUGGUGGGAGAAUGCUUAAUUAUUAAGUUUAAAAAUGGACCAAUGGGAUGGUGACAAGUGGCAAGUUUUCAUUUCUUUAUAAUUUACAUUAAAAACCAGCACACACCUCUCUUAUUUCAUUCUUCAUGUUCGUCCUCACCAAGGAAAAGAGGAAAGAAAGAAAGAACAAACCCUAGUGAGCAAAAAUUCAAGGAAAAAUUGGUGGAUUUCAAGGAAUUAAGCAAGUAAAGGUAAAAUUUCUUGAUUUUAGCUUGUGAUAUACUUUUCCUAUGCAUUCUUUUCAUUUUUCAUGGUUGAGAAUCAAGUUUGCAUGAAGAUACCUUUGCUGGCCGGACAUGGGGGGAGGGGUUUUGAUCUUGGAUUUAGCUAGAUUAUAUGUUAUUCUAGUGUUUUUAGUUGUUUGGUGAUGUGUAGCAUAAAAAGCAAACAAGAAAAAUUCAUGUUCUUACAUCACCCUCAUUGGCCGAAUCUUCCUUUUGGUAUGUUGAUGGUGGAUUUGAUUUUAUUUCAAGUGAUUUGGUUAGGAAUUAAUGAUUUAUGGUGUAAAAAUCAAGUGUGAAAAACCAUAGUGUUUAUGCAGCCAUCAUGGUUGAAUUUUCCAAGAGAAAAUGUUGAGGAUGAUUUUGCUAUAAUUCAUGUUAUCUAGCUUAUAUUUGAUGAUUUGGAGUAUUGGAAGUGAAAUGAAUUUAUUUGGAGUCAAUUUGGAUGUUUUGGUUAAAUCAAAGGUGAAGAGUUCGAAUUAGGUCGAAAAUUGAUCCAUUCCAAUCACCCUUGAACCAACGUGAAUUCCAUUUUUAAGUGACUAUCCAAACAACCUCAUGCAUUCAUAUAGAGCUUGAAAUAGAUUUAUAAUGAUAUGACACAAUAUAUUGAAUUAUUUGUGGUGUAUUGUGUAUAGGUGGUGAGUCCUCUAACAAGGGUAAAUACAUUGUGCCAGAGGACCAAGAAUAGGAGUAUUUCGAACUCUCGAUAUUGUGAGUAACUUUAUUAUCGUUUUAAUUAUCUAAAGUAGUUUUUAUUCAUUUUUGUGAUUUUAUAGAAAAAUGAGUUUAAAUGGUAAAUCCUUAUGUUUUAUAAGUAAAACGUGAUUAAAUGAAAUAAGUUUUAUAAAUCAUUUUGAAAUUGAAUGAUGAUUUUAGAAAUUGAGUAAUUGGAGACUGUUUGUUUGUGUUGUAAAUUUAUGGUUUGAAUUGAAUGGCUUAUGGUGAUAUUGGCAUGAAUGGCUGGAUUGGAAAUUGUGUUGAAUAUAUGAACUGUUUUGCUUUGCCUUGACAGGCUGGUCAUAUUAUAUUAGCUAUGUUAUGCUGCCAAAAUUUUGUUGAUUUGGUGGGUUAUGUAUUUAGCUUACUGCAGUGGGCGAGUUUCUGUGGACCACCCUAUUAGAGGGGCACGGUAAACCAUGUUAUAUUUACCUUAGUACGAGAGGCGCGGAGGGUAUCUCCUAAGGUAAAGUUUAGAGUUCACUUCAUGUCGAACCACCACGUGAGAGUGAAUUCAGCCAACGCCAAGGAACGGCUGUGCUUUAAAACGUAAAAAUGUGUUUUGUGCGUAUAUGACUUUUUAAAUAGCCUUGGCGAUCUCGACUGGAUGCCUCUGAUCAAGGUAUCCCCGAGAAUGAGUUUUGGCACGAGUCAAGUUUUUAAGAGAUUCAUAAGCCUCGAUAUAUAUUUUGGAUGAAAUGUAACUGGUUUAGAUGAUUUGAAAUGUGUUUUGAGGUUAUGAACCAUUUUAUGAUGAUCUAUUUUAAAUUGUCUCCAUUUACUCGGCUUUAGAUAUUUUAGAUGAUGUUUAUUUACUCACUGAGUUUAUAUAAACUCACCACCCUCCUUUCCACCCAUUUUAGGCUCAGGAUAGUCAGUAGAUAGCUGAUUUCGUCGAGGGCUACAGUUGGAUUUUCAUCCUCAAAAACCAUAAGUUCACAGCCUUUGUUACUUUUGGUCAUUCGGGGGUCCAUACGUCAUUGUAAAUUAGAUUACAUACUCUGGUUAUCUGUGUUACUGUAUGUACGAAUUUAUUUUGCUUUUAUGCUACAAAAAUUAUUUACGGAUAUCUUUAUAAAAAUUGUUUUAUAAGAAAAUGAAAUAUUUUAUUCUAAUAGCUAUCAUUUCCCUUUAAAUGAAUGUUUUACACGUCUAAACUUAUUUUUGGUUAUGAAAUAUGUAUAUUUCACUCAUAUACUACAUUUUUAGAUGGUUUUGAAAUUUUCAGGGAAAAAUGACCAAAAUACUCCUGUGAGACGAAAAAUUANAAAUGAAUGUUUUACACGUCUAAACUUAUUUUUGGUUAUGAAAUAUGUAUAUUUCACUCAUAUACUACAUUUUUAGAUGGUUUUGAAAUUUUCAGGGAAAAAUGACCAAAAUACUCCUGUGAGACGAAAAUUAUUUUUUUUUAUUUUUUUGGUUUGGAAAUAGCUUAUAAUCUUUUAAAAUAUGAUAUUAGCAACUGUUGCUCGCAUGGGAGGUGAGAAAACUGAUAUUAAGCCUUGCGAGGUUUCGGUUGGCAUUCCGGGUAAUGAAUAUUUAUCGGGACAUCACGGCAGUUGUCACAGGCUCGAAGGGAGUACCGGGUCGUGACAAGAUACAAAUGAAAUGGGAAUAUUUUAUUAUCAUUAAAAACUAAUGGAGCCAACAUAAUUUUGUUGGCAAGAAAAUUGGUGUGUCGAGGCAUAGCAUCAACUGACACAAAUCUAGUAUGAUCAAACGAACCAUUGGAAUUUUGUCUUGCUUGUUUGGGUGCCAUUCUCAAAUUUCCUAUAAUUAAUUCUCAACCAAAAGAGAAGAAAAGUACUAAUAAAGCACAAUAGACCACCUACAAAAUUAGCUCAUAUGUCUUCACAUCAAAAUAAAAUAAUGCCCAUAGUAUCAAGUAAAAAUCCAACAAUUAAAUGAUAUCUAUAUUACUAAGCAUAAAAAUUAUAAUUUAAAAGCAAUAAACUUACCCAUAUUCCCAAUUUCAACUUAUCUGUGAAAUUUAAAGUACAAAUCCAAACAAUCUAUCAUACCCAUAAAAUAACUAAGCAAAUAUCUCAAGAAUCAUAAAUACUCAUCGCAAAUUUCCAACAAAAUAAAUAAUGGAAAGUAAGUCAAUAUUUCUUAAGAAAAAGAAAAGGGAAAAGAAGAAAACAAUAUAUAUAAAAUAAGUAAAUAAAUAAAACUUACUUGAAAUCUUGACCAAAAGUGUUGAUAAUAAGUAUAGAAGGGAAGAGAUCGAUGUGGGUAAUAGGUAUGGACAAAAAAGAUGAAAGGGGAAUAAUGGUAGGGGGAAAGUAGAAGAGAGACGGAGAAGAAUGGGUGGAAAGAAAGAAGUGAAAAGUGCAGAAAAUUGCAAUAAGAGAGGAGGGGUAAUGGUGUUGAAGUGAAAAUGGGGUUUAUAUAAGGGGCAUGUAUGGGUAGUGGGCUGCCCAUUGUUGGCAGCUGAUAACUCUAUGAGAUAGAGUUAUUUGAGCUUAAUUUUGAUAAUAAUUUAGCUUAGUUCUUGUAGUAAUGCAUAGAAAUUAGUAGAUUUUAAUUAAUUAUUUUAAAUUAGUUAUUUUAGGUGAGUCAAUUUAAUCAUGGUUAAUUUUAUGCUUAAUUUGGUAUUAAUGUGGUUAAGAUAGAUUGUUAUCGAUUUAUUUGUGCUUUUGUAGGUGUUUGAAAGAAGAAUUUUAGUAAAAGAAGGAGAGCAAUUUCGAGGUGCAGACUUUUAAUACAUAUAUUUCGGUAUUUUGGCCAUAACUUUCCCUAGAAAGCUCCAAAUGAAGCAAUUCUUAAACCAUUGGAAAGAUAAGAGAAAAAGAUAUAACUUUGAUGUUAACCACUUUACCCAGUUCGCCUUGGAAUGUAGUCAAAAAUAUUGUUGAAGUUGACAUACUGUAGCAGUCUUAGAGUAAUUACGAUUUCUAUUAAUUAAUUGGGUAAGGCUGCGACUUACAUAGUUUGAUGAGGAAAUCCCAGCUGAAAUUGACUUCUUUCUUCAUCCAACUUGGCUUAACUUCAAAGCCUAUAAAAACAACCUUUUGGAAGACUUGAAGGGGAGGAAAAAAAAACACCAGAUUAAUAGCUGAAAGUCAAGCUACAUAGUCAUUGAAGGAAUUUGAAGAAUUCAAGGAGAUUUGGAGAUCAAGAAUACAUUCCUUGGUUUUUUCUAUCUUUUUGUUAUUCUUUUAUUCCCUUGGUUUUAAUGUUUAAAUUUUAUUCAAUGAUGAUGUCUGACUUGAUGGGAAACUAAGUUUUUGAUCUAAGAUUAUGAUUGAACUUAAUAUAUAGUCUAAAUUAUUUAUCUCUCUUUUACUUAUGUAUGAUGGAUUUAAGUUGUUUAUUUUAUUCUGUUCUUAAUGCUUCUAGUUGACUGGCCACCAAUUAGAUUGAAUUGGAAAACUAGAUUAAACCUUGACGAAGGAGAUUUAGGUAGACCUUGAAUAGAAUAGCGUAUGAUCGAAUACACUUAGUUCAUUAGGUGGUUUGAUUUGCAUAUAAGGUAGACAUACACUUAUAAGCCAUACGUAGCUAAAAUUAGAGCACAAAUUUAUUGAAUCUUUCUUCAAUAUAAUUUGCAUAGACAUAUAGUAAAUUAAUUGGGAAAGGUAUUUUUAUGAGAAACUCGACAGAGACUUGUAAAUAAUUUAGGACUUUAGGUUAACAACUUAAUCCAUUAAACUGAGUUAAGAGAGAGAGAGAGAGAGAGAGAGAGAGACAAUAAUCAGAUAAAGUAUUGAGGGAUAACAUUGUAAAACCCGACUCUAUAAAUACAUGUCAUGACAUAUAUGCACUGACUAGCAUGUUAUUAUGCUAGGAAAGCACAUAAGAAAAGACGAAACCCGAUAUCGUACCUAACGGUACACUUGAGUUGAUUUAACCUCGAACUAGCUCAAAUAGGAAUUGUAGGAUGAAAUUUAAUAUUUUAUAGUCUAGGAAUGACUAAAAAUGAUUGUUCAGAGUUCGAGGGUUCAUUUGGGGUAAAAUUGGAAAUUUUGAUAUUCAAGGGCAAAAUCGUCAUUUUGCCACUUAAGAUAAUAAUUUGAUCAUGGAGUGAAAUUUUUGACCAAGAUUAACUAUUUGGAGUAUAAUUUAAUGAUAGGAAGUGAAAAAGUUUAAUUCUGGUGAUUUUUGGAGUGUAGGGGCAAAAUCGUAAUUUUGCCACCCACGGACAAAAUUUGAGAUUUUGAGAGAAUUUAGAUCAAAUUUGACAAAUUGGAGAAUGGUAUGAGUAUAAGGGAUGAAAAAUAUGUCUAUGGGCAAUUUUUCAAUUUUUGGGGCAAAAAUGUAAUUUUUGACUUUUACGGGGGCAAAAGUGUAAAUUUCAAAAAUUACUCCACCGAGACUUUGGAUGAGUCUGAGAAUUUUAUCUAAGCUAUGAAUAUAUGAGACAAGUGUAUGGUGAAAAUUUGGAAACAAAUGGAUGAAAUUUUAAAAAUGGGCCAAUGGGAAAGUGACAUGUGGCAUUUUUUAAUGAUAUAAUAUUAUUUUAAUGAAAAGUCAGCCCAUUUAAACCCAAAUUUUAAGUGCUGGCCGGCCAUAAGGAAGAACAAGAGAGGAAAUAGAGAGGAAAGGAAGAAAAAAAGAAAAACCAAAGAGAAACAAGAAAAUUCAAAGGGAAAUUCGCGGUUUUCGACCGUUUACGCGUCUAACGGUAAGAUUUUUCGAUUUUAGCUUGAUUUCUACCUUUCCUAUGCCUUUAUUUCCAUUUAGCAUGCUUGAGGAGAGAGAUCAAAAAGUGAUAUCAAGGGCUGGACGAAAUUCUAGGGGAGAGAAAUUGAAAUUUUUAGGUUUUGAUUUUUAGUUAAAUUGAUAGUUUUAGUUAGUUAAAUGUGUUUAGAAAUUAAAUUGGGCAAGAAAUCAUUAAAUUUUCACAAUACCCACUCUUGGCUGGAUGCUCAAUGCUGUACAAUGAUGAUGAAUUGAUUUUAUUCUAAGGGAAAUGAAGAGAAAAUGAUGAAAAACGAUUAAACGUGAUAGAAAAACAAAGUAGAAAAUUAACCGAGUUAAUGUCCCAUUUUUGGCCGAAUUUUCCAAGGAAGGGAGUGAGCUGAUUUUGUUGUUUUUAGAAGGUUAUUGGCUGAUAUUUAAUGGUUAGAAAUGUUGGAGAGAGAAUGGGAUGAUUUAGAGCUAAAAUGGAGCGCGUUAGCAAUUUAUCGGGCAAAGUGCCAAAAAUAGGUUAAUACCGCGUUUAAGCCGUUUUAGGCUAUUGCAUUUCAUACCAUGCAUUAGUAUAGGAUUUAAGUUAAUUAUAUAGUGAUUUAGCAUCAAUGUGAUGAAUUGUGUAAAUUUUUGUAAUGUGUCUAGGAGGAGAGCCUUCCGGAAAAGGCAAAGAAGUCGUACCCGACGAGUAGUGAUCGGGGCGCUUAGAAAGCUUUUAGUUUGUACAAACGGUGAGUAAACUUAUUAUUAUUGUAAAUUAUCUAGAGUUUAUUUUAAAUGCCCUUUAUGUAUUUUAUGAAAUGAGAACGAGAUUAAAACGGGAUUUUUGAUGUUUUAGGAAUAAAUGUGACAAAUAAAAAUAUAUUGUAUUGAUUAUGAAAUUGAGUAAUUGGAGGCUACAAAUUGACUUGAAAAAUAUAUAUUUUCCUAGGAAUGGCUUAUGAGAAAUGAGUAUAUGUGGCUAUAUUUUGUGAAUGCAUUGGGAAAUUUAUGUAAGUUGUUUUACUAUGCAGGCUGGAUAAAUAAAUAAAAGCCACGUUAUACUGUCGAAAUUUUAUUAAAAUUGGUGGGUUAGUCACUGCAGUGACGGGUUUCCGUGGACUGCCUAUUAGAGGGGCACGGUAAACCCAGUUAUAUAGUUACUCCGGUUGUAGAGGCGAGGAGGGUAACUCCCGGGGUAGUAUUAGAGCUCACUUCACGUCGAACCCCCACGUGAAUGUGUAACUCGGCCAACGCCAAGGAACGGCUGGUUUUAAAAAUAAAAAUGUGUUUCACGUGUGAAUAUUUUAACACCCUUGGCGGACUCGGUUAGAUGCCUCGGCCAAGGUAUCCCCGAGGAUUAGUUUUGGCUUGAGCCUUGUUUUAAUAAAAGACAUAAGCCUUAACAACUGUUUUGGUAAAUUACAAAUAUUUUAUGGUUUAAGAAAUAAAUUGAAAACAUUAUGAAAUGGGUUGAAAUUUGUUGUUUAAACUUGCCUCCAUUUUACUCGCCUUUAGAUAUUUAUGAUAAUGUCUGUUUACUCAUUGGGAUUGCAAAAUCUCACCCAACUCCUUUCCACCCAUUUCAGGUUCAGUAUAGACUGUAGAUAGCUGAUCUCAUCGAGGACUACCAUUGGAUCUGCAUUUUCCAAACCGUAGGUUCACAGUCCUCUUUACUUUUGUUUAUUCGGGGGCCCUCUUGUUAUUGUAAAUUAAAUUAAAUAUUUUGGCUUACUGUAUUUCAGUAUGUAUAAAUUUAUUUAGCUUUUACGCUAUAAAAAUUAUUCACGUAUAACUCUAUAAAUAUUGUUUUAUAAGAAAAUAGAAUAUUUUCCUUAAUAUUUCUUUUAUUUUCUUAUUAUAUUCAAAUAACCGUAAUUUCGUUUUAAAUGAAGAUUUUAGACUUUUAAACUCAUUUUGAAUAUGAAUUAUGUGUUUUGUACUUGUAUAUUACGUUUUAGCCAGUUUUGAAAUUUUUGAGAAAAAAAUGACCAAAAUACCCCUGUGUGGCGAAAAUUUUAUUUUGAUUGUUUUUGAUCUAAAAUAGUGUAUAUUCUCUAAAAACUAGAUAUUUAACAACGAUUGCUCACAGGAAAGGAAAGAAACUGAUAUGUAAGCCUUGCGGGGUUCCGGUUGGCAUUCCGGAUAAUGAGUGUCAAUCAGGGACAUUGCGGCGAUUGUCAUGGGCCUGAGGGAGGUUCCGGGUCGUGACAAUCAUAAUUUUAGGCCUGGUAGUCAUUCACAUUUAAUAAAGUAAAUUUUGCUGAUAUAUUAGUUUUAGUUUUUAGUUUAUUAAUUUAAAUUUUCCUUUGUAAAUUUUAAUUGUUUAGAUAAAAUUAAAGUGUGUUAAUUUUAUUAGUUAACAAUAAGGAUUUGUUCAAUUCUCUAUGGGAUCGACACUCUACUCAUCUCUAUAUUAUCUUUGCGAUACGUGCACUUGCGUGAGUAGAAAAUUGAACAACAAGUUUUUGGUGCCGUUGCUGGGGAAUUGAUUUUUAAUUCUUUCUUGUUAAUAUUAAUACCAAGCAUUCUUAAUUUUAAUCUAGACUUUUCUUUUCAUUAAUUUUUUAGGUAAUUUUGGUCGUUGUAUGCAAAGAGCUCAAAAUUUGAAAAUUGUUCCUUUUGAUCUAGAAAUCGAAAAAACUUUUCAUAGACUUUGGAGGAAAAAAAAAAAUUUCUACUCAAACUAAAACAAUGGCUGAUCAACAAGAAGAAGAGACCAAGCCUUUGAGGGAUUAUGUAGUGCCACAACUAUAAAAUCCCCACUCUAGUAUUCGAAGACCUCCUAUUCAAGCCAAUAAAUUUGAAAUUAAGCCAUCAAUUAUUCAGAUUAUUCAGACUGCUGUUCAGUUUGGGGGUUUGCCUAAUGAUGGUCUGAAUGCUCAUAUUGUAAAUUUCUUGGAAAUCUGCGAUACAUUCAAGGCAAAUGGUGUUACUGAUGAUGCCAUAAGAUUGAGGCUUUUUCCUUUUUCAUUGAGAGAUAAAGCAAAGAGUUGGUUAAAUUCGCUUCCUACUGGUUCCAUUAAUACUUGGGAUGAUUUGGCUAAAAAAUUCUUAGCAAAAUUCUUCCCACCUGCAAAGUCAACAAAGAUGAAGAAUGAUAUCACUUCUUUCAUAUAAUUGAUUAUGAAUCACUAUAUGAGGCUUGGGAGAGGUAUAAGGAUUUGAUGAGAAGAUGUCCUCACCAUGGAUUACCUAAGUGGCUGUAAGUUCAGACUUUUUAUAAUGGUUUGCUAUGACCUUUUAGAACUACCAUUGAUGCUGCCGCUAGAGGUGCACUUAUGAGUAAAUCCAUUGGUGAGGCUUAUGAUUUGCUCGAAGAGAUAGCUUUUAAUAAUUAUCAAUGGCCAUCUGAAAGAUUGGGUACAAGAAAACUUGCUGGAAUUCAUGAAUUAGAUGUGUUGAAUACUGUUUCUACACAAUUGGCCUCUCUUACAAAAAAAAUAGAUAAACUGAGUAUUAAUGCUAUUCAGAACUCCUUUAUGACAUGUGAAUUUUGUGGGGGAGAACAUUCCAAUGACAAUUAUCCCAUCUAUUCUGAGUCUUGUCAAUUUUUUGGAAAUAGGCAACAGAACAAUCCAUAUUUCAACACUUAUAAUCCUAGUUGGAGGAAUCAUGCUAAUUUUUCAUUGAAUAACAACCAAGGGUCUUCAUCAGCAGUUAAGUCAAACUUUCCUCUUGGAUUUCCAUCUAGAGCCCCUAUGCCAGAGAAAAAGCUUUCAAUGGAGGAUAUGUUCAUGCAAUUCAUGACAAAGACUGAUGCAUUCAUUCAAAAUCAAGCAGCUUCAAUUAGAAAUCUUGAGAUACAAAUGGGCCAACUUGCUAGUGCUUUAAAUUCUAGACCUCAUGGUACCUUACCAAGUGAUACUGAACCCAAUCCAAGAAGAGAAGGUAAGGAACAUUGUAAGGCAAUCCAUUUGCGCAAUGGAAAAUAUGUAAAUAGAGAGGUAAGUAGUAAGGAUUUAAAUUCAAAAAUUUCAAUUCAAUCUAAUAAAAAAGUUUUGAAAAAGAUGUUGAAAAAGAAAUUGUAGUUGAAAAAUCUAUUGAAGAUUCAAAAGAAAAAUCACAAUUACAAACUACUCCCACACCCCCACCACCUUUUCGUCAAAGAUUUCAGAAAGAAAAACUUGACAAACAAUUCCAAAAAUUUAUUGAUGUGUUUAAAAAAUUACAUAUUAAUAUUCCUAUUGCUAGAGCUCUGGAACAAAUGCCAAGAUAUGUUAAUUUUUGAAAGACAUCUUGUCUAAAAAAAGGAAAUUGGGUGAGUUUGAAACUGUUGCACUUACUGAAGAGUGCAGUGCCAUUAUUCAGAAUAAGCUUCCAUUAAAGCUUAAAGAUCCAGGUAGUUUUACUAUUCCAUGUACUAUUGGUGCUCUUUGUUUUGCUAAUGCUUUAUGUGAUUUGGGUGCAAGUUAUAAUACCCCGUACUUUGAUAUGGUGACUAAUAAAGAUUAUCGGAUGCCAAUUGAGGUUAAUUAUAAUGUUUAAAAGUGAUGAAAGAUGAAAGGAAUAGUUUGGGAUAAAAUAUUCCAAACGCGAGGAAAUAAUAAUAAAAUAAUGAUAUUUUUAUCGAAGAAGAAUUUGUGAGAUAAAAGUGAUUCGGAAGUCAAUUGAGGCAUAAUAAGGUAUUUUGGGUACCAAGGAGACAAGAGGAGACAGAAAGAAAUUUUUGGAAUAAAAUAAUAUUAAAAUAUUAAUAUUUUAUUCAAUGCCAAAAUUUUUCAUGAAGAAGGAGUAUAUGGGCAACCUAAGUGGGGGAGAAGAAGAAUGAGAAAGAUUUCGAAGAAAAAUGAUGUUAAUAGGGCCACGAGUCUUUAUUAAGUAAAGAUAGCGCAUGUAAAUAAAUAUUUUAAAUAUUACGGGGACACUGCGUUGGAGUACAAACUUCAUACUUUGUUUGCACAUGUGUAAAAGAAGAUAAUAGAAGGAAGUUGGACUUAAAUGAGUGUUGGGAGGACUAAAUUAAAAUGGGAAGAAACAAAAAGGGCAAAACAAUAAUUUUAUGUGAAGUUUGGUCAAAGCUUCCUUUGGAAGCUUUGAUUCUGAUUUUUUUCAGCCCAAAACCGUCCUUAUCCUCCCAGCAAGAUAUUUUCUUCUUCAUUCUUGAAGCUUCCAAUGCCAUUCUUUCAUUCUCCCAUGGAAAGCUAAUUUUCUUUCACUUUCUUUCCUUGUUUUCUUUUCAUUUCUUUUCUCUUCUUGCUUAUUUCUUCUCCCAACUUUUUGUGCACCAAAGUUACAACUUCUAACCCCAAUUUCCAGCACAUAUAAACUCUAGGAGAAGAAGAAAGAAAAAGAGAGGAAGGAAGAAAAAGCUUGGUUUUGCUGAUUCAAGCAAGGAACGGUAAGAAUUCUUGCUUUUGGCUUGAGUAGUCUUUGAAAAUGAGUUAGUGACUUAGAGAAAUGUCUUGUGGUAGCAAAGAUUGGCUUGAUUGGAGAAAAAAUUGAUAACAUGUAAGCCAAUGAACCCAUGGGUACAUGAAGGACUCAAAGUGGAAAAGGAAAACGGUAAGCUUAACACUAUAUUUUAAAGCCUACGGUUAGUUGAAUAUUGUGGAAAAUUAUGGUUGUUGAAAGGAUCUAAUUGCAUAAGCUAGUUGAAAAUUGUUAAGAUUGUAUGGCAUGUUGUUUGAAAGAAAUGAAAAAGGAAUAUUGUGGAUGAAGGGUUGAGAAAUAAAGUAUUGAAAGUUAGAUAGAUAACGAUGCGUGUAAACUAGGAAAUAAUCGAGUGAAAGUGAGAAUGAUUGUUGCUACCAUAUAUGUGGAUUAUGUGUGGAAAUAUAAGAUGGAUUUGGGUGGAAAUUAUUUAGAAAGGCUGAAGUAGACACGUGACAUCAUAAUUAAAUUGCUGGUGAUAUAAUUUAAGGAAUUGCGUAAGCAAUGGAUAUAAGUAAUUUUAGUAAAAAUGUAUUAAGAUGUGAGUUAAUUGAAGAUGGUUCAUGAUAAGAGGAAAAAUAUAAAUUUAAGUAAGGAUUAAUUGAUUGAAGUGCUACUCGUAUACAUAUGUAAUUAAAUAUAUUGAGUUCGUAUUAUUGCUAGGAAGUGCAAAGAUAAAAUUAGAGUAUUGCGGUGGCGUGUUGGAGUAAAUUACGAGCGAUCGACCAAUGAAAAUAGUUAGAGACACCUUCGAACAAAUAGCAACUUAAUAUCUCGUUGUUGCCAGGUGAGUGAACCUACACUAAAAUGUUUUGGGUAGAUGUACAUACGUUUGAGCGAGCCACUUGAAUUGUUUAAAUUAUCUUUUCUUCAAAAUGCAUGGGAACAAGCCUUUAGUGAAUUGUUUUUGUGAUGUGGAACAUGAUUGUGAUGAAUCUAUGUACUUUUAUAUGACGCUGAUAUGUAUAUAAAGAUAUAUGAUAUAUAUAUAUAUAUAUUGUUAAGCAAUUUUGUAUAAUUGAUGUAACCGUGCAUGUGCGGAGUGGGCAGUGCACAUGCUGGUUGAGUGACAAUGUUGUGACAAUUACAACCGUGCAUGUGCGGAGUGGGUAGUGCACAUGCCGAAAAUGAUGCUGUCGUGAUAUUUACAAUCAUGCAUGUGUGGAGUAGGCAGUGCACAUGCCGGUAAUGAUGCUGUCGUGAUAUUUACAACUGCACAUGUGCGAAGUGGGCAGUGCACAUAUUGGUAAUGAUGCUGUUGUGAUAUUUACAACUGUGCAUGUGCAGAGUGGGCAGUGCACAUGCCGGUAAUGAUGCACAUGAGCCGAGUGAGGUGAUGGUGGUGUAUGUGCUUAUAUAUAUAUAUAUAUAUAUACAUAUUUACUAUAUAGAGAUAUUUGGAUUUAAUAUGUGAUUGCAUUGACUGUUGAAAACUUGAGUAUUGUCAAUGUGUUCAAUUUAAUAUGCAAUGUGGCAUGAGUGGAUUUUUUUUCGGUGGCAUUGAAAGCCCCUUGGAUUUUAUCUGGUUAGAAUUUUGUUGCAGUGAGAAUGCCUUUUCGUUGUGGUGAGAGUCAAUCUAUUAUGCUUGACUUGCUUGAAAUCUACUAAAGUUGUCACUUCUCAAUUUCUUUGUUAUUCAUGAGUCUUUCGUCAUCAAGUAACUAAACGACCAAGGGUUUGAAUGAGGGGUUUUUAAAUAGAAAUAAAUUAAAUUGCAUUGUUUUGAACUUAAGUGCAUCAUGCUUUCUAAACCUUUCUUAACGUUGCUUGUUCCCUUCCUAUGUUCACUCACUGAGUUUGUACUCACGUUUUUAAAAUUCAUGUUUUAGGUUUCCUGAGUCAAAGGUGAUUGGAUCUGAGGACGAGGUGCUUCUAUUUAUACAUUGCUCGGUAAGUUUAACGUAACACUAAGUGUUAUCAAUCGUGCCCAAAGUCACUCCGCUGACAGUCAAGUUCUAAUUACGUGUAUAUGACUACUUGUUGUGAAAUGCUGAGAUUUACUUGUCAAAUUAUAUGUAUGUAUAUAAUGGUUGAUGAUGCAAUUAUGAAUACAUGACUGGGUUUUAUGAGUUCUUUUCAAAGGAAUUGUAAUUGAGCAUUAUGAAUUUCAGAUUCUAAAGAAAUAUGGAUCAGUGUACAAGAUCAUGUAAGUAGGCUUGCUUGGGCUUGGUGGGUUGAGCCCAUUGGUCCUUUGAGCUGGUCAUGGCCCGAAAAUUGGGCUAUGACAAUGUUGGUAUCAGAGCUCUAGGUUUAGUUCAAUUCUAGGGAUUCCUAUGUGGUCAGCGGAGUUGUUGGAGUCUGUGUAGAGUUUUGUCCUUAGAUUAUGGGUGCGCAACGCAAGUCAAGGACGGGAGGCUGCAUGGGCCCUUACUUCAUUAGAAACCUACAUGUUCUUAUGAUGUCUAGAUGGAUGAGUAAUUAAUACUUGGUUGCAUGUAGAUUGAGGUGUGUCGGUUGCACACGCCAUGUCUAGAAAAGAUGGUAGUUUCGAUACCCUUUAUAGUACUAACGAGGGAUUGCUAGAUUUCACUGCUCGCAGCCUAUAUGAGCUCGAGGGUGAAAGCGUAAUAAGCAACCCGACUCGAUUUUUGAGUGGAUCGGUUCCCCCAUGAGGUAAACUACUAUUUAAAAGCUUGAGGAGUCUCACAAGAUUGGUGCGUAAUGAAAUCAAUUUCAGGAAAAAGAACACGAGCAAGAUGGGAAAAAGGACUACCAAUAAUUAUAGUCCUAGGAAGGUAUUUGUAUCUGUGUCCGACACUUCCCUCCUAGUUGUGGGAGAGGUGUUGUACCUGUUAGUAAGGAGGAAUUUGAGAGGCAACAACAAGUUUGGAUUAAGGAUAAAAUGGAAAAUGCUCAGGAGGAAGAAAAAGACCUGGAAAAGGAUCCGUCGAUGUGCUCAGAUCAAGGCAACGGGGAUCCUAAAGACAUUUAAUGUUUUUGUCAAAGUUCAUAUCGCUUUAAGUCUAGGCAAAUGCAGUGUAAAGGAAAUAGUAGUAAUUACCUGUACAAAGGAGUUAAGAGUUGGUUUUUAUUUUGUAUGACUCAAAUGGAUUAUGGAAUAGUUGUUUUAAUGGCUUGAUGCGUAUUGGAAUCCUUCGAUAUGAUAGAGAUAGAUUAGCGAUAUACUGAUUGACGGAGGAUAUUCACCUUAGUGGCAUGGUUGGUCGCCUUAGAUGAUUAUUAAAGAUAGACAUAGAAAGUCAUUAAUGGUACAAGCAACUACGAUACCUGACAAAUGAUUACCAAUUAAUCAUGGAAAGAUGAAAUUUGGAAUUCUAGUUGCAGUUACAAUUCAAAAAGAUAUGAGAGAAAUCAAUGAGACUAUAGGUGACACUUAGAAGGGAUGCUGUGAUUAAGUCGAGGAUUGAAAAUUUAAGUAUGGAGGGAGCUACAAAAUGGUGCCAUGAUGUUAUAAGAUGAUAAUUGGGCACAAAAUGGACUAAGGGAGGCAAAUUAUGGAACUUGGGAAAAGAUGAAUCCUUGAUUUAAUAAAGAUUGUGAGUGUAGAGCGUGGAGAAAGAUGAACUAUUUUCAUUGUCAUUUGUACUGAGAGUUAACAAAACUAUUUGAGUUACAAGACAAGAAAGACAAUUAAUUGUGAAUGUUAAGGAAUCAUGGAAUGUCAUAAAUGGUGGAUAUUUUUGUGUGUGGUAUUAUAUAUUGAGAAUUUGAUGCACAAUAUGGCAAGAUUGUCUUAAGGUGGAACUUAUUGGUUGAAGAUAAAUGUUAAAAGAUAAAAAGAGCUUGAAAAUAUUGACUCAGCUUAGUGCAUAUAAUAAGCAAAAGAAAAGAUAUGCCUGGUCAUAAAGAUUAUGGGAUAGGCCUGGAGGAAAGCCAAAUGGUUGAGCAUGAUCCCUGUAGUAACUUUAAAGAUGGAAGAACUUAUUCGUGGAAGAAAUUUCCAGCAGCCACAGCGCUAUAGCACUAACUCUUUAGCGAUGCAAUGUUGAAACUAUCCCAUGUCCAACAGCCACGACGCUGCAGCACUAAUUGUCCAGCGCUACAAUGCUAUGAAUACCUCAUGUCUAUGAAGCAUGAGCAAGAUGGGAGUGUCAUGAUAAUGAGCUUACAAGUUGAAUUAUGGUCAUUGGUCAUUGAGUUUUUUUAUUUGAGAGUUUUAAAUGUUCUGGAGAAUGUUUACAUGAAUAAAUUGAAAAGUUUCUUUAUCGCCUUGUAUAUGGGCAUAUAAUUAAAAGAGAAAUUGAAAGAUUCUUGACAUGGCUACAUUGAGAUAAGAUACCAUGUGCAGUAUUAAGAUGGAUAAUAUGUUGACCAAAGUCAAAUCCAUAGAAAUAAAGGAGACGAGAGGUUAAGCCUUGUUAAAGGCUAAGGAAAAAGUGAGCAAAAAGUUAGAUGAAUAUAUGAUAGAUGGGUAAGGGAUGUCAAUACCAAGUAAUGAAAGUGUGAAUGAAGGAUUACAAGGGUGAUAUAACAAAUGGGAUUAUCUAGAAUAUCGUUAUGAGAAUUUACAAUUCUUGUCUUGACUCAGCUAAAUGAAAAGGGUUAGUAACAACACAAGGCCAAUCGUGUGGCACACUAGAAACCUAUGAAGACAAUUUGGGGAUUGAAUGGACGAGUAUGUAUUUAUAUAUCUUUAAGAAUAAGUGCAUGUCUAUAGAACGACAUGCUCGGGAUGUUAAGGAACACAUAAGAGACAAGUGUUUUGGGAAUUCACAAACCUUUUGAGAAAAGAUUACCAAUCAUACACAACAAGUAUAAAAUGUGGGAUUUUUGAAACUUGCUGAGGAGCCUAACGGCUAAGUCAUGGGUUAAGUAAUCACAUGCGGUUAGACAUGAGUUUAAGAUAGGUAUCUCCAAGGAAAUACUCAAGAGUAGUUCUGCUAUGGAUCUUGUGAAAGCAAGCAUUAAGUUAUGUAGUUACAAAGAAAAAGCUGUAAGCUGAAAGUGAGAUUCGUAUUGAUGUUGAAAAAAAUACUUAAGGAGAACCUUGUUUCAAGUCUUGCAGUUUCAAAUACAAAUUGAGGAUUGGUCCGGGGAGAAUGAUGUCAUAUUAGUACGAAAGAAUAGAACAAAGGAUGAUCGAAGAUAAUUUGGAUAAUGAAGUCUAAUAAUGAAAACUUCCUAAGGUAGUAUGAAAAUUGGAAUUCGAAAAUGCUUAAGGCAUGCACGAUUCGAAUGAGUGUAAAUCUUAAGUGUUUCAUUAAAGUCGAAAUGCAACAAGGAUGUAAUGUAUAUAUUAGAGGUAUGAAGAAUAAUUGAGCAAUAAGGAUGACUUUUAGAGAUUGUGGUAUUACAUAAGAUGCAAUGAUCAAAUAAGAGAUAAAUCUUUAAAGGAUCAACGAGGUUAUAAAGCAUAUACGAAUACCGAAUUGCAAUUUAAUGAAAAUGACAUUUACGAGUGAGAUGUGAUUAAUGGCAUUGUGAUGCAAGGAUAUAUAGUACAAUGAAACUUAAGUGUAUAAUUGGAAAUGAUAAGAAAAGAGUAUGGGCAUGAAAAGUGUAAAACCCGACCCUAUAAAUACAUGUCAAAACAUACAUGCACUGAGUAGCAUGUUAUUAUGCUAAGAAAGUCCCUAAGAAUAGACGAAACCCGGUAUUGUACCUAACGGUACACUUGAAUUGAUUUAACCUCGAACUAGUUCAAAUAGGAAUUGUAGGAUGAAAUUUAAUAUUUUAUAGUCAAGGAAUGACUAAAAAUGAUUGUUCGGAGUUCGAGGGUUCAUUUGGGGAAAAAUUGAAAAUUUUGAUAUUCAGGGGCAAAAUCGUAAUUUUUCCACCUGUGGACAAAAUUUGAGAUUUUGAGAGAAUUUAGAUCACAUUUGAAAAAUUGGAGAAUGGUAUGAGUAUAAGGGAUGAAAAAUAUGUCUAUGGGCAAUUUUUCAGUUUUUGGGGCAAAAAUGUAAUUUUUGACUUUUACGGGGGCAAUAGUGUAAAUUUUAAACCAAGACUUUGGAUAAGUCUGAGAAUUUUAUCUAAGCUAUGGAUAUGUGGGACAAGUGUAUGGUGAAAAUUUGAAAACAAAUGGAUGAAAUUUUAAAAACGGACCAAUGGGAAAGUGACAUAUGGCAUUUUUUAAUGAUUUAAUAUUAUUUUAAUGAAAAGUCAGCCCAUUUAAACCCCAUUUUAAGUGAUGGCCCGCCAUAAGGAAGAACAAGAGAGGAAAUAGAGAGGAAAGGAAGAAAAGAAAGAAAACAAAGGGAAACUAGAAAAAUUCAAAGGGGAAUUCGUGUUUUUCGCCCGUUUACGCGUCUAACGGUAAGAUUUUUCGACUUUAGCUUGAUUACUACCUUUCCUAUGCCUUUGUUUCCAUUUAGCAUGCUUGAGGAGAGAGAUCUAAAAGUGACAUCAAGGGCUGGCCGAAUUUCGAUGGGGGAGAAAUUGAAAUUUUUAGGUUUUGAUUUUUAGUUAAAUUGAUAAUUUUAGUUAGUUAAAUGUGUUUAGAAAUUAAAUUGGGCAAGAAAGCAUUAAAUUUUCACAAUACCCACCCUUGGCCGAAUCUGCAAUGAGGUACAAUGAUGAUAAUCUGAUUUUUAUUCUAAGAGAAAUGAAGAGAAAAUGAUGAAAAAUGGUUAAAUGUGAUAGAAAAACAAAGUNNNNNNNNNNNNNNNNNNNNNNNNNNNNNNNNNNNNNNNNNNNNNNNNNNNNNNNNNNNNNNNNNNNNNNNNNNNNNNNNNNNNNNNNNNNNNNNNNNNNNNNNNNNNNNNNNNNNNNNNNNNNNNNNNNNNNNNNNNNNNNNNNNNNNNNNNNNNNNNNNNNNNNNNNNNNNNNNNNNNNNNNNNNNNNNNNNNNNNNNNNNNNNNNNNNNNNNNNNNNNNNNNNNNNNNNNNNNNNNNNNNNNNNNNNNNNNNNNNNNNNNNNNNNNNNNNNNNNNNNNNNNNNNNNNNNNNNNNNNNNNNNNNNNNNNNNNNNNNNNNNNNNNNNNNNNNNNNNNNNNNNNNNNNNNNNNNNNNNNNNNNNNNNNNNNNNNNNNNNNNNNNNNNNNNNNNNNNNNNNNNNNNNNNNNNNNNNNNNNNNNNNNNNNNNNNNNNNNNNNNNNNNNNNNNNNNNNNNNNNNNNNNNNNNNNNNNNNNNNNNNNNNNNNNNNNNNNNNNNNNNNNNNNNNNNNNNNNNNNNNNNNNNNNNNNNNNNNNNNNNNNNNNNNNNNNNNNNNNNNNNNNNNNNNNNNNNNNNNNNNNNNNNNNNNNNNNNNNNNNNNNNNNNNNNNNNNNNNNNNNNNNNNNNNNNNNNNNNNNNNNNNNNNNNNNNNNNNNNNNNNNNNNNNNNNNNNNNNNNNNNNNNNNNNNNNNNNNNNNNNNNNNNNNNNNNNNNNNNNNNNNNNNNNNNNNNNNNNNNNNNNNNNNNNNNNNNNNNNNNNNNAAAAAUCUCACCCACCUCCUUUCCAAACAUUUCAGGUCUGUGGUAGCUUGUAGAUACCCUAUUUUGUCGAGGAUUCCAGUUGACAUCUCUACCACACAGACAAUAGGUUUCUAGCACCAACACUGGGUGUAUUUUGGGCCACUUGUCAUUGUAACCAUUAUUGUACAUUAUAACUUAGUAAAAUUUUGUAUGUAUGAAUUUAUUUUACUUACACAUUACAAAAGAUUUCUUACAUGUGUUUCUAUAAAUAUUGUUUUAUAUAAAAAUGCUAUAUUUUAAUCAAUAUUUUGAAUAGUGAUAUUUGUCUAUAAAUCCUUUUAAAAAAAAAUUAAAUUAUCUUUGGAUUUAUUUGAGUCAAAAACGACCGGUAAUUGUUUAAAAUGGAAUGUUUAACAACGAUUGCUCACAGGAAAGGAAAGAAACUGAUAUGUAAGCCUUGCGGGGUUCCGGUUGGCAUUUCGGGUAAUGAGUGUCAAUCGGGACAUCGUGGCUGUUGUCAUGGGCCCGAGGGAGGUUCCGGGUUGUGAUAAAAAGGAUGUGAAGCUAUGCAUAGGCAUAAUGAGAAUUCUUAUGGAUUACGUAAGAGAUAACUUAUGGUAAGAUGCGAGUGGAACGGUGAUUUAAACAUAUAAAAAGGGUAAUCUAAAAUUGAUUAUAUCCAAAUACUCAUAGAUUAAAUAUGAGAACGUUGACAUGAAAUAUGAGGAUUAUUAUGUUGAAUCUUGGAUAGGGAUGGGGAUGAGUAAAGGGAAAGGUAGUCCAAGGCACGCGAACACAUGGAUCCCUAUGUGUAAUGAAGAAAGUUGACAUUUUGAAUGCAUGUACAUACGUAUAUAUGAAAUUGAUGACUUGAUCAACUGAGGUGAAGAAUUGUUCUCAAUAAUUUGAGAUUUGAACUUUAUGUAUUUGAUGAGUUGUAUGGAUGGUACAACGGCAAGAAGUCCCAUUGGAAGUUGAACUAUGAUGAUAUAAGAAAUUUUAGAAAAGAUAGUCAGAGAAUAAGAUUAAAAAAUGUAAUCCAUAGCAUGGGAAUAAUUGAAGUAUGUGGCGUAAAUGCAAGAUAAACCUGAAGUAUGUGAGAAUAAUUAGAGGCAUUAACCUUUCUCGACGUUGAGACUAUGUAUAGAAAUGAAUACGACAUGUUUAUAAUGUUGCAGGUUACAUAAUAGUGUAUGGGGAUAAGAUGAAUGAAUGAAUGUCGGGAAGUUUGGUAAGGAGAGAAAUGAUAAGAUGGUGAUUAGGCAUACAUAAGUAAGUAUAAUAUGUGAUUGAAAUCAGUAUGAUUGAGAUAGAGUUAUGGUUCAAAUCUAAUGAUAGUGAUAAAGGUGUACUCAACAUCUUAAAAUAAGAGAUAAUGAUCGUGAAGGCUACCAUCGAUUUGAUUCUAAAGGAUGAUAACAGACAUAAGUGAGGCAUUCUAGUCGAAUUGGAGGUAAACGAGGUGAACGAAUAAUUGGAGGUUUGACAAGAAUCGAAAUAAAGAUAUGUUUGAGGUUAGUGACGAAAAGAAAGGCAUACUUGGGAUCUUAGUGAGAAGAAAGGAUAAUUGAGAAGGGUACCGUGGUUUUGACGCAAAGAUGAUAAUAGAUAUAAGAUACGUACCUUGAUCUUGUAAAGUGUUCUAGUCAAAUUAAAGGUAAUGAAGUUCAUAAAUCAAAAUUCCCUAUAAAAGGAGAAAUGGAAUAAGAUCAUGGAACGAGAUUGAUAACUCGACAUCGAUAUGAAUUCUAUUUAAGUGGGGGAGACUAUAAUACCCCGUAUUUUGAUAUGGUGACUAAUAAAGAUUAUCAGAUGCCAAUUGAGGUUAAUUAUAAUGUUUAAAAGUGAUGAAAGAUGAAAGGAAUAGUUUGGGAAAAAAUAUUCCGCACGCGAGGAAAUAAUAAUAAAAUAAUGAUAUUUUUAUCAGAGAAGAAUUUGUGAGAUAAAAAGUGAUUCGAAAGUCAAUUGAGGCAUAAUAAGGUAUUUUGGGUACCAAGGAGACAAGAGGAAAUUUUUGAAAUAAAAUAAUAUUUUAUUAACAAAAUAAUAUUAAACUAUUAAUAUUUUAUUUAGUGUCAAAAUUUUUCAUGAAGAAGGAGUAUAUGGGCAACCUAAGUGCAGGAGAAGAAGAAUGAGAAAGAUUUCGGAGAAAAAUGAUGUUAAUGGGGUCGUGUGUCUUUAUUAAGUAAAGAUAACACAGGUAAAUAAAUAUUUUAAAUAUUACGGGGAUACCGCAUUGGAGUACAAACUUCAUACUUUGUUUGUACAUGUGUAGAAGAAGAUAAUAGAAGGAAGUUAGAGUUAAAUGAGUGUUAGGAGGACUAAAUUAAAAUGGAAAGAAACAAAAAGGGUAAAACGAUAAUUUUACGUGAAGUUUGGUCAAAGCUUCCAAAGGAAACUUUGACUCUGAUUUUUUUCAACCCAAAACCGUCCUUAUCCUCCCAGCAAGAUAUUUUCUUCUUCAUUCUUGAAGCUUCCAAUGCCAUUCUCUCAUUCUCCCAUUGAAAGUUAAUUUUCUUUCACUUUCUUUCCUUGUUUUCUUUUCAUUUCUUUUCUCUUCUUACUUCUUUCUUCUCCCAACUUCUUGUACACCAAAGUUACAACUUCUAACCCUAAUUUCCAGCACAUAUGAACUCUAGGAGAAGAAGAAAGAAAAAGAGAGGAAGGAAGAAAAAGCUUGGUUUUGGUGAUUCAAGCAAGGAACGGUAAGAAUUCUUGCUUUUGGCUUGAGUAGUCUUUGAAAAUGAGUUAGUGACUUAGAAAAAUGUCUUGUGGCAGCAAAGAUUGCCUUGAUUGGAGAAAAAUUGAUAACAUGUAAGCCAAUAAACCCAUGGGUACAUGAAGGACUCAAAGUGGAAAAGGAAAACGGUAAGCUUAACACUAUGUUUUAAAGCCUACGGUUAGUUGAAUAUUGUGGAAAAUUAUGGUUGUUGAAAGUAUCUAGUUACAUAAGCUAGUUGAAAAUUGUUAAGACUGUAUGGCAUGUUGUUUGAAAGAAAUGAAAAAGGAAUAUUGUGGAUGGAGGAUUGAGAAACAAAGUAUUGAAAGUUAGAUAGAUAACGAUGUGUGUAAACUAGGAAAUAAUCGAGUGAAAGUGAAAAUGAUUGUUGCUGCCAUAUAUGUGGAUUAUGUGUGGAAAUAUAAGAUGGAUUUGGGUGAAAAUUAUUUAGAAAGGAUGAAGUAGACACGUGACAUCAUAAUUAAGUUGCUGGUGAUAUAAUUUAAGGAAUUGAGUAAGCAAUGGAUAUAAGUAAUUUUAGUAAAAAUGUAUUAAGAUGUGAGUUAAUUGAAGAUGGUUUCAUGAUAGGAGGAAAAAUAUAAAUUUAAGUAAGGAUUAUCUGAUUGAACUGCUGCUCGUAUACAUAUGUAAUUAAAUAUAUUGAGUUCGUAUUAUUCCUAGGAAGUGCAAAGAUAAAGUUAGAGUAUUGUGGUGGCAUGUUGGAGAUAGUAACGAGCGACCGGCCAGUGAAAAUAGUUAGAAACACCUUCGAACAAAUAGCAACUUAAUAUCUUGUUGUUGCCAGGUGAGUGAACCUGCACUAAAAUGUUUUGGGUAGAUGUACAUACGUUUGAGCGAACCACUUGAGCUGUUUAAAUUAUCUUUUCUUCAAAAUGCAUGGGAAUAAGCCUUUAGUGAAAUGUUUUUGUUAUGUGGAACAUGAUUGUGAUGAAUCUAUGUACUUUUAUAUGACACUGAUAUGUAUAUAAAGAUAUAUGAUAUAUAUUUAUAUAUAUUGUUAAGUAAUUUUGUAUAAUUGAUGUAACCGUGCAUGUGCGGAGUGGGCAGUGCACAUGCCGGUUGAAUGACAAUGUUGGGACAAUUACAGCCGUGCAUGUGCGGAGUGGGUAGUGCACAUGCCGAUAAUGAUGCUGUAGUGAUAUUUAUAACCGUGCAUGUGCGGAGUGGGCAGUGCACAUGCCGGUAAUGAUGCUGUCGUGAUAUUUACAACCGUGCAUGUGCGGAGUGGGUAGUGCACAUGCCGACAAUGAUGCUGUUGUGAUAUUUACAACCGUGCAUGUGCAGAGUGGGUAGUGCACAUGCCGGUAAUGAUGCACAUGAACCGAGUGAGGUGAUGGUGGUGUAUGUGCUUAUAUAUAUAUGUACAUAUUUACUAUAUAGAGAUGUUUGGAUUUAAUAUGUGAUUGCAUUGACUGUUGAAAACUUGAGUAUUGUCAAUGUGUUCAAUUUAAUGUGCAAUGUGGCAUGAGUGGAUUUUUUUUCGGUGGCAGUGAAAGCCCCUUGGAUUUUAUCUGGCGAGAAUUUUUUUGCAGCAAGAAUGCCUUUUCGCUACGGUGAGAGUCAAUCUAUUAUGCUUGACUUGCUUGAAAUCUACUAAAGUUUUCACUUCUCAACUUCUUUGUUGUUCAUGAGUCUUUCGUCAUCAAAUAACUAAACGACCAAGGGUUUGAAUGAGGGGUUUUCAAAUAGAAAUAAACUAAAUUGCAUUGUUUUGAACUUAAGUGCAUCAUGCUUUCUAAACCUUCCUUAACACUGCUUGUUCCCUUCCUAUGUUCACUCAUUGAGUUUGUACUCACAUUUUUAAAAUUCAUGUUUUAGGUUUCCUGAGUCAAAGGUGAUUGGAUCCUAGGACGAGGUGCUUUUAUUUAUACAUUGCUCGGUAGGUUUAACGUAAGACUAAGUGUUAUCAAUCAUGCCCAGCGUCACUCCGCUGAUGGUCAAGUUCUAAUUACGUGUAUAUGACUACUUGUUGUGAAAUGCUGAGAUUUACUUGUCAAAUUAUAUGUAUGUAUAUAAUGGUUGAUGAUGCCAUUAUGAAUACAUGAUUGGGUUUUAUGAGUUGUUUUCAAAGGAAUUGUAAUUGAGCAUUAUAAAUUUUGGAUUCUAAAGAAAUAUGGAUUAGCGUACAAGAUCAUGUAAGUAGGCUUGCUUGGGCUUGGUGGGUUGAGCCCAUUGGUCCCUUACGCCGGUCAUGGCCCAAAAAUUGGGCUAUGACACAAGUAUAAAUUUGAUGCCAUUAUCCAUUUAUAAAAAUUUGGGUUUGUAAGAGAUUAAACCAACUCUUGUGACUUUACAACUUCUGAUAGAUCCAUCACCUAUCCUUAUGGUAUUGUCGAAGAUGUUUUGGUAAAAGUUGAUAAGUUUAUUUUUCCAGUAGAUUUUUUUAUUCUUGAUAUGGAAGAAGAUCGUAAAUACCGAUCAUUCUUGGGUGGCCAUUCUUGAAAACUGCACGAGCUUUAAUUGAUGUGGAAAAAGGUGAGCUUACUUUAAAGGUUAAAAACCAAGAGGUAACAUUUAGUAUUUUUCAAGCUUUAAAAUUUUCCAAUGAACAUGAUGAAUGUUUCUCAAUUAAUGUGGUGGAUGACAUAACGAAUAAUGUGUUUGUUGAAAAUCAUCAAAAUUCACUAGAAACUUCUUUGAAUUCUUCAUGUGAUAUUAUUGACCAAAAAGUUCUUGAAUAUGCUAACCAUCUUGAUGCCUAUUCACGUCUUCCAAGAUCCUAAUUUGAAUAUUUGGAAUUAUCAAUUACAACUUUACCAAUCGAACCUUCCAUUGAAGAACCUCCUUCACUUGAGCUCAAACCACUACCUAAUCAUUUAAGGUAUGCUUUUCUGGGAAAUUCUUCUACACUACCAGUAAUUAUUUCUUAUUCUCUUUCUAAUGAAUAGGAAAAUCAACUCCUUCGAGUUUUAAGGGACUACAAAAAAGCAAUUGGGUGCACCAUUGCAGACAUCAAAGGAAUUAGUCCAUCAAUUUGCAUGCACAUAAUUCUUAUAGAAGAAAAUCACAAAGCAACAAUUAAGCAUCAACGAAGGCUGAAUCCGAUCAUGAAAGAGGUAGUAAAGAAAGAAAUUAUCAAGUGGCUUGAUGCAGGUAUUAUCUAUGCUAUUUCUGCUAGUUCAUGGGUAAGUCUAGUCUAAUGUGUCCUUAAAAAAGGAGGUAUGACGGUAGUUUAUAAUGAAAAUAAUGAGCUUAUUCCCACUAGAACUGUAACUAGAUGGAGAGUAUGUAUGGACUAUAGAAAAUUAAAGAAAGCCACUAGAAAAUAUCACUUUCCACUACCUUUUUUUGAUCAAGUGCUUGAUAGAUUAUCACGUAAAGAUUUGUAUUGCUUUUUGGAUGGUUAUUCUAAUUAUAAUCAAAUUGCCAUUGCUCUUGAAGACUAAGAAAAACCACAUUUACUUGUCCUUAUGGAACUUUUGCUUUUCAUAGAAUGCCUUUUGGACUUUGUAAUGCUUUAGCUACUUUUUAGAGAUGCAUGAUGGCAAUUUUUUCUGAUAUGGUUGAAACGAUUUUGGAAGUAUUUAUGGAUGAUUUUUCAAUUUUUGGGGAUAAUUUUGAUGAUUGUCUAUUUAAUCUUGCUAGAGUACUUAAGCGAUGUGAAGAAACUAAUUUAGUUUUAAAUUGGGAAAAAUGUCACUUUAUGGUGCAAGAAGGAAUAGUCUUAAGCCAUCGAGUUUCUAGCAAAGGUUUAGAAGUAGAUAAACAAAAAUUGAAAUCAUUAAAAAACUUUCACCUCCCACCUUUGUUAAGGGCAUUCGUAGUUUUUUAGGACAUACUGGAUUUUAUAGGAGAUUUAUUAGAGAUUUUUCUAAAAUUUCUAAACCACUGUGUAAUUUGUUAGAAAAGGAUACUUCUUGUAAUUUUGAUGAUGCUUGCCAUGAUGCUUUUGUUGAAUUAAAAAAGAGAUUAAUUUCUACUCCUAUUAUCACUGUUCCUGAUUGGAAUCUUCCUUUUGAACUAAUAUAUGAUGCUAGUGAUUAUGCAGUUAGUGCAAUCUUGGGCCAACAAAAAAUGAAAAUUUUGCAUCCUAUUUAUUAUGCUAGCAGAACAUUGAAUGAGGCUCAAGCAAAUUACACCACAACCGAAAAGGAGUUGCUUGCUAUUGUUUUUGCUUUCGAUAAAUUUCAUUCCUAUCUUGUUGGUACUAAAGUUAUUGUUUACACAGACCAUGCAGCUAUUAAAUAUUUGAUCGAGAAAAAAGAUGCAAAACCACGUUUGAUAAGAUGGGUACUUUUGCUUCAAGAAUUCGACUUGGAAAUCUGAGAUAAGAAAGGUAUAGAAAAUCAAGUGGCAGAUCAUUUAUCGAGAUUGGAGAAUAAUGAGCACAUUGGGAAUUCAACAGUGAUUAAUGAAACCUUUCUUGAUGAGAAAUUGUUUCAUAUAGAGAAGUAGAAAAAUUUACCAUGGUAUGCUGAUAUUGUGAAUUAUCUAGUAAGUAAACUCUUCCGUCUUGAAUUUAAUUCUCAACAAAAGAAAAAAUUCUUACGUGAUGUCAAAUACUACAUGUGAGAUGAGCCUUUUCUUUACAAGCAUUGUGGAGAUCAAAUCAUUAGAAAGUGUAUUCCUGAAGAAGAAUUUGAAAAUAUUCUUCAUCAUUGCCAUUCAUUUGAUUAUGGAGGACAUUAUGGAGGAAAAACGAACUACUACAAAGGUUCUACAAUCAGGUUUCUAAUGGCCUUCUCUUUUUAAGGAUGCUCAUAAUUUUGUUGAAAGAUGUGAUAGAUGUCAAAGAAUGGGCAAUAUAUCGAAGAGACAUGAGAUGCCUUUAAACAACAUCUUGGAAGUUGAAAUUUUUUAUGUUUGGGGAAUUGAUUUUAUGGGUCCAUUCAUUCCAUCCUUCAAUAAUGAAUACAUCUUGGUUGCUAUUGAUUAUGUCUGUAAAUGGGUUGAAGCUGUGGCAUUGCCAAGAAAUGAUUCUAAGGUAGUGAUAAACUUUCUGCAAGAAAACAUCUUCACACGUUUUAGUAUACCUAGAGCCAUAAUUACUGAUGAAGAGACUCACUACUGCAAUAAAAAUUUUGAAGCAAUCCUAGCCAAAUAUGAAGUCAAGCACAAAAUAGCCACCGCUUAUCAUCCUCAAACAAGUGCCCAGGCUAAAGUGUUAAAUUAAGAAAUUAAAAGAAUUUUUGAGAAAAUUGUUUGUCCUUCUAGAAAAGAUUGGUUGAAAAAGUUGGAUGAUGCUUUGUGGGCAUAUAGAACUACAUAUAAAACUCCAAUUGGGAUGUCUCCUUAUAGAUUGGUGUUUGGAAAAGCUUGUCAUCUUCCAGCCAAACUUGAACACAAGGCAUAUUAGGCAAUUAAAAAGCUUAAUUUUGAUCUUCAAGCGGUUGGAGAAAAGCGUCCUUUGCAACUCAAUGAGAUGGAUGAAUUUUGUCAAGAAGCUUAUGAGAGUGCAAGAAUCUACAAAGAAAAGACAAAAUGUUGGCAUGACAAAAAAAUCAUAAACAAAAGUUUUAAACCUAGCCAACAUGUUCUCCUAUAUAAUUCUCGUUUGAAAUUAUUUCCUGGAAAAUUCAAAUAUUGUUGGUCUGGACCUUUUAUUGUGAUGAAAGCAUAUCCUCAUGGAGCAGUGGAAGUAGUUGAUGAUAAAUCAACCUUCAAAGUAAAUGGACAACGACUAAAGCAUUAUUUGGGAGGCGAUUUCGAUCGUCAAAGGUCCUCAAUCACACUUAUCGACACAAUUUAAAUCAGAGAAAGUCAAGCCAACGACUAUAAAUCAAGCGUUUCUUUGGAGGCAACCCAAGCAUUAUAACUUACUUUCUUUUAUUUUUUUUACUUAUUUUAAUAUUAUUUAUUAAAGUUUUCUUUUUAUUUUGCAGGAACAUGUUAAAAAAUAAAAAAAAUAAAAAAAUUUAGGGGAGUGGGGUAAGCUGUGGCUUCCCCAAGAGGAAGCUGCGACCCAACGAAGUGAUGAAACGCGGGUCACAGUGCCCCUCAAGCUAGGUUGCGACCUCGAGGCUUAGAGCAACGAGGGCCACGGUGCCCACCAAUGGGAGGCCAUGGCCUCGUGUUUUGAGGCUACCAACCUUGGGCAACCCCCCCUAGAGAGAGAGAGAGAGAGAGAGAGAGAAGAGAGGANGGCAGUGGCUUCCCCAAAAGGAGGCCACAGCCUAGCGAUGGACCAUGACGCAGGUCGUGACACCCACAUUGCGAGGCCUCGGCUUUGCAGAUUGAUUAUUAGGAGUCGUGGUGCCACUAGGGGUAGGUCGCGGUGCCUUUUUUGAGGGCUGUCCGCUUUGGGCAGCCCACUAAAAAAAAAGAAAGAAAAAGAGAAAAGAGAGAGAGGCCCUCUUUUCAUCACUCAAGCUUACCUACCUCUUCCUUUUAGUACAAAUUUUUGCACUUCCACUCUUCUCUUCUCGACCAUUGCUCCCGUUUUUCCUUUCCUCUUCCCCGUUCCAUUCUUUCCAUUUUAUAUUUCUUUCUCUAGAUCAGGUACCCACACCCAUUAUAUUCUUCCACAUUGAUUUUCAACACCUAUGCACUAAAUAUCAAGUAAGUUUCAAUAUUUCUUUUAGUUUUUUUUCCUUUUUUCUUUUUCUAUUUUUAAUAUUAAUGACUUACCUCAUAUUAUUUAAAAUUUGUGUUGAAUAUUGAUGAUCUUGAGAUAUUGUGCUUCAUUAUUUUAUAGGUAUGGUAGAUUGUUUAGAUUUAUGCUUUAAAUUUCAAACAUAAGUUGAAAAUGGAGAAUAUGGGUAAGUUUCUUGAUUUUGAAUUUUUUUAUGCCUAGUAGUAUCGUAAUAUUUUAAUUGUAGGAUUUUUACUUUAUGCUAUGGGCAUUAUUUUAUGAUGAGAGAACAUCUAAGCUAUUAUUGUUGAUGGUCUAUUGUGUUUUGUUGGUACUUUUCUUUUCUUUUGGUUGAGAAUUAAUUGUAGGAUAUUCGAGAAUGGCACCCAAACGAUCAAGACAAAAUUCAUGUGGCUUGUUUGAUCAUACUAGAUUUGUGUCAAUUGAGGCUGUGGCCAGACACGCAAGUUCUCUUGCAAACAAAAUUGCAGUACUUGAACAAGGACUGGAUCAAGGGUUAAUUACACACCUUGACCUUUAACCAAUGAUUGAUGGCCGCCACUAGCAAAAAUUUUGUGCUUCACCUGCAGCUGCAAGUAUCCCUUUGGUAAGAGAAUUUUAUGCUAAUGCUAUAGAAGCUACUAAUAAUUUUGUUUUUGUUCAAGGUAAAUUAGUUCCAUUCUUGAGCCAUGCCAUCAAUAAAUUUUAUGAAACUCCUGAUAUUACAAACGAUGGAUAUGAUCAAUAUUUGGCUGAGAAUGAAAAUUGGGAUGAUAUCAUUACUAUACUCUGUGAGGAGGGUGCUCAAUGGUGAUUUUUCAAUAAUGCACCAGUUUCAUUCAAGAGGACUGUGAUGAAACCAACUUCUAAGAUAUGGUUAUAUUUUGUGGCUUCCAAAUUACUCCCUACCACACAUACUAGUGAUGACACAAAAGAUCGAGCCAUCCUCAUUUAUUCAAUCAUGAUUGGACGCACAAUUGAUAUUGGUCGCAUAAUUUACAAAGCCAUGACUCACACUGCACAAUCAAAGCGUGAAGGCUUGUGGUUCCCUUUUUUGAUUAUAGCUAUGUGCAAACAAGCUGGUGUACAUUGGGAUACUAGUGAGGAGUUGUUGCACCCUAAACUUCCAAUUGAUCUUAAUCUCAUCCACAGACAAUCUCAAACUUCUACUGGGGAUAGUUCUUCUUCUACACAUCAUCCUCCACCCAUUUGACCAAGACACCAACAAUUGUCAAUGACUCAAAGAAUUGAGAACCUUUAGCACCUAGUUGAUAAUCUUGGGCAACAAUUGGAGCAAUGCAUGACUUAUCAAACCCAAUGCAACCAACAUAUGGAUCACAUGUUUCGAGCUUAUGGUGCUUUUAUGGGAAUGGAUAUGUCUACUCUUUCACUAGCACCUAAUCCUCCUAAGGGUGCUAAUGAGGUAGAGGACAAUGAGGAUAAUGAUGCAGAGGAUAAUGGUGAUGAAGAGGCGGAUUAAAGCUUCUCCAGAUUUAUUCAACCAUUAGGGGAGUAUUCUUUACCUUUCCUUUCUUUUUUCUAACAUUGAGGACAAUGUUUAGUUUAAGUUUUGGGGGGGGGGGUGAAUUUAUUUUUUUGGUGAUGAAUAUUCUAUGAAAGUUUUAGAUCUAAUUUUAUUUGCAUGCGUAUUUAUAAAUAAUUUAGGAUUAGUUGGUAAAAGAAUUUAAUUUUUGUUGAACCUUAGGAAUCUAGAAGUAAAGUUGUGCCAAUUUUUUCAAUGAUUUUUUUAUCCAAUGAUGAUAACUAGUUGUCUUGAAUUUUUAGCCUUUGGUGAAUAAGGUUUUUGUUUGGAUUCAUGCUAAAUUUUUUGUUAAGUGUCAUUGUUAGGAUGUGAUUUCCACAAUUUUAAACACUAUAUCUUUUACUUUGAAUUAUUUUGAAUAUCUAGAGAAGGUUUAUAUUGAUAUGAAUUUUAGAUUAUUUCAUGAAUUCUAGAAUUUCCUUGAUUUUCUCUCGAUGCAAAAUUCUUGGCAAUACUUAGUUAGGGACAUGAUUUAAGCCAUCUUUGAACCGUUUGAACUUUAAAAACCAACCUUGUUAAAUUUUAUCCCUAGCAUACCCUUUUUGAGCUUAAUUUUCCUUUUCUUUAUUUAACUACAUAAUAAUUGAACUUAGCCUUAAAAUUAAUUUUCCAAUUUUGCAACCCUUACUCCUAAGCAUGUAUAUUGUUUUAGAAAAUAUAAAUUGAGCUAAAUGCUGAAAAAGGUGGAAAGAUGAUAUUGAUGUGAAAAAAAAAAAAGAGAAGUUCAAAAUAUGAAAAAUAACCCUACUACCUACAAUACAAAGAAAAUAAGUUUAAGGGUGUGAAAUUGUGAAAAAAAAAGUGUUGAAUGAAAGAAAAGUUCAAAUAUGGAAGAAAAUGUGUACUAAGAGAAGGAAAAUAGAGCUCUAUAUAUAUAGGUCCUAGAAUAAUUAUGUGCUUAGGGUGAUUUGAGCCACAUUAAUAUCCUUUAUCAUACCUUGACCUUAGCCAUACAUUACAAGCUUUAUAAAGUCCUAUUGAUCCUUAUCUUUGUAUUGGUCUACAUUAGUGGAGAGAGAGAUAAAAAAUGAACCUAUGGAAAUCUAGUACUAAUUUGAAAUUUGUGUUGGUAGAAACUCAUCCAGAUAUCAUGAUAUUAUUGGUAAAAGAUUUCACACACACACAGAAAGCCAUUCGAGAAUGUGCUUGCAUUAAAAUUGAAACAUGAAUUUGAAUGAGACUUUUAUUUUUCCUUAGAUUAAUGAUUUAUAGGCAUACUUUUGAUGAAAUUAUAAAGAAUCAUUGAGUUGGUGCACUUUAUCUCUAAUAGUAGUAAUAGUAAUAGUAGUAGUAUAGUAAUAACUAUAUUUAUUUAACUGAAUUUUUUUUUCGUAAGUUAGGGUCUUUUCUAUGUUUUGCUCAAGGACUAGCAAAAUCUUAAGUUUGGGGGUGUGAUAACUCCAUGAUAUAGAGUUAUUGGAGCUUAAUUUUGAUAAUAAUUUAGCUUCGUUCUUGUAGUAAUGCAUAGAAAUUAGUAAAUUUUAUUUAAUUAUUUUAAAUUAGUUAUUUUAGGUGAGUCAAUCUAAUCAUGGUUAAUUUUAUGCUUAAUUUGGUGUUAAUGUAGUUAAGAUAGGUUGUUAUUGAUUUAUUUGUGCUUUUGUAGGUGUUUGAAAGAAGAAUUUUAGUAAAAGAAUGAGAGCAAUUUCGAGGUGCAGACUUUCAAUGCAUAUAUUUUUGUAUUUUGGCUAUAACUUUUUGUACAGAGCUCCAAAUAUAGCGAUUCUUAGACCAUUGGAAAGAUAAGAGAAAAAGAUACAAUUUUGAUGUUUACUACUUUAUCCAGUUCAGAAUGAAAGAUAGUAAAAGAUAUUGGUGAAAUUGACAUAUUGCAGCAGUCUUAAAGCAAUUACGAUUUCUGUUAAUUAAUUGGGCAAAGCUGCAACUUACAUAGUUUGAUGAGGAAAUCCCAGCUGAAAUUGACUUCUUUCUUCAUCCAACUUGGUUUAACUUGAAAUCCUAUAAAAACAACCUUUCAGAAGACAUCAAGGGGAGGAAAAAAAAACACCAUAUUAACAGCUGAGAGUCAAGCUACAAAGUCAUUGAAGGAAUUUGAAGAAUUCAAGUAGAUUUGGAGAUCAAGAAUACAUUGCUUGGUUUUUUCUAUCUUUUUGUUAUUCUUUUAUUCCCUUGGUUUUAAUGUUUAAAUUUUAUUCAAUGAUGAUGUAUGACUUGAUGGGGAACUAAGUUUUUAAUCUAAGAUUAUGAUUAAACUCAAUAUAUAGUCUGAAC